AGGGAGAAGAAGCCUCUGAUCAAGAUUAGAGCCACCACAUCAAUUGGACAUCUAGAUUAGCAUAGCUACAUAGGAUUAGAACUAGAAGGAGUCAAUCUUCGAUUGGUUUCCGGGUCUGUCAAGAGGAUUCUUGGUAAUUCUCUAAUUGUGCUUCUAAUUGUUCUUCUAAUUAUCUUUGUUCUUCAAUAUUAUGAAUAUGACUUUGUUCUACUUCAAUAUAUUGCUUAUGACUUUGCUCUACUUGCUUAUAUUCAAGAUUAUAUUGUUCUUAGUUUAUCAUAGUUAUGUACUUGGCUUAGUUAGAUUGGAUCUAUAUACAUGCUUAGGAUCGUAUAGCGUUUAUCCAUCGGAUCCAUGGGUAAAUGAUAGAUAUUGUGUAGGCGUGGUGCUUAUACCGUAUUUAUCUGCGAUUGUACCCAAUAUGCCAGAUCGUGGGGUAGUUCGUGAUAGUGACAGCUUCAUUGAUUCUUAUAUAGUCCCCCUCUCGUGUAUUGGGCUGGCAGAGCAAUAUUAUUACAGGGGAGUGAUUGCUAUGUUUCUCAUUUACCUUGCUAAUAUCACUAUGCAUGGGCGUAGUCUUGUCUCACAAUGAUUGCUAAGUAUGCUUACACUAAUUAUGAUAAUGCUAGACUAUAUAGUUGAGAAUAACUUAGGGAAUAUUCUUGUAGUUCGUUCUAAUACCAUGCUAAUGACUUUCUAGAGUAUCUAAUUGAGGUGCUUAUCAUAUUUAUUAUGUGGCUAAGUUAUGAUCAGAUUAAUUAUCCUUAUCACUGUUCAUUAUUUCAUAUAUCUUUUAUGUGACACUUAUCCCUGUAUGAAGAGUUAGAUAAAUGUUCUCAAUUAUACAUGCAAUGAUAGAUGCUCAAUCUCAUAUUCUAUUCUGUAAUCAAUAGUGAUGAUUGUUAAUCCCUUCCCAGUGGUAAAAAUAUAAAUAACGAUACCUGGAAUACUUCCCGGUUAAAAUGCUACAUCGGUAUUAAUCUGUGCGCUUGCAGAUCCCAUUCAUUAUUUAUUUAGAAGAGCAAUUGCAUAUUUCAAUACCGCGUCUCUUAUAUCAUGCUGGGGAUGACAACUUGACUUAAGUGGUAUGAGGGAUAGGUUUGGCAUUUUUGGCACCGUUACUAGAUUUAGAGAACUUAGUCUACUUUUGGUAAUGAUGUUAAGAAUAGCCAACACUCUCCCUCGCCUCGUUCUACCUGAAAUCUGGUCCAUGACCAUCUUAAUGCCUCGUCCGCUUUCUGGUUGCACGUUUGUUCCAGCGAGCACCUGGAUCUGCAAUGUACCUUGGGCCAAUGUAGUCUGGCCACUGCCCCUCAUCUAGGAAAGGCUCAAAACGGGGCGACCAAGUAAGCACAAGGCUAUCAACACUCAACUCCCAUGGUAUCUUGGUCUUGUAGUCAAAGUUGCGAUGCCUAGCUGCUGCAAUAUAGUGAGAACAAGGAGAGUGGUACUGUCUUGGUCUCCCACAUCCACAUAAAAAAUCAGUAAGGACAACAAUAUAACUCCUUGAUGGUCGGAUCUCACCAUCUGACGUUGUACCACCCCUUUCAGUGACCUGGUACUUGCUAGUGGCAUGGUCAAAACACUCUAUGUCAUGUGUCCUAGCCCUUUCCUUUGCCUUGUCAAGGUGCUUCUUGAGCAUGUCUAUCGUUGAACCAGGCCACUCUAUUUCAGAUUAUUACUCUGUAAUUGCAAUGCUUGAGCAUGUCUAUCGUUGAACCAGGCCACUAGCCUAUAAAAGGUAAAAGAUACAAUGGCAUUGACUGGCAUGGCACGUAUACCCUUGAGCACACUAUUAAAUGACUCUGCCAUGUUGCUAGUCUGAAACUCGUACCUCCAUCCACCAUCAUCAUGGGCUCUUGUCCAUUUCUCAGGUUCUCUCAUCAAACCUAGCAGCCACUGCCUACCUUCUACAUUUGUUGCGGUUUUUAGCUGCUCCAACUUCUCCUCAAAAAACGACACCUCAAGCAUUCGAGCAACCUCCUCGAAUAGAGGAAAGUUGUCCUUCGUACCAUCCUUCCGAAGUAAAUUCUCUGCAAGGUGUCUAGUACACCAACGAUGGUGCAAAGGUGCAUAACCAGGAAUCUGCUCCUGUACGGCACUGAGUAUGCCCUGGUGCCUAUCAGAUAUGACACCAACCUCCCUAUGUGCGCCAAUGACAUGUAUCCGAACAAGGCACAUGAACCAACCCCAGCUAUCUUUGUUCUCUCUCUCCACCAAAGCAAAAGCCAAAGGAACCAAUGUGUUGUCUACGUCACAGGAAAUGGCUACCAAAAGAGUGCCCAUGUACUUGCCAAGAAGAAAAGUACCAUCAAUUGAUAACACUGGACGGCAGUGCCUAAAGGCCUGGACACACUGUGGAAAACACCAGAAAGCAUGAAAGAAUAUCUACCUCCCAUUCCUCCAUUCAUUAGGCUUCGGAAUGUACUUGUAAUGCAUGCCUGGAUUUGCUGCUUUCAUUGCAUUGAACAUUGCUGGCAGCUACUCGUACCCCUCCUCCCAGUCUCCAUAUAUCAUCUUCCAGGCCCUUUGCUUUGCCCUCCAUGCUUUGCCAUACUUUAUAUCAUACUUAAAUAUCUUCUGAGCCAUGUCCAUAAUUGUUCUGACCUUCAAGUUGGGCUGACCCUUUAAAGUUAUGCAUAACGUACUAGCAAUAAGGGUAGAGGUCAACUGUCAAUGCUUCUGUUGAAGGUCAGUCUGGGCACAAGUGUGUGGACCUACAAUUUUUGUGAUCUUGAACUUCCCGGUGGCCUUCUGUUUACGAGCACAGACCCUCCAGUUGCAAUCUAACAUCUCACACACAACCGUGUAGCGGCGCUCAACAUAGGAAUGCAUCACCUUGAAGGGUCUUUUACGUAUUACAGAAUAUUGUUGUAACCACCUUCUUAAGCUGGGCAAGUCAUUAAAGAUCAUGCCCUUCUGAAUUUGCACACUGUCACUAGGCUCAGGAGCCUCCAGCAGCUCAUCAUCUCUUCCCUCUGCAUAAGCAUUUUGAGAAUGACUGAGGUCACUAAACUCAUGAACUAGUGGAUCACGAUCAGGACAGAAACGUCUGAUAAGCUCCAUUUCUUGUUCACUUAAAGGUGCAACUGGACGGUCAUCAUCGGAAUCAACAACUCUAGCUGUGCCAUAGGGCUCCUCAUCAUCCUCAAUAUUAACAUCCAAACUAUUAGAUGAUAUAAAAGCUGCGUCAACAUUAAAUGAUGGAGGCACAGGAUGACAACAAUCAUUACUUGGAUUGUCACCUACAACAAAACCACAAAUAUGGAUACAAUUGAGACAACGAAAAUAGACGAAGGAAGGCUAACAAAAUGAAUAAUGUAACUACGCAACUUACAUUGAAUUGUCUGGGUCAUAGGGGUCUCUAGGCAGCCAACACCAACACCACCGACAAAUGUUCCAGCCUCAUUGGGACCGGAUUGAGCAUCAAGAACGACAACCACAUCUUCCACACCCACCUCGUGACUGGGUACUGGGGGAGCUGAGGGUGCCGGAUUGUCCGGUUCCGGCGAGAACCCACCAAUGGGUGGUUGGCAAUUAAGAGGAGAAUCCACUAGAGGGGUUGGCUCCUUGGACAAGUUGCGCACAACCAAAUCCAAACAUUGAAACUCAUUCUUCAUGACAGUUUUGACAUAUUUGUCCCAUUGAACCUCGGAUACAAUUGGGACCAACCACCUAAAAAUUGUCCCUGACCGGCCAUGAUGAAGUACCCCCUCAACUAAGAUUUCUUCUUCAUUUGAAUUACAUUUAAGCUCAUCACGAGCACUACCCAUCAAUUCAGAAAACAAGGGCCGCUCAUCAAACAUCAAAGGGACCCUUUGCAUUCCAACAAAACCAACAUUGCCAAACUGAUCUUCCUCCACAAUUCCUCCAUGAUAUAGAGUUACUACAUUGUCCAUCUAAUUGAUAUACAAAACACCCAAGUUACUAGGCAUAUAACUAAUAUAGGUAAAACACCUAUAUAUCUAUGUAAGUAAAUACGUAUGUAACUAACUAUAUAACUAAAAUUACAAACUAGAUUGAUCUAACUAAAUUACAUAACUAAAUUUUACAAAUAUUAGAUAAACUACUCUAAAUUACAUAACUAAACUUUACAAAUAUUACAUAAACAAUAUAUUACAUAAUGGAUAUCUCAUAUUCAUACAAAUUAUACCAAAACUAAUACCAAUAUAAAAAAUUGCUACAUGAAUUAUUUUAAAAAUAUAAAACUUACAAAACUAAAUACAUUAUCUAAACAAUUAUACAACUAAAAAAAUUACCUAACCUCGGUGCUUCGCGCGCCUCCUACGCAGCAGCGAGGCGGACGGGGGCAGCGGCGGGGCCGGCAGGGGGCACCCGCGGGGAGGGCCGGGAGCACCGGCGGGGGCGGCAGGGGGAGGCGCCGCGGCGGGCCGCCUGGGGGGAGCGGCGGCCGGGGAGCGUGGCGGGCGGCCUUGAGCGUGGAGCGUGGAGGGGGAGGAGAACGAAGGAGGCGGCCUCGGGCGGGCAAGGCCGGGCGGGAUUUUUGUCUCAAUACCUCGGCGCCAGGAUCUGUGGCGUCGAGCCUUUUUUUUCUGCCACAUACGACGCCACGUCAGAAGCCACGCUGGGGUCGGCCAGAGAGGUCGACGCCGUGAUCCAUGGCGUCGAGCCGUGUAACCUCGACGCCAUGAAGCAUGGCGUUGACCCCCUAGGUCCGAUUAAGUUUUCCAGGGUCCAAAAGAGAAUUUUAUUCAAAAAAAAGUUACAAAUUGUAAAAAAUUGGGGAUGAGUGCCCGGUCUCUUCUACGCGCGAGAGCUCGGUGGCCUCCUACCUGCUCGCGCAAUCUCGUUGGCCGCCCCUCGAUCGGGAUCGUAGCGCUCGUCACCGGCCACCGGCUCGUGACCCUAGGGACUACCGUCGACUGCCUAGUGGCUCGCCCCCGAGCCUCCCGUCGCUCACCUCCGAGCCGUAGAUGUGUGCGCACCGCUGUUGCUUGGUCCAACGGAGGUGGAGCAGCCGCCGACGGAGACGACAGAGCUGGAGGAGCACCAGAUAUGCAUCGUGGAGGUGAGUGCUAUCGGUCGUCGGGCCAUGCUAGGUGGCGCGUAGCGAUCCCAGGCAGGGUUGCCAAGCGACCAACGUCCGCUUCGUCCAGAUGCAAUAACAUUUUAACAUGUGAUGUUUCUUUUUACAACAACACACGAACAUUCGAUUACUACCUGAAUUUGUAUCUGAGUAGGAACAGUGAACAAGCUCAAAUACUUUAAGUAUUUUAGUCAUAUUUUGGUUAUCUCUUUUGGUGAUAUGCUUUGAGAAAUAAACUAUUGCAAUUCCUAAAAAGUUCGAUGCAACACAAUGCUAUACAAAUGCUAUACAAAGUGAAAUACAUAAUUGAUCUUCACUUUAUAUAAAACAUUAAACACCGUAUAGACUAUUCUUUGUUUAUGGGUCGUAUGACUUGUCAUUUUAAAUGUCUGUAUGUUAGAUUCAAGGUUUUUAGAUACAAAGGGUCGUCUGCGGGUUGUACAUGCCCUAAGAAAUAUAAUGGUUAAAAAAUAUAGAAAUUAGAUAUUGGUUUACUAGAUAUUUGCAUUAAGUUCUACUAUUCCAAAAAUCCCGAUGCAUGUGCAACCAAUAGCAACUUCAAACCUCGUUUUGAGCGCAUGGGCAUGCUUUGCAGCCUGCUAAGAGCAUCUCUAAGAGAUUAGCCAAAAAGACUAGCUAAAUUUACUGAUUUAGCUACUCUCUAAAAUAGAUUUAACAAAAAAACAUUAGAGUACUCCAACAGACUUUGUAAAGAAUGGCUAGUGAGAUAGACUAUCCAAAAGUAGAGAGCGAAUAAGGUGGGAUAGAGAGAUACUAAAUUUAAAGAGUCAUUUACAGAGUCUACUGAAAACAUUUUUUCUUCAACAAUAACUAAAUUUAUCUUUAGAAAAUGAUUUGGCUAAUCUCUUGGAGAUGCUCUAAAUUGGGUGCUAGGUAGGGAUGACAAUGGAUCAGAUAUGAACGAAUAUCACUGAUAUCAUAUUUGUUUUCAUAUUUUUGGUCAGAUUUGGAUUCGAAUACGGAUAAUGUCAACAAUGUCACAUAAUAUACGAUUGGAUGUCGACAUCAUAAAUAUACGAUUUAAGUAUUCGGAUACGGAUACAGUAUCAGAUAUUGAACAUUCGGACUCGGAUACGGACAAAUCUGAACAACUCUAAACGAAUUUGGUCUCAAAUACAGUCAAAAAAUAUCCGUACUAUUUUCAUCCUUAGUGCUAGGCAGCUUGAUUGCGCUGCUCAGUUGGACGCUGCUUGGCAAUGACGGUAGCUGGCGCGAAUUGUUUCUUUUCUUUGUGAUUCAGGAGAAGAGUCGAGGCUGCGAGGGAUAGGGAUGCCAUGGUCGAGGAACGGAGGAAGAUUUUUCCAGUUGAAGUGAGAACCUUCGGGAGGUAGCGACGUGGACAGUAGAUGCUCACUGGGGCCUGGUCCGACGGUGUUUGCUUGGUUACUGUUACUAGAACAGUGUUCUGAAUCCGGGAGUUGUUCAUCUACAGACGUUUGUGAGAGAGGGAGCAAUCUACAACUUUAAGAGUAUAGGAUAGAUAAAAGAUCCUCUUACACAAGAUCUAAUGAGUAAAGUAACCUUAAAAGUGUACAUCUUUGAAAAAUUGUCUCUUGAUCUCAGUCUAUAAUCUUGGCUACUACCAACAUAUUGGCUACUAUAGACUAGCCAUUCAAAUGUUAAAGCAAUGUAUCUUAAAUAACUGCACUAAGAUGACAUUCGUUUUCAUUCCUUUGCCGGUUGUCCCUGCUCAUGAAGCUAGCUUAAGAAUCCAAUCUGAUUUUCAUUUCGUUCAUAGAUUGCUAUGGCUGAAAAUACUAUUUGCUGAUUUAUUGUAAAAGAAAAACACUACUGAAUGACUUGCAGAUUCGGCAAAUAAGCUCAAACGAACAAAGCCUUAAAAAAAAAUCAGAUUGGCACAGAAAAUCAGAGUGCCAAACCCCAUCACUUCUCACUGUUCCCCAUUCCUUAGCCAUAGAAAAUCCUUUAGAAUUGAUUCACACUUGCUCUUCACCGGAAUUACUCCUUCAAAGAACAAAGUAGAGCUCUACCAAAGAUGCAUUUAUUAUGAAGUGAUUCUUUAAAAUAAACUAGAAGGCAAGGAACUAGAAAGUAGCUUGUGCUAAUUCACUCUACGCAUGGAAUCACUAUAUACAUAGUAGUUUCUUUAGAUAAUCAUAAGAUAAAUAUUUUUUAUCACUAUUUAGGAAUUAAUUUCUACAUUUUUUUGAGAAUCAGGAAUUAAUUUCUACAUAAUCUGAACGCGGAAGAAGCUCUUUCAAACAGCCCAGUAAACCUAAUAAGCUCAGCCCAGCCCAGCCCACCACACGAGCUUUACAAGUCACCACUGACACGCUCCCCUUUCCUGUAGGCGUAGCCCGCUCCCCGCUCACACCGAAAUUUGAAAUCAUCCUCCCAGUCUCCUCCUUCCACCACCGCUAGCGAACGAAGCAGCGCCGCCGCGUCAUGGAGAAGAUCUCCGUCGCCGUCCGCUUCCGCCCUCUCAACCCGGCGGCCGCUGACCUCUCUCCAUCCGGCGCCGGUGGAGGCGGCGACCGCGAGUGGCGUAUCGACGACACCCGCGUCUCCCUCCUCCACCGCGCCGCCGGCCCCGUCCCCGGCGCCUCCUUCGCCUUCGGUACGGAUCUCCCCCUCCUUUUACGACCUUCCUCUCCUUCACUCUCGCUCUCAACCCCUAAACCCGCCCGCUCGUGCCUCCUUCCUUGGGCUGCUUGAUCGGUUGGCUCCGCAGACCACGUGUUCGACGGUGCCGCGACCAACGAGCGGAUCUACGGCGCGCUCGUCCGGGAACUCAUCGGCGCCGUCGUCGGCGGGUUCAACGGCACCGCCUUCGCCUACGGCCAGACCAGCAGCGGGAAGACGUUCACCAUGAACGGCUCCGACGCCGACCCCGGCAUCAUUCCCCGCGCGGUCCGCGAUGUCUUCGACACCGUGCGUCAGGUGCGUUGAUUGCUCGAUUAAUUAUUUGAUUGGUUGCUGCGAUUGUUUCUGAUGCACGCGAGUGAUUUGUUGGGUUUGGGUCUGUUGGUCAGGCCGACGACCGUGAGUUCCUCAUCCGGGUGUCCUACAUGGAGAUCUACAACGAGGAGAUCAACGACCUCUUGACGAUUGAGGGCCAGAAGCUGCAGAUUCAUGAGAGCUUAGAGGUAAGUACUACUUUGGACAUUUUUUCUCUGAUUUCUGGACAGUUUUUUUGUAACAUUGAAAAUUUGUUGUUGCCUAUAGCGUGGAGUGUAUGUGGCCGGUUUGCGGGAGGAGAUCGUGAACAGUGCAGAGCAAGUGCUUGAGCUCCUCCAGCUUGGAGAAGGCACAUUUCUGUCGUUAUGGUUUAUUUUUCACCAACUGCGAAACUUGUGUAACCAUUUCCAUUUGUCACUACUUCUUUGUUGUUCACAGCGAAUAGGCAUUUUGGAGAGACCAACAUGAAUGUGCGGAGCAGUCGGUCACACACUAUUUUCAGAAUGGUAUAGAAUUCUGAAUUCCAAAGUUAUUCUGUAAUUGCAGCUGUUCCAAGACCAUUUUGUAGCUGAAUGGAAGUGAUAACAUGUUGUGUUUAUAUUGGCAGGUAAUUGAAAGCAGCGGUAAGGACCAGAUAAACUGUGGGGAUGCUAUCCGCGUAUCUGUUUUGGUAUGUACUGCUGACUCAAUACUUAGGUAUCAUGUAUGUAGUAAAAGUAACUGUGUAGAAAAUAUUGUGAUUUACACUUUUGUUUUACAUCUAGAAUUUGGUGGACCUUGCUGGGUCAGAAAGAAUCAUCAAGACAGGGGCAGAAGGGGUACGCUUGAAUGAGGGGAAGUAUAUUAACAAGAGCCUGAUGAUUCUUGGAAAUGUCAUUAAUAAGUUGAGUGACAACGGAAAACAAAGGUACCUUCUAUAGACUCUAGAGUAUUGCACAAGUUUCUUCCUCAUGUGUUUCCUAAAUCUAUAACUUUCUAUAGGUAGAGUGUGCUAAAUUUGAUGGAAAAUCAAUCUAGAGAUGUAUAUGUUAGAUGACAGUAUGACACAGGACAGCUGGCCCAAUGGGCUGCUCGGCUGAUGUCCCUAUGGGCCAUGCACCCACUUGUAAUUAGGAUGGUUAUGAUUGAGUCGUUAUAGGCAAGGACCGCUGUUAAGUGUUCUGUUUCUAUAAGCCAAACCCUAGGUCAUUCUUAACUAUAUUUGUGUAACCUUUCAUCCUCCAUAAUUGAUCCAUUACUUCUGUGCCAUAAGCCAUAUUCUCGCUUACAAUAUACUUGUUUAUAUUUUUAUAUAUUGUUUUUAAUUGAUCCUAUUACUGCCUUAGGGUCUGAUAAUGAUCAAUACCGAGUCCUACUUUCUGUCAACAGCUCAAGUGUUAGGAUGAUUUUGUUAGUGUAUUAAACUCAAAUUCAUUAUCCAAACUGGUACCUUCUCCACUUCUACUAGCUAGAGAAACACUUUUUUUUUGGUCUUGACAGUGUGCACUUCUGUACUGCAGCCAAUGUGCUCAUUUAUUUAUUUCUUCAGUGAUCUCAUUAUUGCCUUGAGUUUUUUUAGAGUUAUCCCUUAUGGGGAGUUUUUGAUCAUUGUCGUAUUCUUAAUGCAAAAUGUUACUACCUUAUGCAAGAAAAUGAAAUAAUUCAUGUUACUUUUACUCUAGUACAAGAUGCAACAAUCAUAUGAAACUUUGUAAGAUCUAUUGUUUAAUGGUAUUAGGUGAAUAUUUUUAUGCAGAGGGCACAUUCCCUAUCGUGAUAGUAAGUUGACACGCAUUCUCCAACCUGCGCUUGGAGGCAAUGCAAAGACAUCUAUCAUCUGCACUGCUGCACCUGAAGAGGUUUGUCUAUACACUUGCAUUUGUUGCAUCGGGGAAAACUGCUGUACUGACUAGUAUUUUCUUUAUUGUUGCACAAUCUGAAUAAAAUUGACAUGUACUCUACAGAUUCACAUUGAGGAAACUAGAGGAACUCUUCAAUUCGCAAGUAGAGCAAAAUGUGUCAGCAAUUGUGCCCAAGUAAAUGAGGUAUGCGUUAAAUCUUCUAAAAAUGCUUGAGCUAUGUUAGUGAUUAUUUUCAUGUAAAUGCAUUGUGAGUGGUCAUAUGUACAUUGGUAGAAUUUAUUUUUUAGUAUACUGAAAGUGAAAAAUUUAUUCCAAAUGUCUGGAAUGCGUUCUUGUAAAUGCUCUGAUGCCAAUCCAAAAAUUACUCCUGCUUCUAUAUUUGCAGUAAGGAUAGUCUAUUCAAUUUUAGUUCAUAUAGUUUAUAAGUAUCAAGAGAACCUAACUUGACCACUUUUGUGACAGAUUCUAACAGAUGCUGCUUUGCUGAAGAGGCAAAAGCUAGAGAUAGAGGAACUUCGUAAAAAACUGCAGGUAGUUACUGUUAGGUUGGUAUUGCUCUCCAUAAGAGUAGGAAUUUGAGUCUUGAUUUAUGUUUCAUGAAUUUCAGGGCUCCCAUUCUGAAGGGUUGGAGCAGGUUGUGCUAAAACUACGGAAUGACAUGCACAAGGUAUGUAAUCACUAAUGGCUAUUAAAAGAACUACUUUUUUUUUUAACUUGUAUAAAUAAACCACAACUUUAAUAACUACAUAAUAAAGAUAUCUGUGUUCUUUUCAUGUAGUCUGAACUUGAGCGUGAUCGACUGGCCAUGGAACUUGAAGAGGAAAAAAAGUUACGGGUGACUCUAGAACAACAUUUGACUGAGCAACAGAAGAAGCUAGAGGCCACAUCGUCAGACCACUUUACUGAUUCAGUCCAGGUAUAUUUGAUAAAGAAGCAUAGUAACAAAUAGUAAUUUCAGUCUUGUAUGUAUGGAAAGCUAAAAGCUGUCCACAACACAUGUCACUGAUGGUCCAUGUCUGUCACCAUAUCGACCCUCUUCCAUCUUAUGUUCAAUAUGCAUGUUCCUGGUGAUAAUGAAACUAUAUGUUUGCCUGUUGCAGUUGGAUGCACUGAAAACUCCAGAUUCGAAGUCUGUACCAGAUGGCUUUGUUGUCUGCCGCUCACGUUAUUCAAAUGAUGUUGAGUUCAGCCCAUUACCUGAAAAUUUGGAUAAUUUCGCUCAUGAAGAUCUAUGGACACGCCUCAACAAAGGUUGUGUUACUGAUCUUGACAUGCUUGAGAUGACACCUGGUCUGAAACGCGAGGCAUCCUUUAUACAAGAUACAUCAGUAAGUUUUUCUCUGUUCCUGCAUCAUUUGCUCUAAUCUGUUUGUUUACAAAUAUUUUAGGCUGUCCAUAUUCAUAGAACAAGAAAGUGAUUAGGACAUAAAUUGUUACAAAAGUAGAGUAACAGACUACCAAGCAGGAACAAGAUAACUUUGUAUUCAAUAGGACUUGAACUUGGGUAGGGUUUGGUAUUAACACCCAUAUCUCCCACCAACCUAGCUAGGAUUUGAAUGUGCUGGCUCACUCUGUAACAGGCAACAUAAUCAAUAGUUAGAUCUAUUGCAUCUUACCUAUUUAUCUGCCGCUACUUGCCAAGCGAGCAUAGGCUAGUUAGUAAGCUCCCAAUCCAACAAGAGACUGCUUCAGUGUCUCAUAAAAAAAUGUGUCUGUAAUAGCUAGUUGGCAGAGUUCAUCAGGGAGAUCCAAGUUUGAUCGUGGUAAACCAUCUGAGGUCUGGAUGGUUUUGAUAAAUUUGCUUCAAGAAGAUGCAACAUAGUUGAGUCAAGAUACUUAAUUCUAGCUACUAAGGACUGUCACCUGGUUCCUUUUCCUUCUCCAUAUAUUACUGGGCCUGUUACCUGUAGCUUAAGAAGAUCGAGAAGCUAUAAUUAAUUGCUUAUAUUUUUCUCGAACAGUUAAUUGCUUAUAUUUCAUAAAAAGAUCGAGAAGCUAGUACACCCUUCUGUUUCAGUUAAAAUUCGCUCUCUGUUUCCAUAUAAGGAAUAUGUUGGAACUGAGAUAUGAGAAAUGACUUGCUUAUUUCUGUCCUUUUCUGCUCUCUGCUUGCAGGCUGUGCCAUUGGAGGAACCUACUGACGCUAGAUGCCAGAGGUUAGAAAAGGAGUGCAUUUCUGAUCGGCAACAGUUUGAGGAAUCAAAGGCAAGAUGCACCAAUCUCGAGAAAGAGUGCGACAUGCUGAGGGACGAGAACUUGUCCCUGCAACAGAAGCUCUCCGCCGCCAGGCAGGAGGCCCACCGCCUCGCCACUGAGAAGCAGGAGCUGGCCGGGGAGCUGGGCACAGAGAGGCAGAAGUUGGAUGAGCUGAAGCAGGAUAUCCGGAUGAUCAGCCGUGGCUUCUUGCAGCGGGAAGGGCAGCUCACGUCGCUCUACACCAAGUCCAAGGCCAUCCUGGAGAACUGCAAGACCUCCCAGGUAGCUACUCUGCCUUGACGGUUUUGAGUGAGACCGCGUGCACAGCUUGGUGCUGGAUAAAGAUAAAAUCUCUGUGCUUCUGCAAUCCUUCUUGCUUGCAGAUCAUGAUCAUGAGUUUGUGUGUUGGUUAUAGAUGUGCUGGGUCUCUGUUGUGUGAAAAAGUUCAGCAGAAUAUGGGCAGGCUGCGUUUGCCAUUAGUUUUCUGUGAGCUUCAAAUAUUGUAUGACCUGUGAUUCUGUGAACGUGCCAUGUAAUAUCAUAAAUGAGUAUCAGAUUGCCAUCAGCUUAAAACUCAUAGCAUUACCUGUAUCUACUAUAUGGUUUGGAAGAAACGGCUUGCAUAUGAUGUUGGCUACUGCAAAAUAAAAGACCAUAGGGGGACAGCAUUUUUAUGUUCUGUACGACAUAAAAAGGGCUAAUGGUACUUUUUUUGUGUGCCCGCACAAGUACUAAGACCCUAUUUAGUUGCAGAAAAUUUUGUAAAAUGGCUAUUGUAAUACUUAAGUUUGUAUUUGAUAAUUAUUGUCCAAUCAUGGAUUAACUAGACUCAAAAGAUUCAUCUCAUAAAUUACUGAUAAACUGUGCAAUUAAUUAUUUCUUAUUUAUAUGCUCAAUGCAUAUGCCGCAAGAUUCGAUGUGACAGAAAAUCUUGAAAAAAUUUACAAAAUUUUUAGAAACUAAACAGCUCCUAAGCUAGCCACACAAAGAUCGGUAGAGGCUCACACAACACAUCUUGCGUUACAAGAUUCCCCCAUUCACCCAUCUGUGCUCAUCAAAAGUAUCGAUUCAAGACUCAAAUCUUCACUCUGGAAUCAACAAUAGAGAUGAAAUCAAUUUAGAAUGGACAUUGUUUUGUUUGACCUUAUGCCGGACACUCACAUCUUUAAUCUCAAGAUAGUACUCGUUAAGUGCUUCACGUUUUUCAGCUCCGCUCUAUGUUUUUUAGCCAAACGGUUUCAACUCCACGCACUUAGUUCGAGGAAAAAGGAAGGAGCUGUGAGAGCACGUGAGGUACUCCACAAACUCCAGUUUUUUAUGGAGCUGCUCCACGAUGAAGUUUGUGGAGCUGUCCCAAACACCCUCUAAAUUUCUCCUUCCAAGCAAUAAUAGCAUCCCAUUAAAAGAAACUUGCCAUUUAAUGCUUCCAUGAUCUGGAAGAGUAGGCAUGUUUGUUAAAGUCUCGAUAAUUUGACUUUUCAAAAAAUGAAGCUGAAUUAUGAAUAUUAACCUCUACACAUGGUGCUGAAUUUUCAUUUAUUCGACUAUGGUUACUAGUAACAUGUGAAGCCGAAUCAUGAAUACUAGUAUUUGAAUAUCUUGUUGAAGAGCAACAAGUGAAUCAGAAUCAUGAAUUUUAGCACUCGAAUGCCUUGCUGAAAUUUCAUUAAUUCGGCCAUAGUUAUUAGUAACAUAUGAGGCCGAAUUAUGAGCACUAGUAUUACAUAUGAUGCUGAAUUUGUAGGCAGAACCUUUGCUCUAUUAGCAUAUUAUUGUGCACCAUAUAAGAAUUGAGAGUAAUCGACUAAAUGUUAGUAUCACCAUAAUCAAUUCUCUCAUUCAUCAGCAUGUCUUGUGUGGUGGAAUCACAUAUCUUGGUGAACUGAGGCUAGCUCAGUUGGUUCGGUUCCUUGUUGCAAAACUUGCCCAUCGGAUUCAAGUCUUUGACUUGGUACAACUACUCGUAUCUUUUUAGAUUUAUUCUAGGAUUUAACGCGUUAUGUUUUUAGUGGUAGGCGACAUUGCAAUCGACAAAAGACACCUAUGUGACUUCGUUAAUAUUGAGAUGUGUGAAAGGAUCUAAUUGGCCUAGAGGGGGGAUGAAUAGGCGUAUUUUAGAAAUUAGCCUAAAACUCAAAAACUCAAGUUGCGGAAGUUAAAUGCCUGUCGGUACCACCGACAGUUUGGGCCGGUACUACUGGUGUAAGACAAUCAGUACUAUUGACGCAACUGCUAGUACUACCAACGCCCUAAGAGAGCUACGAAAUUAGAGUAUAUUGAGUUUUGAUUUCAGAUCUAAGAGUUACCCCACUCUCCUAAAUGUAGUAGAGGAUGGAGUUGAAGUUUCCUUGGCUCGGUUCUUCUCCAAAAUGUAGAUCGACCCUUGUUCACCUAUGAAAGGGGAUAAAGAGGAAGAACACGAAGAACACAAGAACAAGGGUAGUCGAUGCUACCUCCACAGCAUGGCAAGAUAUUUUCCCGAGGUUUGGCAAUCCCCACGAAGGAGUUUCUACGUCCCCGUUGUUGAGGUGACCACUAAGGUCUGACCACUUAGGUCUCCUCACCCAAGCAACCAUGAAGGUUAGCUCGAGAUUUUCACUAAGAAUCAAAGGGUGAUACAAACACUUCAGGGUGCCCUCACAAAUGAAUCAACAUAGGCAACCACGAAGAACGCCUAGCCGGCUAGGGUUCCAAGAAUCUAAGAGUAACAAAUGCAAACCAACCAGCAAGACAAAGAAACCAAGUGCUCAAAUCAUGAAUCGAAGCUCCCAACUCUCUAAUCUCACUUCUCUAGCUCGAAUCUCUCAAGGAUUGAAGGCUAGGAGCAAAGAGGGAGAGUGAGUGGGUGAGUUAAAGCUUGGAGACUAUUUUCUCAGAUGUAGAGUCGAAGGAAUAGGUGAGCUUACGGUUAGAAAUGAGGGAAGAGCUAUUUAUACAUAUGUUCAGAACAACUGUCGGUACCACCAGCUACCUCGAUCUGACUGUUAGGAGAUUCUAGGAUGCGCGAGAAAUAACCCUACCGGUACCAUCGGGCUUGUGUCGGUACUACCGACCAUCGCCGGUACCACUGAUAGUUCAAAUCUGCACAAUCAGAGUUGGCGCAAAUUUGACCUAUAGGUACUACCGACGUUUCACCGGUACUACCGGCGCUGGCCAGUACUACCGGCCUAAGCUCGGUACCACGAGCAGUUCAAAUUCUCGCAGAUUCUAGAGAGGCCACUGAGCAAGGCUUUGACUUGCCGGUACCACCGACUCAGAGCGUUGGUACUACCGACGCACCCUGGUAGAAAAAAAUGUUUCUAAGUGCCUGUGAGUGCAAGCGUGUCUCUCAAGAGCAUUGUAUAUUGACCUGAGCACCCUUAUCCUCAUCUUACCAACUUAAUUUGCAUCCCUCUUGAUAGUGCGGCAUUUCCUAUAACCCAACAAAAGAUAAGAAUAUUGUAGCCACUUGAGUCGAAACACCAUUCAUCCAUUGAAAAUUUAGGGGUGCUAUAAUUCACUGAAUGUUUUCGUUCAAUUCCAUCAAUGGACUAACACCUAUAGAUAAUGCUCGAUAAACAUGUUAGUCCCUAAUUUGAUUGUCAUUAGUUAUUAAAACCCACAUCGAGGGCGAAUGCACUUACAAUGUGCCGGCACAAUCUUUUGGAGGUGCUCAUAGGGCUAGGAUUUGCGUAAAGAUGUUCAUAGGGUACUUGUGUAAUUUUCUAAGAAAAAAAAACCACAUAUCUUGAACUUAUAGUCGACGAAUAAGGAUAUACAUGUUAUGUGUUGCUAGUAGCAAUUAAACUCGACGAAUUCAUAGUUGACAUCGGCUCUUGAACAUGAUAUCCAGAAUUAUGAUAUAUUAGAUGAGGACCAUUAUCAACAUAGGUAUUGGUCGAUGCAACAUAUCUACCAUUAUCGUGACUAGCAACACCAAUAUGAGAAUUCAUAUAAUUUGCAAAACAACUAUUAGAAUCAUAAGAUAUAUUUGCAUGUUGUGCCUUGGGGGUAAUUGUAGUACUAUUGUGAUGCAACACCUUGGUACUCCAUGAUCUAGAAAUUGACCACCUUGCUGAAUUUUUCAAUAGCAAGAGCAACACUUGUAAAAUACAAAGAGAGAACACAAGUGGUCAAAACCAGAUGCAAUCGACCAUUUGGGCUAGAUGCAAUGGUAAUGAUGAGCACAAGAAGAUAGAUAAAUGAAGAGUAGGACUAUGGCAAAGAGAGAUUCGGCUACAAAGUAGAGCCAAAGUAGUUGUCUCCAGCAGAGUCAUUAAAAAGUGUGUUGACAACAUAUUUGAUCCUGGUCACAUACCAACUAGGGCUAGAUCGCCUGAGUCACCACGGACCAAAGAACAUAGUGAGGAUCACACUUACAUGAUGAAGAAAAGAGAGGUUUACAAGCAAACCACCAAAGGAUAUCUAUUGUGCUUUGCAUAAUGAAGAACGACUAGUUUCUAGACAAACUAGCAAAGAAAUCGUCGAAGUUCACACGCGAGAGGGACCCCGUGGGGGCAAAGACGUCGUUGGGUUGCCCUAGGUCGGCUAGCAAGCCUAGGGCACCAUUCUUGGUAGUCGGAUCAAGUGAUAAACAACAAGACAUUGGUUAGAAGAGAUUAGGCAAAAGGGAAGUAAAAUUGGUUCUAAUUUGAUCGAUUGUGUGUGUUGGGCACCUCAAUCCAUUGUGCACUUUAUAUUUAUCAAGUGGGGGUGGUCUUAUCCCAUAAGGGGUCAAAAUUCUUGCAAAACACCUUAUAACACAUUUAUUUAGAUCCGAUUUAGGACUGCCAAAUUCGGCUAAGCCGGUUCUAGAGUCAGCUAAAUCGACUUCUACAGGCUCCAGGCAAAAACUUUUGAAAUUUAGAAUUAAUUAUUUGGGAGUCUAAACGAGGUAAACCAUAUAUGUUUUUCAAUAAGCUCGACGAGAGAAACACAAUAGUGCAAUGCAUUCUUACAUUUGAGAAAAUUGAGAAAGUUGGCUUAGCCAAUUUAGGGAGCGAUUCUAGCCGGGCCAGCCUCCUGAAAAGCCAUUUUCUUCGUUGGGGCUUCAAAUGCGAUGAUCCAAGUAUGCUUUCUUGCCGUUUUGAUGAUAAAAAUAUGAUGGUGAAGUCCAUUAUGUACUUUGUAUAAUUUUGGAUGUCAACAGUAGAGCAGACGUGGGCACGCAGGGACAAGGCCAGUGUGGUCGUUGGGGUGCACGGCCAUUGGGAGCAUGGUGUCGGGCCAAGGUUCUUCCUCCGUGCAUAAAGGCUUGAUCAACGCAGGCCAACACUGUGUUACCCUCAGCAAUAAAAGUGAGUCCACGUAUACACAAAAACUUCCAAGCUACCACAACGCAAGCUAUUGCCAGCACUUCUCUUUCUCUGCUUGAAAAGCUACCAUCGCUCGCUAGCUAGAAGACGCUCAAGCACGCCACAAUGCGUCUGCAGCCCAGGAUUUGGCCAAGACUAGGGCCAAAUCUUGACGGUCAAAAUACAAAAGCUACAACCUCUAUAAUAUAGUCUAUAUAUAUAUAUAUACGGCAAUAUUAUUCUACACCCUAGGUGUAGAAUAUUAUUCUACACCGCAAGCCAAAAUUGAGCAGAAAAAAAACUGAGUAGUACUCAACAUCGUUCAAUAUCAUCCAACGCUACACUUAGGACCACGAAAUACCGAACAAUACUGAAACACGGAUACUGAACGAUACUGAAAUCUGUUCAGUAUAGUAGUUCGGUGUAGAAUAGUAUUCUACACCUAGGGUGUAGAAUAGCACUUAUAUAUAUAUAUAUAUAUAUAUAUAUAUAUAUAUAUAUAUAUAUAUAUAUAUAUAUAUAUAUAUAUAUAUCACAGAAAACAAAUAUUCUCAAGCAAAGUUUGCAAAUCCAGAGAAAUUCAACUAUAUAAUUAAUAGUAUAAUAGAAUAGCCUUUGUCUUCUUCAUCUAAUUGGAAUUAAACAUUCAAAAUUAGUAGUUGAAAUCAAAAUUAGUAGAGAUUACUUGAAGCAAAUAAAGAGAAGAACUAAAAUUGAACUAUUGAAGAAAUACCUUCACGGCUUCACAACUGCCUUUAGGAGGUUGCCAAAGAGGCGAUGGGCAAGGAUCGGCCUUGCCUGCCUAUCUGCGUGGGCUACGGCAGCCACCGGGUGUCGGCAAGCGAGGGCUACGCAGCCACGGGGUGGAGCAGGAGGCGGGAGGCACUGAGGCAACAGGCAGGGGCGGCGGCGCCGAUGUGUGGUACGAGAGGUGGAAGGCAGAACCACAGAAGAGUUGCAUGACAGUGUGACUGCAUAGGUGACGAGGACUCUUUUGGGCUGGCUUAGUCUCCUCGGCUUUGUUUUUUGGGUCAAACCUGAAGACUUGCUCCUAGAAGUUUUGGGCUACCACUAGGGCCCUAGGCCCGCCCCUGUCUGUGGUUGAUGCCCAGCUCUUUUGUCAUAUGAAGCCAUGAAGGCUUCUGCAAGCCACACUGAUAGGUUUUGAGGCUAUGAAAGCGUAUGACAUGAAACAUCACCGUUGAGCUGGACAAUGAGGCUGUACGCCAUGUAGGAGCGUUGGGGAAGCCAUAAGUGGAACAACAAACCUCCUCCUUUCAGAAUUACAGAAUACAAAGAGUCAAAGACCAAUAAUCUAAAGAAAAAAGAGUCAACGACCAAUAUACAGUGCGAAGUACAUCCAUUAUGACUAAGGCCCUGAUUGGUUCCACCAACUAAUUAUUUUAGCUACUCUUGGGUGACUAAUGGAACUAAACUAUUUUAUCCCCUUUUAGUCAAUGUGUUUGGAACUUUAGCUACUAAAGUGACUAAAGUUUAGCUAGCAAAAAUUUAGUUGGUGGAACCAAACAGGGCCUAAUAUAGUGCCACAACCACAACACACAAAAACUUAAACAGUUGGAUUGUAAUGUAUAUAUGGGUUCAGACGGAAAAAAACAAAUAAGAGUUCUUCUCAUUUCGAUUAGGUCCACUGCUCCGCUACACUGCAUGCUGAUGAAAAUUGUUGUCGAAUUACAUACAGAGCAAAGACGAGACGAGACGAGACGAGACGCUCUGGUCACUGUUCUACAGUCUCCAAGAAGCUUUGUCAACUGAUGAACAAGUAACAGAUUCUAAAUUCCCGCCCGGGCUGCGCGCAUGCCGGCCGGCGAACAUGUCCAGGGCUCACAGUCAGCGACCGGAGCCUCUCGGGCGCUGCCGGGCACAGUCAGCGACCAACGUCGACAAUGAGGCCGACGACGAGGACGCCUCUCGGGCGCCGGCACAGUCAGCGACUAACGUCGACAGCGAGGCCGACGACGCGUACGCCUCGGGCGCCGGCAUCGCGACUGACGUCUGCAACGACGCCGACGAGGAGGACGCCUGGAGCGCGGGCGUCGCCACUGACGUCUGCAACGACGCUGGCGACGAGUUUACCAUGUUCAUUAUGCUCACCCAGUACUUCUUCUCCUCCUCCGUCUGCUGCUCGAUCAAGGAGUCGUCGAGAAGCAUGCCCGCGAACGCCGCCGCGGUGAUGUCUGCGUCAGCGACAUCGAUAACGUGAUCUCCCCACUGCUGCUGCUGCUGCUGAAGAGGUUCCUUGCGCGCCUCCUCGUGUGCCUGCACGGGCUUCGUGGCGGCGCGCGCUGCCGCAACAUCGGCGCGGAGCGCCUCCAGGACCGAGGCCUGCGCCGCGCUCUCAGAGAUGCUCAGCGUGGAUGUCGGCAAGCCGAGGUGGUGCGCCGCGGCAGGUCCGGGCAUCUGCGGCGGCGGCGGCAACAAGACGGACGCGGAGCCGGAGGCCGCGAGCGCGCGCCGGCGCCUGGCCUCGCGCGCGCGCGCCUCGGCCUCGAGCCUCGCGCUCCCCCACUGCGCCGUCACCGUGUGGCCGGCUUCGCCGUGCUUCGUGCCAGCGGCACCGCCGCCGGGCCCGGUUCCGCCGUCGGAGCGCGGCUUCUUGUGCGUGACCGGGUCGACGCCCAUCUUGGUUAGCCGCUUCAUGUUCCAGUAGUUCUUGAACUGGUUGUCUGUGCGCUUUGGGAGGUGUGUCGCGAUCUCCGACCACCUGCAAUGCAAGCACGGCGGAUGCCAUGAAAAAAAAUUGUCAGCAAUCGCGGGCGUCGACAAAUCUGUAUUGGCGGCGUAAACCACCAUGGGCGUGCGAGACAGUAACGAGUGCUUGGCCUGGCACAGACACGAUGCACUUUUCCUAAAAAAAAACAGACAUGAUGCACUAGCUCAACUCAAAUGACAACUUCUCUAACAAUAAACGACUACAACGCUUCGUCUUUGGUAAGGUUCUCUUUAGGCUCGAGAUCCACAUUAUCAUCCAAGCAAGGCAUAAAUGGGCUAGACCCCUUGUCCACAAUAAUUUCCAAGCACCUAACACUACUAAUCUUCACAACUUCUUUGUAGUUCUUCCAUUCUUCCUCACAUGACAAAGCCAUUAACACAUAGUGUGCUCUUUCCUUCCCACAGUUGACCUUUCCAACUUGUUGGCCACCUAAUUUUCUUCCGGCAUUGGGUAAGCAAAGCAUCAAAACUAAGAGGUGUACUAAAGAAAUGAAGUUGCCAUUCAUGCUGUCAAACUCCUCAUUUCCUUUAAUUUUGCCACCAUGAAACAAUCGCACUAAACAAUCCAUGUACAAAAUAUGAAGCAACACAUCAACACCUACAUCAACUGCAUAUUUCCAAAUCAAAUCGUGUGCCUUCACUACUACACACCUACAUCAAGUGCAUAUUUCCAAAUCAAAUCGUGUGCAUUCACUACUACACUAACAUAUCACAACCUUCACAGUGAUGACAACAAAGGCAACACACCAACCUAUCCAAUUCCUUCAUGUAUCAACUACCUAGGUUCAUGCAACAUGUAGUUUAUGUUGAAUCCAUGGGCAGAGUAUAUCCUAAAUCUAGUGUACGCAUCUAAUACUAAUAAUGAACGCAAAGAAACAUUCGCAACAUCUCAAAAUUUUGUAACCCUAGUCAUGGAGGUAAUGAUACACCAAAUCAAGAAAUCGAGGGGGAAGAAGUUGUACCUCGCAUGUAGGAGGGUGGCCAGAGCAGGGCGACCCACUAGCCACCAGCGGGGGAGGCAGCGGCGGCCAGCGUCGGCGUGUGGGGAGGCCGGAGGCGGCGGCGGCGGCGGCGCCUGGGUUUCCUUGGCGCUCGUGGGACGUGGAAGGAAGGGAGAGGGAGAUAGAGAAAAGAAAGUGGGCUGGGCCUACAAAACCCUAUGCCCCUUUGUUGCGCUCGAGUCGCUGGCGCAACAGGGUGGGCCCCAUCCGACGCCACGCUAGAUCAAGUCUGUGGUCGCUGCUACCGUAGCGCCCCUGGUCACGCUAGUGCGUGUGGCGCACCAAAGGGGCCAGUUUUGCUUAAGCUUUUUGGGUGUGUUUAUUAUUAAAAUAUUGAUUAAAAAAUGAUUAAAAAUAAAAACCCCCUUACAAGCCGUGUGCGCUGAAGGAGGAUAGAGCAAAACAGGAGGCAAAAGUUUCUUUUUGACAAGAAGCAAGGAGGUAAAAGGUUCAUAACUCUAAAGGCCUUGAAAGGCUGCCAUGUGAAGAAAUGUGGGGUGUCUAUCUCCAAAAGUGGCAACAAUGCUAUCUUGUUGUGACGCCACAACACUUAACCAUUUGAAAUACAACACAUAUUUUUGCAUAUCACACAAGACAAAUUGAUUAGGCAUUAGGGUUUUGCUUUCCUCCGGCGGUGCCGUCGGAGUCCACCAAAAUCGAGCGAUCUCCGUGAUCGCUCCAUCCGAUCCCUACGUCCGGAUUAUCCUCCUCUCCGCAAGGAGCUGGGGGAUCAUCUACGCAGGUUGCAUGGCUGAAAGCUCGAAGAAGGAGAAGGGGAAAGGCGUGGAUAUGGAGGAUGGUGGAGGUGUGCCAAGUCUAGAGGAGCGUUUGGAUGGACUGAAUCUACAAGGAGAGGAAGAUGAAGACCUUGAUUUUUCAGGGGAACUCGAUGAACUUGUGAAGGAUGGUCGCUGGAUUGCUUUGUUUAGGGUUAACACCCUGAAGCCCUUCAGUCACGCAGCUUUGUUUAGCGCCAUGAGGAACGCAUGGUCGGCGGCGAAAGAGGUGACGUUCAAGACUUUAGGACCGAAUCUAUUUUUAGUCCAAUUGAAUUGUCUUGGGGACUGGACGAGGGUGAUGGAGGGGAGUCCUUGGUUGUUCCGUGGAGCAGCAAUUGUGCUUGAGGAAUAUGAUGGUUUCUCCAAUGUUUUUGAGUACAGUUUGAACAGGAUCCCAGUGUGGACUAGAAUUCAAGGUGUACCAGAGGUGUUGAUGAAGCGAAGGGAACUAGCAGAGAAGGUAGCAAAGAAGGUUGGAGAAAUUAUUACUGUGGUGGUAAAUGAGGGCCAAAUUAAUCCUACACCAUAUUUGCGCGCAAGGGUUUGGCUUGACUUGAAUAAACCCCUUGUUAGGGUGGUGCCGAUCACUCUAAAGGAAAGGAAACAAUACUUGGUGCAGUAUGAAAAACUUCCAAGUUUCUGUUUCUUUUGUGGCCGCUUGGGGCACGAAGUAACAGAGUGUGGAGAUGGAGUGCACAAUAAAGCCACCUGCCAAUGGGGUGAUUGGCUGCGAAUUCCUUUCCAAGCGCUGGCCCGAGGCAGAGAAGAGUUUAGCAGUGGAAGAGGCAGUGGAAGGGGGAGAGGACGAGGAAGAGGUGGUGGAAGGGGUCAGUGGCUUGAUGAGGAUGAUGAUGAAAUAAAAAAUUCUGUUGGCGAGGAGGAAAAUUUAGAAAAAUCUAUGAUUGAUAAUAAGGAAAUCCCAGGGGGAGAUGGAGCAGAAGAUAUGCAAGUUGUGUUGGCUGAUCCGCACGCUUCCAUCAGUCCUCUGAAGGAACAGGAGAAAAAGAGACCGAGAAGGGACGGAGAGGCAGAGGAUGGUUCAAAAAAUACAACUGUGAGAUCGGCGCUCUCCUUCGAGGAGAGUGGCCGGGCGGAAUGAAAAUCUUAGCUUGGAACUGCCAGGGCCUUGCGAGUGCCCGGGCAGUUCGAGCGCUUCUGCAUAUCCAGAAGCGGGAGAAACCAGAUGUGUUUUUUCUGUCUGAAACACAUCUGGGUAAGGAGAAGACAGAAAGGUUGAAAAGAAAGCUGGGUUGUGAUCACUUCAUUAUUCAUGAAAGUGAUGGUCGAAGCGGAGGUUUACUAAUGUUGUGGAGGAAGGAGACUGUGAUUCAGUGCCAGGGUUUUUCACAAUAUUUUAUUGAUGUAAUAAUUCGGGGCCCUCAGGAUUGGAGGUUAACUGGUGUAUACGGAGAGCCAAGAUGGAAUCAUAAACAUUUAACCUGGGAGGCUUUGAGGGCUCUGCAUGGCAGAUUGGAUCUCCCAUGGCUGAUGGUAGGAGAUUUCAAUGAGAUCUUGUUCCAUCAUGAAAAGGAGGGAGGUAGAGUGAGAUCACAAUCACAGCUGCAAGCAUUCCAGGAUGCUCUUAUGGACUGUGAAUUAUCUGAUAUUGGAUUCUCGGGGGACGCUUUUACUUGGCAGCGAGGGAAGAUCAGAGAAAGAUUAGAUCGGGGAGUUGCUAACACACAGUGGAAUAUUUUAUUUCCAGAAGCUCAGCUUAUCAAUGGGGAGAUGGUGAAAUCUGACCAUCGUCCUAUCAUUAUCAAUACUGAGGUUUCUGGUGGGCUACACCACCAAAGAGAAGGGCAAAGAAAGUUUGAAGCCAGAUGGCUGAAAGAGGAGACAGUACAAGAGAUUCUACAGGCAGCCUGGGCACGGGCUGCAGCACAGGGCGGCGGUCCAAGUCUAAUGGCAAAGGUGAAUGUAGUGCACAAUAGUUUACAUGACUGGGAUAGAAGGGUUUUGAAAAAACCUGUUCAGCAAAUGAAAAAACUCAAAAGGGAACUUGAGAUUUUGAGGCGUGGAUCGUUAACAGAUGAAACACUAGCGGCACAAAAAGAGAUUCUACUGCGACUAGAAUUAUUACUAGAGCAGGAAGAAUUUUUCUGGGUUCAACGAGCUAGAGCAAAUUGGCUCAAACAUGGGGACCGAAAUACUAGCUUCUUUCACCACUAUGCGUCAACUCGAAGGAGGAGGAAUAUGAUUAAGGGGCUGGUAGACGAACUCGGGGUAAGACAUGAGAGUAUUGGGGAGAUGAAGGAAAUGGUGAGGGACUUUUUCUCAAAUCUUUUUACAUCUGAAGUGCACGAAGUUGAUGGGGAAGUCUUGAGAGAUAUAAAUUGCAGGGUCACCAAUGAUAUGAACCAGCUACUCCUAGCCCCAAUUUCUAGGGAGGAGGUGAAGAAAGCUUUGUUUAGCAUUGGUGAUCUAAAAGCCCCGGGACCUGAUGGGCUUCAUGCUAUUUUCUUUAAGCGGUUCUGGAACAUGUUGGGAGAAGAGCUAACUGAUGAGGUGUUACAGGCGAUAAACUCCUCUACGAUCCCAGAGGGGUGGAAUGAUACUACUAUUGUCAUGAUUCCUAAGGUGGAUAAUCCAGAGAAAGUUGCUCAAUUCAGACCAAUCUCUAUUUGCAAUGUGGUUUACAAGGUAAUCUCAAAGAUCCUAUCAAGUAGACUAAAAAUUAUUUUACCUGAUAUCAUAAGCCACCAUCAAAGUGCCUUUGUUCCGGGAAGACUGAUUACAGAUAACAUUUUAUUGGCAUAUGAGUGUUUACAUACCAUGAAAAAGAAAAAAGGAAACAGGGGGUUAUGUGCUGUCAAGCUUGAUAUGCAGAAGGCUUAUGAUAGGGUCGAAUGGGGUUUUCUAGAGAAGAUUAUGAUGAAGCUUGGUUUUAACCAACGAUGGGUUAAGCUUAUUAUGGCUUGUGUGAAAUCUGUCAAGUAUACUAUUCGAUUCAACUCUGUGGAAACUGAUGUCAUCGUACCAACAAGGGGUUUGAGGCAGGGUGACCCACUAUCACCAUACCUCUUCCUUCUAGUUGCAGAGGGACUAUCAGCUAUGAUUAAGGGUGCUGAGGAAAGAGGGGAAUUGGAGGGUGUUAAGGUAUGCAGGGCUGCUCCUGUUAUCUCACACUUGUUAUUUGCAGAUGAUUCUCUCAUUCUAAUGCAUGCUGAUAAGAAGAAUGCAGAAUGCUUGAUUGAUAUUUUGAACAAAUAUUGUGCAAAUUCGGGCCAAAAGGUGAAUGAAGCAAAGUCAAGUAUUUUCUUUUCAAAUAACACCAAUGAUGAUGCCAAAGUGGAGGUCUGUGAUGCACUGAAUAUCAUGACUGAAUCCCUUAGUGACAAAUACUUGGGCUUACCAGCAAUGGUGGGGGCUGAUCGGAGUGACUGUUUUCGGCAUCUUAUUGAUCGGGUGAAUUCCAGAAUCAAUGGAUGGAAGGAGAAGCUCCUAAGUCUGGGAGGCAAGGAGAUCCUGAUAAAAUCUAUUGCUCAAGCUAUACCGGUGUAUGCGAUGAUGGUAUUUAAAAUUCCUAAUAAAAUCUGUAAGGGAAUAACAAAUGCUAUUUCGCGGUACUGGUGGGGUGAUGAGAAUAAUCAUAAGAGGAUCCAUUGGCAAAAAUGGUGGAAAAUGUGUAUGCCAAAGGGAGCGGGAGGAAUGGGUUUUAGAGAUAUACAGUCUUUCAAUUUGGCAAUGUUGGCAAAGCAAGUAUGGAGACUGCUGAGAGAUCCUGAUUCAUUAUGUGCUAGAGUAUUAAGAGCACGUUAUUAUCCGGAUGGCAAACUGUUAGAGGCGAAGAUGAAAACAGGUUGUUCCUACACUUGGCAAAGUAUUUUGGCUGGCCUUGACUGUUUCAAAUUGGGAUAUAUCUGGAGGAUUGGUGAUGGAACACAGAUAAAAAUAUGGGAGGACAGUUGGAUACCUGGUAGCCAUAAUAUGAAAGUUCAGACACAUAGAGGGAACAAUAUAAUCAGAACUGUAGAUGAGCUUAUUAAUCCAGUGAAUGCUUCAUGGGAUGAGGAGACUUGGUACGCUCUAUCCUAGAGGUCGAUGCAAAUUAUAUCCUACAGAUUCCUAUUACUUCAGGGAGAGACGAUUGUGUUGCGUGGCACUAUAAUAGAAACGGUAUGUUUUCAGUCAGAUCAGCUUAUCAUGUCCAAUGGAAGAAGAAAGUUGGUGCUAGGAUGGCUACUAUGGAUAGUGGCACUAGCAAUCACCGGAUUUGGAAGAAUCUUUGGAAGCUUGAUUUACCGGGGAAAAUAAAAAUUUUUGCCUGGAGAGCUAUUAAGGAAUUGAUGCCAUGCAAUGCUAUACUAGCGAAUAGGCAUAUUAUCCCUAACGGAGGAUGCCCGGUGUGUCAAAAUGGUGCGGAAAAUAUUAAACACGUGUUCUUUACUUGUGAUCGAGCCAAAGCAGUAUGGAGAUCGAUAGGAAUCUGGGACAAAAUCCGAGGGCUGCUAGAGGCUAACCAACCAGAAUCUGUUAUGUUGGAAGGAAUUAUUAAUAGAGGUGACCAAAUUCACACCCUGAAUCUUGGCUUUGCAGAACUUCUCUUGACAGGUGGAUGGUAUCUGUGGUGGGAACGGAGACAACUUACUCACGGAGAAACAGUUCAGACACCAUCAAGAUCAGGUUUAGCAAUUACCUCUUUAACAAAGAACUACAAGUUGGCUAUGAAGAAGGAUGCUAAGAUAAAACAGGGAUGGAAAAAACCAAGGGAGGGUUAUAUCUCUCUGAAUAUUGAUGCAGCCUUUGAUGAAGAUAAUGGCUGCGGCAGUACGGGUGCUAUUAUUCGAGAUGGUUUUAGGGGUAUGAUUGCAGCUUCAAAUACCUUUAUCCCCUAUCUUGUUGAUGCACCAAUGGCCGAAGCUUUUGCUCUUAAGGAGGUUUUGAUGCUAGCUCAACAUAUUGGAGGUAAUCGGUUGAUUGUCCAAUCGGAUUGCUUGGAAGUUGUCCAGAUUAUGGAGAAUGGAGGAUUUACUGCGAAUUCAGCAGCCGCAAUUUAUGAUGAAUGUAGCAUCGUCUGGAAUGGAUUUCAAGAGAUCUCUAUUGAGCAUUUGAGUAGGGAGGCAAACAAUGUGGCGCAUGCGCUAGCUAGGCAAGCUAUUAUCUCUAGAACAAACUGUAUUUGGGACGAUGAUCCCCCUAGUUUUAUUGUCCAACUAUUAUCAGACGAUGUAACUAUCUUUGGUAAAUAAAGUUUGCCCAAGGGCUUUAUAAAAAAAAGAUUAGGCAUUAACAUAAUACCACAAUUUAUACAUACCCGCAUGAAACCACGCUAGGUAACUUGUUGAAAUCAGAAUAUCACCUAUGAAUAUCUAAACAAACACAUCUUUUUCGAAGAAAAUGGAAAUUAUGAGAUACAUGAAGUAUGUCAAGGUCAUUUAGGACCCUAGACGACAUAACCGUGCACUCAUAAAGACCAUACCGAGUCGAGAAAGUUGUCUUUGGUAUGUCCUUAAUUACCCUACCUUAGGUCCAUCUUGGAAAAGAACCUAGCUCUAACUAAUUGAUCAAAUAGGUCAACUCUCUAGGGAGUGGAUAGUUGUUCUUCACCGUCAUUGGCAUUUGAAGGCAAGUGACUCACAACCAUCCAAAGACAUACUCUUGUCCUUCUUGGUUACAAACAAGGCCAGGCAUCCCAAAGGAGAGGAGCUAGGUCAGAUGCACCCUUUUUUUAGUAGGUUAGUCAACUGUUUCUUUAUCUCUGCAAACUCUAUCUGUCUCAAACAAGAGGCAUUCUAGGUUUUUCUUCAGGAAACACAUUAGAAAACUCAGGUACCAAGGAAUAGUUUCCAACUCGAGCAACUUCUUGAUGUUCAAGGUAUGCAACAUUGGUCAGCGAGGCAUGGAUGGAAACAUGGUGACUCUUUGGCCGGAGGCGUGUUAAAGUUCUAUGGCUUUAUAGGUAGGAAUAUCUGAGUAGACCAUCAUUUACACUAGUUGUGCUUGAAGUGACUCUAUAUAUUAGCAUCACAACCAGUGAUCUGAAUGCUUGUAUUCAAGAUCAAUUAUCUCUCAUAAUUUUUUUCUUUUGGAAAAAGCGACUGGGAAAAUCUUGUGCAAUAAACGUAUAUAUUCCCUGUCAUACAUGGAACUAUCUCAAGCCAGUUGAUGAAAUGAUUUGUUGGGUGGUAUACUUUUAGCGGUUUGUGUGUGCCCUACUUCUAGGACAUUGUUGACACAAGCUAGCGGUCAGUUUUUCCUUACCGGGCAUGCAGCUGGGGAAAAGACCCCAAUAUUGUCAAGCUGGACUGCAUGAUAUGCAUAUGCAUGGCCUGCACCGAAAACAAUUUGUACCAUGCUUCUUUCUUUUUUUUGAGGAAACAGGAGGAGUACAGGUACUCCUACUGAAAAAUUUUAUUAAGGAAACAUCAGAAAAGAACCAGAUAAUAGGGCAGCAAGAGCAUGCCAAAGUUCAAGAAACAAACAAAAGAGAGAAAGAAAAUCAUGUCUAAACUACUUGAUCUAGCCAUAACUCUAUUAUAGGAAAGUAUUUACUCUUAGCUCUCCAUAAGAGUUGCCUGAAGAGGCUUUUGAAGACUUGCAAACAUCUUAGACAGUUAACCGGGAUUCCUCUGAAGAUGAAAUCAUUCCUUAUGGUCCAUAAGCUCCAACAAAGAAGGACGAUGAUUUCCAGGGAGAAGCUGACUUGAAGCUGAGUCUUGAAGCUAUGGAACUUAGAAAGCCUGUCGGGGCUGCUGAUGGCUGUCAGACCAAGGAGCCCCAGCAAGACCAGGCAAAGCUGCACUCAAGGAAGAGGUGAUCAACAGUUUCUUCAAUAUUUUCCCCACACAAAAUGCAGCUGUAAGAUGGAAGGAACAUGUUCUUUCUUCUGAUAAUGUUGCGGGUGCUCAGCCGAUCCUGGAGGAGAAGCCAGAAGAAAACCUUUUGCUUGGGCAGACAGGAACAUUUCCAAACUUUGAGGAAGAUAGGGGAGCAGAGGUUGUUCCAGCGAGGUGCUUGUAAGCUUUGUGUGGGCUAAAUCUAGAAUUACCCCAAAUGUAGAGCCAAACAUCAGAGGAAUUGGUACCGAGUGCUGAUCAUGAAGGAUAGAGCAAAAUAUCUGAAGUUGAUCAAAAGCUUCCACACUGAGGGGGAGGUUGAAGAGGUUAGCUGGGUCAUUGACAGAGGUUGCAUGAUUAACAAAGCACUUGGGUUUUUUAGCAAAGGAGAAAAGCUCAGGAAAAGAGAGCCUAAGCGGCUGCCCAAUCCAGCAGUCAUCCCAGAGCAGGCAGGUAGUGCCAUCACCAGCAGAGACAGCAACCAUUCCUUUGAACUUGUCGAGUAACUUUAGAAUAUCCCUCCACCAGAAGGAGCCUUUCCUCACAGGUCAGGUAGCUUAUCAUUGGAGUAGUAUUUUUCCCAAAUCAACUUAACCCAAGGGAUAUCAGCUUUAUUGAAGAAUUUGUGAAGAUUCUUGAGGAGGAGGGCCUCAUUGUGAGUUUUCAGGUCAAGAACACCCAUUCCACCAUCUUUCUUGCUCGUAGUAACUAGAGGCCAGGCAGCCUUUGCAUUAAUUCUGUUAUUUUCAUCAUCAUUUCCCCUCCACAAGCAAUACUUUCUAAAUUUGUCCACCAUCUCCUUAAUACUAGCAGGCAGGCUGAAAGUGCACAUGAAGAAGGUUGGGAGGCAGAGAAUACAGAGUUGACCAUCUGUAGUUUGCCAGCUUGUGAUAGGAAAAGGGAUGUGCUAACAAGUCUCUUUUCACAUCUUGUGACCAGAGGAAGGAAGUCAUCAACUUUGGGCCUAGAUAACCCAAGUGGAAGACCUAAGUAAGUGAAAGGGAAGCUGCCUACAGCACAUCCAAACAUUGCAGCAAGGUGCUCAGCCCUGCCAGGAGACAUGUUGAUUAGGACAAGGAAGGAUUUGCUGAAGUUCACCUUAAGCCCGUUAGAGGUGGGAAAGGAAUGCAAGAGUGCUUUGAGGGUGAAUGGUUGCCUCUCACAGCCAUCAAGGAUAAGCAAGGUGUCAUCAGCAUACUAAAGAAUGGGGAAAUCUUCUGAGUAAGAUAGGGGGAUGGGGAGGCUCAACAGCCCUUUUCUUUUGGCUUCAUUAAUGAUAGACUGUAGAAGAUCAGCAACUAAAACAAAGAGAAAUGGGGAGAGGGGGUCUCCUUGGGUGACACCUCUCUUGCAAUGAAACACUUUGCCAGCAACUGUAACACCCUAAAUUUUGCUUUUUUGAAAAAUAGAUGAAAAAUAAUUUAUUUAUGUAUUUUUGUGCUCAUGAAACAUAGAAAAAAAUAAUAUUUUUCAUUAAAAUAAAAUUUAUUAUAGGAUUUAGCAACUUGUUUGUGUAUUCAUGCUUGUGCAUUCAUUUCUAUUGUACUGAGUGGUUUUGAUCUAAAACUCAAAACGAUUCAAAUACUUUCAAAACUAAAUUUGACAGUAGGCUUUAAAUAAAAGAAAAGAAAAGAAUAAUUAAAAAAAAAUAAAAAAAACUUUUUUUCUUUUUCUUUCUUGACCCAAGAAGCGCUCUCUCUCUCUCUCAGCCUCUCUUCCUAAGCUGUCUACUGCCUCUCGGUCCGUCAAGAAGGCCCAAGCCAGAGCCAAGCCUCUCCUAUAAGAGCUGAAACUUUUCUCGUGUCGGUGCUUCUUCAUCUACGCCGCCAGGAGCCGCCUUUAGCCUCGCCAUCUGCCGAUCAGGAUCUCACCGAGCGUGACGCACCUGCCACUGCCGUGGAUACCCUUCGCUUCCCUGCCGUCGCGCCUACCCGUUGUUGAGUCUCACCUCAAGGAAGGUCGUCGCCGCUUCGGAGAGCUUUGUUCUAUCUAUGUCUGUUUUCCGCAUGGUAAAACCUCCACGGUGAGUUCGCAAUCUUGCCCACUUUCUCCCCGUGCUAUUCCCACCACGAACCAACACUUGCUUUUUGCUGAUGAUUCACUCAUAUUGAUGAAAGCAGAUAAAAAGAAUGCAGAUUGCUUGAGUGAUAUUCGGAACAGAUACUGCAUCAACUCUGGACAGAAAGUGAGUGAAGUGAAAUCAAGUAUAUUCUUUUCAAGCAACACUGAGGUAAAUGUGAAGGUAGAAGUAUGUGAUGCUCUAAACAUAGUGACUGAGGCUUUGGGGGAUAAAUAUUUGGGUUUGCCAGCAAUGGUUGGGACAGACUGAAGUGAUUGCUUUCGCCAUCUAAUUGAUAGGGUGAGUGGCAGAAUAAAUGGAUGGAGAGAGAAGCUUCUAAGUCUAGGAGGGAAAGAGAUACUUAUCAAAUCUAUUGCUCAAGCUGUACCGGUGUAUGCAAUGAUGGUGUUUAAGAUUCCAAAAAACAUUUGCAAAGGAAUUACAAAUGCCAUCUCGCAGUACUGGUGGGGUGAUGACAAUAAUCAUAAAAGAAUUCAUUGGUAGGAAUGGUGGAAACUAUGUUUGCCAAAAGGAGAAGGAGGUAUGGGAUUCAGAGAUUUACAAUCUUUCAAUGAGGCAAUGUUAGCCAAACAAGUUUGGAGAUUGUUGAGUGACCCAGAUUCUUUGUGUGCACAAGUUCUUAGAGCUCGAUACUAUCCUGAUGGUAAACUAUUGAACGCAAGAAUGAAGCCUGGGAGCUCUUAUACUUGGCAAAGCAUACUAACAGGAUUGGAAUGCUUUAAACUCGGUUAUAUCUGGCGUGUGGGUGAUGGUACUGAAAUAAAUAUCUGGGAGGAUAAUUGGAUACCAGGCAGCCACAAUUUGAAGAUUCAGACUAGAAGGGGUAACAAUUUGGUUACAAGAGUGAAUGAAUUAAUUAACCCAGUGGACUUCACGUGGGAUGAACAGCUAAUCCGCUCGAUCUUCUGGGGAAUCGAUGUGAGACGUAUUUUACAGAUACCUAUUACACCAGGAAGAGAAGAUCUUGUGGCCUGGCACUAUAACAGAAAUGGCCUCUUCUCAGUAAAAUCGGCCUACCAUGGUCAAUGGAAACAAAGAUUUGGCCAUAGGCGGAAUGAGGCACCGAGUAAUGGUGUGAGCAGGGUGCAAGUUUGGAAAAAACUAUGGAAGCUCAAGAUACCGGCAAAAAUUAAGAUCUUUGGCUGGAAGAUGUUGAAAGGCUUAGUUCCAUGCAAUGCAGUCUUGGCUAAUAGACAUAUUAUUCCUAAUGGGGAAUGCCCAGUAUGUAAUGGAGGAGCUGAAGAUGUCAAGCAUAUCAUUUUUUCUUGUGAUCGUGCAAAGGCAGUUUUGAAGUCAAUUGGAAUGUGGAACAGGAUAAGUGCAAUGCUGGAUACUGAUCAUUCAGGAUCGGUGUUUCUCCAGGAAGUAAUUCAAAGAGGAGAGCAAGUCCAGGAGUUGGAUAUGGGUCUUGCUGAGCUAAUUCUAACUGGAGGCUGGUAUUUGUGGUGGGAGAGAAGAAAGAUUACCCAUGGUGAGACUGUGAGUCGACCUUCAAGGUCAGGGCUUAUGAUCGUGUCGCUGACCAAGAAUUUUAGGAUGGCAGAGGGUAAAGGUCUGAGGAUUCGGCAAGGAUGGAGGAAACCACCAGAGGAUUAUAUUAUGAUUAAUAUAGAUGCUUCCUAUGAUGAGAAUGAGGGGUGUGGAAGUACGGGUGUGGUAAUCAGAGAUAGCACUGGGGGAAUGAUUGCAGCAACUAACACCUAUAUUCCUCACUUAGUUGAUGCUCAAAUGGCAGAAGCAUAUGCCUUGAAGGAGGGAUUAAUGCUAGCUCAACAUAUUGGUGGUAAUCGGUUGAUCAUUCAAUCUGAUUGCAUGGAAGUAGUAGAAGUGAUGAAGAAUGGGGGCUUCACAGCGAGCUAGGCGGCUGCAAUAUAUGAUGAAUGCAUCACUGUUUGGGGGGAUUCCAGGAGAUCUCUAUUGAACACUUAAACAGGGAAGCUAACCAGGUGGCGCAUGAGCUAGCUAGGCAAGCUAUGAUUACGAAAAUGAGUUGUAUUUGGGACGAUGAUCCCCCUACUUUCAUUGUUCCGAUUUUAUCAAACGAUGUAACUAUUCUUGAUCAAUAAAGUUUGCCAGAUUGUCAAAAAAAAAAAGGCCUGGAACGCCGUAUGGCAAAGUCCGGUGAGCAUGCCUGUGAGCAAACACAAGACAUCACGCGAGCGAGUGGCGCUAGCAGAGCGACCCGGCCGUGCAUCGUGCGUGUUGCUCGUGCGUGUUGCUCUGUGCGCUGCUUCAAUGCUUAGUUAGUUUGAUGGGAUCAUGACGACGUCACCAUGACAUCAAGAAGCAUUAAUGCCAUUUUUCCUUUAGAAAAAUAAAUUUAGAAAUACUAUAUUAAUACAUGUGUAUUUACAUUCCAGUAGCUUAACUUUGUGCCGAUGUGAUCUAUACGUCAGGAAACGAUUGAUGUUUAUAUGCCACGUGCUUUUGUACAUAUUUAAAUAUUAUAAAUUGAUUAAUGAUUAUGUAAACAUAUGUUUAAAUGAAAGCAAUAUAGGGCUAUGUUGAUCUCUUAUAUUCAACAGUUAACUUGAUUAAAGCCAAAUGAAAUAUGUUUAUGGUAUAAUAUUCUUAUGCCAAAAUACGGACAUAUUUUCAUGUACACUUGUCUUUUUCAAAUUAAAGUUAAAGUUUAAUAAUUUGAUCAAAUACUAUAUAUGUGUUUAUAAUAUAAAUAUGAUUAAUUCUACCUUAGCUUUCUUUAUGCUGUCUAAAUUAUAAAUACUUAAAUAGAUUAAAUUAUAUAUGUAUUAGUUAUAAUUAAAAUGUAAUUAAGUUUUAACUCUGACUUUGUAAUUAAUCCAAUUUGACUAAUUCCACUUUAGGAUGUUGCUCUAAAAUAUCUAUCUCCUUGUUUCACUGAAAUAAAAUAAAUACACCCCGUAGUCUUUUGUCUCUUUUUGUAGUCGGUCACGAUAGUCGUAUCCUUUGUAAUGAUAGUUCCGUUAUGAGUGUUUCUUGUGACCUUGUAGCAUUAGCUAUCUAUUAGUACGCUCUUUUAACUUGUAUGGUGUAUUGUUCUUAGUUGUUUCUAUUUGUUGCUUGUAUAUUUGUCUAUGUCCGGUGCUUGCUACGAGUAGACGAGAACCAUUUAUCGGCGUUUAAGAUUACGAGGGAUGACUACGAGAUAACCGAAGAUUCUCUAAAAAAGUUACAUUGGAUUGAAGCGAAUUUAAGGCAAGUAUAGCAUUUGGAUUUUAUUUCUGUGACCAUGAUCUUGUGACUUGAUUAAUGUUUAAGCAACAAAUGAUAAAAAUUGACUUUUUAGCCACUUGAUGAUUUAUCUGUAAGUGAUAACCGGGACAACAGUGCAACCAUGAGGGCUAUAAUGGCUCUGGCUUUAGCUCAGUAUGAAGACAUUUUCUAGCUUGUUAGAGGUUACCCGAAAGGGCGCUAGAGGGGCUGAACCGACACGAGUAUAGUGCGAGCCCCUGUCCCUAUGUGUAUAGACAGCGCGUCAUUGUGCCAUUCGGAAGGGGGGUAUCUAUAUCUGCUCGCGAAGGAAACCUUGCGGCCCUAACAUGUUAGAAGAACUUUUGAAAGGCUUCAUAGUGAUCCCUGCCGACCUUCCUUGGUAGUGGGUUAAGAGGCUGAUCACCUCGGGCGAAAGGGUAAAUCAUGACUCAUGGGUAAAGAUGUACAACCUCUGCAGAGUGUUAAAAACUGGUAUACUAGCCGAGCUCACGAUCAGGAGCGGCCUUGGGGAUUCUUGCAUCAACAGUGAUGAUUCUUAUUUUGUUAAAAUACUCAUUAUUUAUUGUUUAGUGCUUUACAUUAUUUAUGUCACAUUGAUCAUAAGGUUGUGGGAUCUAUACAAUCUAGUUACUAUACUUGUGGAGUUCGACAUGUACUCACUCUUGCUAUUUCCCCACACCCUUCAGGAAAAGUUUUGGGCUUGUGAUCAACCAGUCAGUUGGAUCCUGUAGAGUGAAGUUAAUACCCGAAGUUUGGAGUUGUCUAUCCGCUAUUUACUAUCAAGGUUAUCUCUUUAUACUAAGUACGUUAUAUAUUUAUGCAUUGUCUUUUGAUAUUACCCCUUACUUGUAGCUAUAUGUGUGAAUUGGCUUCUAAAACUCACAUAUGGUGCAUAUCUGGUUUUGUCCUUAAAAUCGGGUAUUACAGCAACCCCAUUUAACAACACAGCAGAAGUGCCAGAAUUAAAGAUUUUCCCCAUCCAAGUUAGCCAUUUGUCACCAAAACCUUUUGCCCUCAUUAUCUCCAGCAUAGCUCUAUGCUCAAUUCUAUCAAAAGCCUUUUCAAAAUCAAGCUUGAGAAUGACUAUUUCUUUCUUGGAGGUGUGACACAGGUGCAAAUAUUCAAAGGACCAGGCAAGACAAUCUUGGAUUGUCCUUGAUUUGAUGAAACCAUAUUGGUUCCAGUGAAUGAUCUUGGUUAUAAGAGGUUGCAGUCUGUUGGCAAGGAGCUUUGUAAGCAGCUUAACUAAGGAGUUCAGGAGGGAGAUAGGCCUGAAGUCAUUAACUCUAGUAGGACCAUCCACUUUGGGGAUGAGGGUGAUAAAGGACCCAUUUAUGCUCUGGAGGCAGAUUUCUCCCCCAUGAAAAGCAGAACAGAGUUUGUAGAAAUCCUCCUUUGUGAUGGGCCAACACUUUUUGAGAAACUCAUUACUAAAACCAUCCGGGCCUAGUGAUUUGUCUAGGGGAAGAAGCUUGACAAUAUUAUCAAUUUCACUAUGACUGAAAGGAGCCUCUAGUGAAGAAAGAUCUACCUCAUGAUGGAUUAACUCAUCAAGCUGGAAAAGCAUAGCUUCAAAAUCAGAGGUGCCCAUUCUUCUUUGAAACUGUUCCAAAUGAUGUCAGCCUUGGAACAGUGAUCAGAGAGCAUGUUACCAUUAUGGUCCUCAAGGAAGGCGAUUGAGUUCAGUCUAUUUCUGAUUGAAGCACUAGCAUGAAAAAGCUUGGAAUUUUCAUCCCCCAGCUUCACCCACUUGAUGGCACUUCUUUGUCUCCAGUAAAUGAGCUGCUAGUGGAGAAGCUGGGAAAGUUUGUUAUUCUAAAUUUCCCUGAAGUUCCAUUCCUCAAUAGAUAAAUCUCUCCAUUCUUCAAUUAAGUCUAGGAAAGAGAGGACGACCUUAAUAUUUGCAAUGGUGGCCUUAAGGUUGGAGAGCUGGGACUACCAGCUUCUAAGAGCACACCUGAGAGCCUUGAACUUGGAAGAGAUAAGCUUAGCAGGAUCAGACUGAUGAAACUGCCCAUUCUAGGUGAGUGCAACUAGGGGGAGGAAGGAGUCAUGAAGCAUCCAACAAUUUUCAAACCUGAAGGCUUUACCUUUGGGGAUAGCAGAUUUGAUGCUGACAACACAAGGCCAGUGGUCAGAAGUUUCCAUCACAAGAGAGUAAGCUGUGGUGCUAGGGAAACUCAAGGUCCAGGACUGAGAGGUGAAGAACCAGUCCAAUCUUUUGAGAAGGGGAGGCUGCUGUUUGUUGGUCUAGGUGAACUUUCUGCCCUGAAGCGGGAUCUCAACAAUGCCCAAAGAGCUAAUGGCAUCAUUGAAAGCCAGCAUGUCAUUAACAUUUGUUCCAUCUCUGUUUCUAUCCUCAGGCUUUCUAUAGAGGUUGAAGUCACCAACAAUGAGCCAAUCUACCUUAUCAGGCAUGGAAAUGUUGUUGAACCAAUCCAAAAAGGCGGCUUUACCAAAACUGUCAUAGGGGCCAUAGAUGGAAGUGAAGAGCCAUGUGCUAUCAUUAUGCACAUAAGAGAAUUCAAUAGAAAGAGCGUAGCUAUUCUGGAAGACUUCGAUUCCAUUGAACAGAGAACUUUUCCAAACAGUAAGAAUUCCCCAGAAGCACCAGCAGAGGGAAUGAAACAAAAAGAAUAAAAAACUCUAGGACAAAACUUUCUAAUAUAGCAAAUGUUAACAGAGUCCCUCUUGGUUUCUUGGAGGGUGAUGACAUCACAGUUGCAUUCAGCAAUCUUAUUCCUAAUUGAUUCCCACUUGCUUUCAGAGUUUAUGCCUCUGAUAUUCCGACACAGAACCUUCCAAUCUCUCUUCAAAGGUGUAUUAUCCAUAACAACAAAAGAAAUAGCAUGCAGCACUAGUGAGCAUAACUAUAGUGCUAAGGAAAUCUAACAACGAGAACCAUGAAGGAAAUGUAAACUUGCUCUCAGAGCACAAGCAGAGGCUUAACCAAGUUUUAAUGUCCAUACCACAAGAUCUAAAGAAGUUUAGAGAAAAAAGCGAGGAUAAAGGUUGGUGCCAUAAGCCACCAAUACAUGUGCAAUGGUGGGGGCAAACCACCAUUAGGACUGGGUCUUGGUUUAAUGUUCUUCAUUCUCACUUUCAUCUUCGUAGCCAUCUGUAGCAUCCUCCCUAGGAGAAGUAUUUCUCAACUUGGACUUGCGGUCUUCAGACUUGGAGCUGAUUAUCUUCGAUCUGCCAAGGGCUGAGACUAUCUUUUUCUACUAGAGCAUUUCAUCUGAGACAAGAGCGGCUUCUAGGUCAUAGAGGGCCGAGCUGAUGCUUCUAAUUGCAGAUGAGGAGAGCGAGGGAGGCUUAGCAUUGCAGCCAACGCAGUUCCUCUCUUUACAUCCCUGGCGCUUGAAACCAUUGUUGCAGGCUCUAACCCGAGGGCUUCUGCGAACCUCUGUCUCCACAACAACUGCUUUGUCUUUGCCCUUUGGCCUACCUGACUUUCCAUUAGCAUGAUGGGUGGGGAUGUCAGGAACUUCAGAAUGAAAGAGCUUGCUAUCAGGGAGCUUACCAUCAAGGGGGCAGAGGGAGGGCUGUCUGGGGAAGCCUCCUCCGAAGAGCAUCUAGGGAAGCUCAAGACAGGACACUUCUUGGGCACAAAAAAACAUGACGAUUGUUUGUUUCCAAUGGCUUCCAUCAACAAAUUAUAGCCCAUCAGCGACUUAGCCAGCUCAAAAUGACACGGGGAUAGCAAGGAGGCAGUGAAGAACCUCUUUCAAUCAGUUGGCACCCAAAACUUGGUGGAGUUCCCAUCCUAGGGGGCAGAGAAAAAGCUAGCCCAAGGGCCGAAAUCAGCCGACUGAGUGGGGUGACUGUCAUUAACUAGAGCAAAGCCCACAUGAACAUUCAGAGGCCCAAAAGGAUUGCCUCCAGCAGCCUCUUCUUGUAGCUGUUGCUGAAUUUCCUCAUCAUCCAUUAGAUCCCCUUCCUAAAUUUCCAGAGGAAAGACAUUCUGAGCUGGUCCAUCUAACACAGGGAUGUUAACCUCCACUGGUUCGACUGCAAUGACUAGGGGGUCAUUGAACUCAGCGUUGGGCGUUGGGUCUAGAUCAGCAUCAUCUUCAUCUUCACUCACUUGGUUCAGAAAAUCAUUAAGCUCAAGAAACAUCUCCUGUUGCACUGGUCCAGCAAAGGGUGGAUCAAUGACCAUUUCCUUAGGAUCAACUGGAAUAUUGAUGUCCACAUUUACCACUGCCUCAUUCAGAUCCGACAGAAUAUUUGCAGCAAUUCCAUCUGCGAUUAGAGCAUCAUUUUGUUCCUCUAGCGGUCUGGCCCCUCAUUCCCAUCGUUGUCAACAUUUCCGCCACCAUGAGCUUCAAAACCAUGUCCUAGAAUUCCCCUACCAAAGCCAUUUUGUGGAUUUUGCUAAGGAUGGGGGCCAGGCCCAAAUUGCCCAAAGCCAAAUAGAUCAAAAGGUCCCCAAGGGGGAAGGCAUCUGGGCCAGGAGCUGGGUCUUCAUCUUGUGGCAGCCCACCAAGAAGAUUUCCAUGGAGGAUCUCGCACUGUAUCGUCCAGGACUCCCCUUGAAAGCCCUCACCUUCAGUGAGCACGAUGAACUGUGGGACGGACUCAUAAUCAAUCACUCUAGCACGAACAAGCAACUUGGCCAAAUGACGGCCAUCAUCAACCCAUGAAAUGACCCUACCAAAGGAACUGAUGGUGUUCACAAUGUGCUCGUCUUCCUUGUAGUCCGACAGAAACCCCAGAAGCAUGAGCCAACAUUCUAUGUUAAAAUUGAUGGCACGCCAGUUGCGACCCCGAGUAUGAUCAACAAAACAAAUGGUGAUCUCACCGAAUAGGAAAGGCCCAUCCUCAAUAAGGCGAUCCUUAUCAUAAAUAUUCCUAAAUCUGACGUAUGCCUGACCAAGAUGAGUUGGCUGCAUAUCCGUGAACUCUACCCGCACAACAUUCGUCAAGAAAUCCAAGACCACAUUGCGGAUGUUUUGGAAAGUUACCUGGUGACCAGGCAUAGGCUCGAUGGAAACGAUUGCAAGGUCUUGGUUCUUUGGCCUUGGCUUCAUGAGGACCGCACACUCCACAGGCUUGUGACCCUAAACAUCAAUGCGAAUGAGCCCUCUUGGAAUGAAUGGCGCAGGAUCAGCACACUGGUACGCCAUUGUUGAAGCUUCACACUCGGAUUGGGGAGGAGAAGGAGCAGGAUUGGGGUUUCCCUGAGCCAAAGAUUGUAACCUCGGCCGCUCCGGUGGCAUAUAAAUGUCCUAGUGAAUAGUGCAGGAAGAUAAGCAGUCAUCCGAGAGAAAGGGAAGCCGAGGAGGCGUACUGGACCCAGCCAUCAUACAAAGAGGGUCAAACCGGCUUGAGUAAUCAAAACUACCAUCAAAAUUUUUGGCAAAGUUAUCCAGAUUCUUCCCUUUCACACUAGACUGAAAAGCUUUCCACUGAGCAUUGCGAUCGGCGGAGAUAUGGCCCACCCAAGGCAGGUGUUACACUUAAUUGGCGCAUUACAUGAGCUCCUCGGAUGUGAGGAGGAAAGACAGCGCCGGCAUCGCCCAAGGCCCGAGGAGGCAGGAUUAGAGCUCUCAGACUGAAGCUGCAUGCCAUUAGAAGAGAUAUUAACUGAACCCAAAUUCAAAUUUAAAUCCAAAUCAAUAGCCUCUCUUGAACCUUCAGCUAGGUUAUCGGCAGGAACAGCAAAAGGAAACUCAAUCGCAGGCGACUGGUGGGGGGCAGGGGACACUCUGCUCAAACGAUCAAAGACUGAAACGCGAGGGAACUAAAUGCAGUCGAACACGGAUUUCCUCUGAAGACUCGAGCCUGAAUGCUUGAAAAAUUUUUUAGAAGCCCCAAACCUAGCCGCUAUCAUCAUCCGCGAACUGGUAGAAAUAGCAUUUCAUGAUACAGCAGAACCAGAACCCCUAGAGCCCAGCGUAAUAGCGUUCGCUCACGAGAGGGGAUGUGGAGAUUUCUUCCUUACAAUGUCCGCAUAAGAAGAAUUCUUGCAAACUUCAAUCUAGGGGAACUCAGGAACAGUACUAAUCAGGGAACGGGCGAAAGAGAGACCAACAUCAUUGAACAACUGAAAAAAGAGCUCAAACUCCACACAGACAAACUUGCGGAUUUUGUAAACCUCAAAGCCAACAUGCUUAUUGGAAACCUGAAAGAGGAAGAUUUGAUCUUCCACGGGAGCAACAUGAAAAGAACUAGCACAGCCACCCAGAAUAGAGCUCAGGCAGUCAGCAACAAAAGCUAUCGAGAGUCGAGAGUGGCAUCUUCCGAAGGCCACCAGAAGGGAGAAGGACUCAGCGGUGGGAAGCGGAGGACCAACCGGAAGGCCAAAAGCGCUGCGGAUGAACGCCUCAAAAAGCAGACCUUUCACAGACGAAGCAAGAGGAAGGGAGGCCAUGGUUGCAGUGGGGACAGGGGAGGGGGCGAGGGGAGGAGAGGGCUCUCCGGACGCGGAGAGGGAGAGAGCAAGUGGUUACUGACAGGCCUGGCCGGCCGAGGGGGAGAGAAAAGGAAUGAACUGACCUUCAAUUGGAGAUGCCUCUGCUUCUUCCUUUGCUAGGAAUCCGAAACGUUUCUUUCAGCCAGCACAUUGGACACCCACAACUGAUAGCACACUAGAGCAGCGCCAACAACUAUAACCAACAGGAAAGAUCUAGCUAGGACUCAAGGUUAAUUUUGCCAAGUCAAUGAUGGUUCAAAUCAAUGUUACCAUAGAAAGGAUAAAGCAUCAGCUGGCUGCCUUUUACUUACCUUGGUCUGCCCCUUGGUCUUACUAAACCUAGAGUUGAUGAUUUCUUGCCACUUGUCACUAGGUGUGAGAGGAGGAUGACCAACACCUCUCUUUUCCUUUCUCAAGAUGGAAAGCUGCAGAUUGCAAAUUCUGUCUUUACUUCCCUGCCCACAUUUUUAUGAGCACCUUUCAUCUUCACUCCACAAUGAGGGAGCAAGUGGAUAAGUAUAGAAAACAUUGCCUAUGGAGAGGAUCAGAUGAGAACAAUAGGAUAAAUGCUAAAGCAGCAUGGCCUACGGUAACCAGACCAAAAGAGGAUGGUGGUUUGGGAAUCCUGGAUCUGAAAACACAAAAUUAGGCUCUUCGUCUGAAACAUUUACACAUAGUUCUUCAACAGAGCUAAUGUCCCAUGGGUUCAACUGGUCUAGGAAAAACACUACUCCAAUGGCAAACUUCCCAGUCACAUUAAAAAAGACUCCUUCUGGUGGAGGGAUAUCUUGAAACUGCUAGACAAAUGUAAGGGUAUGGUUUCUGCUCUUUUGAAGAUGGUGCUUCCCUUGUCUUCUGUUGGAUGACUGUUGGGAGGGAAGCCUUUAAAACUCACAUUUUCAGAUGUGUUUCCUUUGUGAAAAAGCCCAGCUUGUAGUCUUUUCAGUCUUCCCCUCAGUAUCAACAAAUUCAAAAUAUCCUUCAAGCCUUCGUUCCCACUGAUGAUACUGAUUCUUGGUACUACAUCUGGGGCACUUCCACCAUCACAUCCAAGAAAGCAUAUUGUCAACUGUUGAGCACCAGUUGGGCUGCACCAAUUUUUAAGUGGAUUUGGAAAUCCUCUUGUCAGCACAAACAUAGUUUUUUUUGGCUUUUAUUCAUGACAGGCUUAGCACUCGAAAUAUCUUGAGAAGGAAAGUAUGCACCUAUCGUCUUACAAUUGUGUGUUACGUAUGUGGAGCAAUGAGGAGACAGUUAAUCAUUUGAGUGUGAACUCGCCAGAGAAUGCUGGGGCCUAAUUGGUUUGACAGUGAUCAGUGCCCCUGAUCCCUUGCAAAGGUUUGAGAGUUUCAGAUCAUAGAUUGGCAACAAGUUUUUCAUGGAAAUAAUCGUUAUUAUGUAGGCUGGAGCAUUUGGAAUGUCAGAAAUAACGCCAUCUUCAGAGGAAUCCUGGUCAGCAGCUUGCAUGGGCUGGAAAUUUUCAAGAACACCUUCAGACUGUCUCCAACAAGAGACACUUAUGAAUACCCAAACCCAAAAUGGGUAGCAGAAGAACCAAAAUCAGUCUCUAAUAGAAAACCUAUACUGAAGACCUAUUUUGGGUUACCUGAGAGGCACAACCCAAAUAUAAGUGUCCUCUCUCCUAGAAACCUAUUUGCAAAAAGGAUUCUCUUGUGAGUCUUGUUGUUGGAGAAGAUGUCGAAUGUGUAUUGAACCCUUUGCCUCUAGCGCUACCCAAACGUUGAAUGGAUCUUGUAUUUUGGAUGUUAUUGUUGGAGAUAAUCUCAGGCAACCAGUGGUGGAGCUAGGUGGCCGGCACUACUAGUAUAAAUUUAUAAUUUUUAUUUAUAUUAAGAGAGAAAUAUAACACCUUUUGUCAUAUAUACUUAUUAAUAUCCACUAGUCUCUAGAUAAUAAAAUCUUAGUCCCUCCAUCUAAAUUAUAAGUCAUUCUAAAAUUCUUAGAGAGUCAAAGCAUCCCAAAUUUGAUUAAAUUUAUAUGAUAAGAUAAUAAUAUUUAUGAUACCAACUAAGUACCAUUAGGUUCUUUAUUUAUUAUAUUUUCACUAUAUAUCUAUUUAAUGAUAUAAAUCUUUACAAUUCUUUUUAUAACUUUGGUCAAGCUUGAGAUACUUUGACUCUCAAGUUUCUUAGAAUAAUUUAUAGUUUGGGAGGGAGGAAGUACAAAACAUAACUAGAUAAUAUUAUCACUGCUGCGGGAAGGGCCUGUUGCCCCGGUUUCCGAGCUAGUGCUGCCCUUCUGGGACUAAAGGCCCACCCUUUAGUCCCGAUUUAGGGCAACCGGGGCUAAAGCCCCCCCUUUAAAACCGGUUGGUUAUACCAACCGGUUUUAAAGGGUCCGGCUAGUGCUGCCACGUAGCAGGACCAUUUAACACCGGUUGGUAUAACCAACCGGUGUUAAAGGGGUUCUUUUUUUUCCUUUUUUGGUUCAUUUAUUCGUUUCUGUUUUUUAUAUAUAAUAAUAGGUUUGUUAAUACAUAUUUUAUGCUGAUAUAAUAAUAUAUAUAUUACACGCAUAUUAAGCAUAAUUAUUAUUAUAGGCUUAGCUUUAUAAUUAAGCUUUGCCUAUAAUAAAACAAAUAGGCCAUAUUAAUAAUUAAAUAGAUGGAUAUGUAACAAGCUUUAUAUAUAGUUUUAUAAGUACAACAUUCCUAACAUAUAUAUACAUAAAGUUUUUUCUCCGAAUCUUUAAAGCCGAUACAAAUGAUCAUCGUUGUUUGGAAUAAGAGUUUCGUUACCGUUGAAGUGAAACUCGCUGUUUGGAUUGAUCACUUGCUCGCGGAGGAAUCCUGCUAUCAUCUCUUGAAUAGCUUUGAUGCGGUCUUUUUGCAUGACCUUUUCCCUCAACCAUUCCGUCUUUAAUUUAAAAUAAAAGAAAAAAAGGUAUUAGUUAUCUAAGUUAUUCAAUAUAAUUCAGGAGAUAAUGAAAAGAGACGUGUAACGUACUCUGAGUGUCUCUGUGGAUGUUUGAUUGAUGUGUACCAUUAAGAAUUUGCAGAUGUAAUAUCCACAUAGGUUGUUCCCCCUUCUUGUCUUAAACAUCACUGUACAAUAUAUAAAAAAGAUUCACGACCACUACAAUAAAAAAGCUAAAAGUUAGUAAAAGUUUGCUAGCUAGUACACUUACUUGUGGAUGAAUUAUAUUAAGCGGCGCUUUACAACCAAUAAGAUGUUUACGGUCAAUAAAUCUUUUCCAAACCCUACACAGCCAUUGUGGACAGUCAACUAAUAAUUGCAGAGUCAUAUCAUGAUAUUCUUCUAGCUCAGAUCGACAUUACGUACCUUUGAAUAAUGUUUACCAUUUGUUGGUAAUUUUCUUGUGGUUUUCUCAUUGAGUCAUAGAUUAUCAACUGGUUUUUAGGAAUUUCAAUGACCAUGAGUAUCUAGUGAAAGCUGUUUACACAUAUAUAUAGUCAGACUAUAUAAAACCCGAAUCGAGUAAUAAUAAGUAAAAUAAAAUGUGCAUAUACUUAAUAACUAUAUAGAAGUUGUAGGGAAAGAAUAUUUUUUGUUUUUCUUUUUGGUUCACGAAGAACCUCAUAAGAUGCUGUCCACACUGUCUGCGGAGCCUUGAAAACAAUAUAAGGGUCAACAAACCCAAUACUAUUGUUAUUUUUGCUUCUGAGCUCUCUCAUUUGGUGCCUGCAUAUGUACAUACAAAUCUUAAGUGUGUAAGGAUUAUAUACAUAUAAUUAAAGAAGGUAGAAGUUUAAUUAAAAAGAAAGAAAUACUUACAGACAAAAGCAGCUGUCGAGAGAUUUGUCGAGAGCGUCGAGGUGACAUAAUUGGUGCAAUUCUUUUAACUAGACGUAUAUGAGGUCAUCUCCACGGAAGUAGUGAUGUUGUCGAAUACGAACAGAAAUCCAAUUAUCUCCCCUGUUAGACGCCUCUAUGCACCACUUGUUUAUUGCAAACAUUUGUGUGCCGAGCUCAUGUAAAUGCUGAGGGUUCGUUAGACUUCUGCCCGGUUCAUAUCUUGCCCUCCAUUGAUCAACUAUGUGGGCCUUUUUAAAAGUAUGACGUCCAACAAUAGCGGCAAUAGAGGACACAUGAUUACACACUAGUCUAGAGUUUUAACUAACAAUUUCUAUGAGUUUUGUAUAUUCUAUAUUUUCCAAGGAUUUUUCCAGAAAAGCUAAAAAAAAGGGAUUAGAGUGCAUAAUUAUCACAAAAUGUAACCGCAUAGUCAAAACACCGUCAUUGGGCUCAGGAAGCAUCUAGAAGACACCCGAAGCAACGAGGCCCGCUGAGGAGGAAAAGUGGGGCUGGCUGGCCCCACCUUGGGGCCGCACGACGCCCCCCUCUAGGGUUUCGGCCCCUUCUUCUGGAAGCUUUCUCCACCGCCUCUCCUGAUGCAUCUCGGCCAUUGGUUACGUCAGUUUGAUCCUGCGGCGCACAUCGAUCCCACCGGGCUAUAAAUAAAGGGGCAGACCCCCUCCCUGGAGGCAUAAGUCAUUUGGAGAUCAAUCCAUCAAGAGCCUAGGACACAAUUUAUGCUAAAUAUUCUUAAACCAUAUAUCAUCUUGAUUAGCAUAGAAGAAAAUCAAAAAAAAGUAUGGACAACAAAACCCGUAUUUCAAUCUUGCUAUUUCCUCGGGUAUGUGUCCAUUAACGUUUUGCAGGAAAGAACAACCUUAAUCUAUUGGAGAAGAAGUUUUCAAAUGAGCAUUAUCGCACCUCAAAUAGACAGACCCUAGCUCAUCAACCACAAAUUAAUCAAAGAAAUCAAGAAAAAGUUGAUGAGUGAAGAGCAUGUAAUCUUCUAUAGUUUCGUUGAAUGGUGAAAAGGUGAAAAAGAUAAAAGGAAGGUCUUGCUCAGCAAGACCAUAAGCUCUCACCAACAGAUGAACCCGAACCCUCCUCUUCCAAGUAAGUUCAUCAUCACUUACUUAGAAAGAUGAAGAUAUGAGGUACGUUUGUCCAAGCCUCAUGCAACAUGUAACUACAAUUAACAUCUCAUACCAUGUUGCUAAUUUGUCUUGGUCAUUUCUACCCUACGUUAUGCUCAAACAUAUAUAUAUAAUAAAAUCCUCCUGUGGUUCACCAUACAUAUUCUUGGUUCUAUGUGAAUAAAUACCCUUAGUCUUGCAAACUUCCUUAUUCUAUUAUAAGUAUGCUUUAGAAUAUUACUUAAACAUUAUGAAAAUCAAGCAUACUUAUAUAAGAAUUUAGUUGUACAUAUAGACUAAGCCCUCCUACUUAAAAAAUGUUUAAAUCAUUUUAGGAGACUACUCGUAGAAUCAAUUCAAGGUUAAGGGUAUGCUUCAAAAUAAUAUCCAUGCUUUAACCUUGAUGAAAAAAAUUGAAAUAAAAAAUAAAAAAUCUUUGCCGAGUGUCGGAGUUAGGGCACUCGGCAAAGAAUAUAUAUUAAAAAAACAAAAAUCUUUGCCGAGUGCCAGAGUCAAGGCACUCGGCAAAGAAUAUAUAUAUUUUAAAAAAUAAAAAAAUCUUUGCCGAGUACCACACGAUGGACACUCAGCAAAGAAUGACGCCGUCACCUACGACCACCUUUGCCGAGUACUGUGCUUUGCCGAGCACCCGACAUUCGGUACAGAAACGCUUUGCCAAGUGUUAGCCUUUGCUGUGUGUCUGGCACUGGGUAAAGAACACUUUGCCGAGCGUUUUUCUUUGCCGAGAGUUGCACUCGGCAAAGAGUACCUUUAUCGAGUGCUCGACGUUUAGCACUCGACAAAGCCUCUAGCACUAGGCAAAGACUCAGUUUCUAAUAGUGUCCGGUGGCCCUAUGAUUCCAGUGGAGGUGGUUGGAACCCGUGGUACGAUGGGGCAAGAGGAGCAAGCAGACAUCAUGGAGGAACCGGCGGUGGUGCCGCAGUUGAGCGCGUCGUCGGCGUGUCGGGGGCAUGGGCGGAUACAGUGGGUAUUCCUGGUAUUCUCAAGAAUACGCAACUUUUUUAUACACUAUAUAUAUAUAUAAUAUUAGUAUUUCUAUAUUUAGCAAAUAAAAUUUUUCUCUCAUUUUAUUAGUCCAUCCUUGUAUUUCUUUUUUCACAUAGAUUCUAUGUUAGCUCGAUUGCUAAAAUUAUUCUAUUUUAUUGUUUCUACAAAUAAAAACCUAAUUAUUUAUCUCCAAACCAUAUACAUAUUGACUCAUACGACAAAUUAUAUAUUAUUUCGAAACUCUUUUCGAAGACAAAUUGGAAUAUGCAUAUGGCAACAUGUAUAAUAAACUAUUCUUUUCGUGUGAGUGAACGAGGCAGGAGUGGAAAGCAAUUCUAUAAUCCUCAUUGCUAAAUCUCUAACCCUAGCCGACUAGGCAUGACGUAGUGCGCGGCACUGUUGGUUCCCAGUGUCCUGAGCUCCUAGCAGCGCGGGGCGUGCAGCGCGGACACGGCCUCUGUCUCUAUGCUACGCCUACAUGACGACCGAUGAGGAUGCACGUCAGUCAUGAGGUUAGAGGCAACAGCUGAAUAGCAGUCCACCAGCCACAGCAAGGGAAUACCCAAGAUUUAAAUCUCAGCUCGGCCACUGGUCGGGGGUGCUAGCCUGCUAGGUGGUGAGGGUUGAGCGAAGUGCAUCGGGACUCACGACUUGUGAGGUCGGAGCGGGUCGGGCAGGUGUGUGGGGUCAGGGAGGCAGGAGAGUCGGAGGCACGAUUUGGGCGAGGGGGCGAGAGCAGUCCGCGAUGAACACUGUUGCGGGAGCUAGGGGAGAGCUGAUUGUUUUUACUGUGUUUUAGUUGUAGAGAUCACAACAUAAACAUUUAUUUGAGUGGUAUGUAUAUCUUUGCCGUGUCGUGUAUACAUUUUGACAGCACGGUUGUCGCCGGUUUGCACGGCCCGCCUAUACUCAAAUCUGAAGGUACCCAUGCAUAUUACAGUAUUAAUUAUAUUUAUUCACGGUCAUAGAAUCACACUGCUCCUACUGCACUUCAUCACGCAUCCUGGAUAGACAGCUUGACGUACUCCUUCUCUGAUUCCUGGACUGAUCUACCCUUGCACCCAUAGUAGAAGGCGGUCAACGCACAGUCUUGGAACAACUCCACGGCGGCCAUCUGGACGGCGUACAAGACUCCCAGGAGCAGAGCCCCCGACGCCAUGUCGCUACGGGCGCAUAUCUUGGCCUGCCAGUAAAUCGGCCUCAAUAUGGCGGCGAGCACGCUCAUCACGGAAACAAAGAGCAUGGCACGCCUCCGCCUGCCCUUCACCAGCUGCCACGCCCGCCUGACUGCUGCACCAGCGCCAUGGCGGUGCCUAGCUGCAGCUGCAGAUUCAUCCAGGGCCACGAUGACGGCGAGCGAGCAGAAGAAGGACAGGAAGAUGUAGAAGACGAAGGCGACGAGGAGGACCACCAGGCACCCAGCGAGAAGCAGCCCAUGGUAGUGGUACCGCGGCCAGAACGCGAGGAAGGCCACAAGGGCGGCCGACGAGGCCAACAGCAGCGCGACGGCGGCGGUCUUGAGCGUGCAGACGAAGGCGACCAUCAACACGGCCCCCUUCAGCUGCUGCUUGGCUCUGCCGAGGAGCACGCCGAAGUUGUGCACUACCUCGCCGCCGGCACCGGAGUAUGUCGUCACGGCGGCGGAGAGGGAGACGAGCUGGAUGAAGGAGCCGGUGAUGUCGGCUGAAACGAGAUAGACGGCGCCUGCGAGGAAGAGGACCCGGUACUCCCUCCUGCGUCUCUCGGAGGAGGUGAGCGUAGUCGGGGCCUCUGGGGUCGGUGCUCAUGAGCGUGUCCAUGUCGCGGCCGACCUCAAGCUUGAGGGGCUCGAUGCCAAGCUCGUUGGCGACGAGAAGGAGAGAGAUCCAGGCCACGAGGAUGGCGAAGAUCGCCGCGAAGAGUCUCCGGUUCCUGACAGGGAGGAGGAGGCCUUCCUUAAGGAAGUUGAAGGACAAUGAGGUGAUAGAGCUAGCAGGCUUGGUGGCAGCCAUGGCUAGAGCUUAGACAGAAAUGAAAUGACGAGAGGAAUGCCAAUGUAUUGGGAUUAAUUAUGAGAGGAGAAUAACCUUUAUAACGACGGCAUGUUCGUUCCGCUGGCUGUAGCUGUGCGUGGCUGGCUGCUUUGUUCCCUACGUACCUCAGUGGGUGGCCUUAUAUAUUAUUAGCUCCAUGUGAGCUCAGGCUCAGCUCAGUUAUACUUGUUCGAUUCGUUAACAGAAAUGCUAGCGUGUGCGGUGACCUAGUGUGGUUUGUGUUUGCCCAAUGUAUACUGACAAAUCAACAAGAUGCAAGGUAAAAAAAAUGUUUUUGAGUGUGGGUCAUGCAUGAGAUGAAGCCCAGCUAGCUUGCAGUAGGGAAUACACUGGCAAAACAACCCUAAAUAAAAAGUACGGAGGCAUCGACCGGGCAUACUGGCUGGGAAUUGAGGCAUGCAUCACCGCGUCAUCGACCGACGGCUCAAAUUUACUACCUUUGCAUCCACCCCCUUCUAAUGGACUAAAUAGAAACAACGCAAGCUGAGACCAAGUAGUUUCGCAUUCAUCGUUCUUCUGUCCUGCUCACCACCACUGAACUGAGUUUUGGGCCUAGUACUUUCGCAUGAAAGCAACAAAGGAUUUUACGUUUUACCUGGCCGAGCUCUAGAAGCUUGACGCCUAGCUCGUUGGCGACGAUCGACAAAGGAAAGAGAUCGUCCAGGCGAAGAUGGCCAAGAGUCUUCUGGUUCCCGCUUGCUAGUAGGGAGGAGAAGGCCUUUCUUGAGGAAGUCAAAGGACCAUGGAGUGUGGCAGCCAUGUCUAGAGCUUAGACAGAAAGACGAGGCAUGCCGAUCGAUGUAUUUAAUGAGAUUAUAUGAGAGGCCGGGACAGGUCUGGGGACUAACAUUGUUGGUUUAACCUUUAUUUGGGACGAGUGUUGAGGAGAGAGCAAGGCGUUUCGUGAAAGAAACUUCAUAGGAAAAUGUGAACAAUACAUCUAUAUACUUAAUAAUAAAUUAUGAAAAUUUCAGUUCACCACGAAAUUCUAUUCACCACGAAAUUCUAUUCACCGGCCGUAUAGGACUAUGAUUCUUUACUUAAUAUUUAAUUAUAAAAAUUUCAGUCUGCCUAUUUUUAUGUCCGCCCAUAGUAUAUGAACACAGCCCGACCGGGGUCAGUUGAGUUCGAGAAGAAUACGGAGUUCGAUCCAUUCUCAAAUUUCAACGAUGCAACAAAUUAAUCACGGCAGCGACAGACCCAACUAAUAAAAAAUAUGUUGUAAUAGAGAACAUGUAAAUCUUUACCUAAUAUUUAAUUAUGAAAAUUUCAGUUUACCAACUUUUUCUGUCCGCCCAUAAAUAACAAAUUACCUAAUAUUUAAUCAUAAAAAUAUUUAAUCAUAAAAAUUUCAGUAUAUCCACUUUCUCUGUCCGCCCAUAAAUAAUAAAUUAGGAAAAAAAUUAGGCAAGCCUGAGGGCUAGAACCCAACACCUGACGAACCAAAAUCUAUCGAGAUAUAAAUACUAGAAAAUCAAGAACAUAAAUAAAACCAUUCUUUUUUUAAUUCUCAGCAAAAAAAUUGUAAGAGUUUGCGUACGGCUAGCGGCGGGGCGUCAUGCUGGAGUGGUAGACAGGAACCCUAUGGUUAGGGUAGAACGUCGUGGGAGGUUGGUGAGGCAGUGAUCCUGUUUGAGGUGCCGACUGUGGGUGCUAGAAGCCCAAUGGAGAAGACGGCAACUGAGGGGUGCAUGAGGCAGCGGACGCAAACGACAGCAGGAUUGGAGGCGGUGCCGGUAAGUAGGAAGAAGGAUCAUGCAGUUCAUAAAAAAAAGCAUGCAUGUCUCGUGAAAUUAAAAUGAAGAAGCGGCCUGAAUUUUUUUAAAGUGGCAGGGGAGAAAAUCUCCACCUGGAUAUAUAUUGAUAUAAAACAACAACCUUGCUUUAGGGAAAACGAGGCAAAACCUUGUUAUCCGGUUAAAUAGAAAACCGAACUAAAACCAUACAACUGCCCCAGCGCAAGAGCGAGCUCGUGGCAAAUAAAAACAAAAAUCCCCCCCAAUACAAGGGUGAAAGGUAGCACAACCACAAAACACUAGUAAGAAGAGACUGCAACACCAAGGCACGAAAACUCUUUAACGAUGACUCUAGGAAGGUGAACACUUCAAAAAUAUAAUCAUCUGCCAAGCAGGAGCUUAGCAAGGCUUUCACCGAGUCUUGUGCCAAGGAGAACUGCGAAUGGCCAGGAGUCUUCAGCGGCGCCUUUUAGAAGAAAGUACCACCUGGUGGCAUCCAUCAUUGCCGGUCCAGCCUAGGGCUGAGCAGAGCUUUCACCAGAAUCUUUGCAAGAGCUCUCGCAGUGCCAGCCACAGCCACACUGCUUGGAACCGAUGGAGGAUGGGGUGGCGGCGCAAAGAGGCAGAAGUUGGAUGAGCUGAAGCAGGAUAUCCAGGUGAUCUGCCACGACUUCUUGCACCAGGAAGGGCAGCUCUUAUCACUCUUACUAGUAGAGAACAGACUUUCGAUUCGAGGAUUUAGUCCUAUCCAUUUUUGCCCGGGAUUAAAGAAAGGAUUAAUCCCACUUGGAGCCACCAAUCAGGACUAAUGUCCCCUACCCAGUGGCAAAGCUAGGUUCAUGUUUGUGGAUGCACAUGCACCCAUAAAAAAUUGAAAACCUACUAUUACAAUUAAAUUUUCACUACUGUUACACCUUAAAAUUUCAUAUCUACUAGAGAACUACACCACCCUCAAUUUGCUCUAGCUUCCUGACCCUACCUAAUGGCUAGGGCUACAACUUUUGUAGGAGGGGAGCAGGAGGGGACGUUUAGACCCAGUUGGUGGCUCAAACUGAGAACAAAGGUCACCCUCCAGUCCCGGUUGGAGCUACCAGCCGUGACUAAACCUUUAAUCCCGGUUGGUGGCUCCAAAUGAGACUUGAAUCCACCUGCAGUCUAGGUUUAUAGCACAAACCAGAACUACAUGUCCUGCGCUAUAUACUUUCUUUUUCUUCCUCCCCCAACCCGAGCCAUUUCAAGCUCUCUGCCUGCUCUCUAUUCUUGCUCGUGGAAGGAGUUCAUGCUUGUGAGAUUGGUGAAGAUUUCAUUCCUCCCUCCAUUCUUCGGUUCUAAAGGUUAGCAACUUCGUCCUCUCUUGUUUCAUCACUAGCAUGGCUCAGGUUGGGGGAAUGAUGGUGUAUUUUUUAUUUAUAUACCAUUUGAUCUUGAAAUCACUUGAUAUGUUGAAUAUGAAGAUGAAGGAAGCUAUAUAGUAGUUCAUCAAAACUAGUAUGCACCUUUCAUUGCUACAUUUCAUGGUCUAGAAAUAGAGAAAUUUAUGGUUUUCUAAAUUGGAAAUAAUGGUGGAUAUUUUUUAUUUAUAUGUCAUUUGAGCUCAAAAUUACUUGAUAGUUUGCAUAUGUAGGUGAAGGUAUAUUAGCUCAUCAAACAAGGGAUAUAAUGCAUGCACACACUAUUUUGAUGGCAUCAAUAGUAUAUAUUUGAAAAAGUGCUAGAAGGGCAUGUACAUUGGUCAUUGUCGAUUUCUUCCAAUGGAUCAUGCCCUAAUAAAGAAAGGCAAGCAUUUUAAAGGCAAGACAGAGCACCGAUAAUGCCUGACAACCAUAGUGAUGUAUUCAAUAUGGUCAAGGAUGUACAAGUAGUCUUUGGGAAGGGACCUAGCAGUCAACCCAUUCCAAAUGAUGCUAACAGACAUGCACCCAUGUGGAAGAAGAUGUCCAUAUUUUGGGAGCUACCCUAUCGACAAGUCCUAGAGGUCCACAGUGGGAUCCAUGCGAUGCACCUAAUGAAGAAUCUUUGUGUGAAACUGAUAGGCUUCAUGGGUGUGUAUAAGGACACACAGGAGGCAAGACAGGACAUGUAGUGUUUGAAAGAACAAGACAACCUGCAUCUAGAGAAGACAGAUGAUGGACACCAUUACUUAAGUCUUGCCAGCUACACUCUUAGCAAAGAGGAGAAGGAAAACAUGUUUGAAUGCCUAAGUUGUAUCAAGUUCCUAUCUAGCUUCUACUAGAAUGUAAAGGGGAUAAUAAAUGUGGUAGAGAAGAAAUUCCUAAACAUAAAGUCUCAUGACUACCACGUGCUUAUGAUGCAAUUGCUUCCAGUUGCAUUGAGAGGGAUUCUACCUCAAAAUGUAUGAUUAGCCACCAUGAAACUAUGUGCAUUCCUCAACACAAAUUCUCAGAAAGCAAUCAAUCUAGUGCAUCUAGCAAAGGUACAUAAUGAUAUGGUCAAAUGUCUUGUCAGCUUUGAUUUGGUGUUCCCACCAUCCUUCUUUAAUAUUAUGACGCACUCCUAGUUCACUUGGUCAAAGAGAUUAGUAUUCGUGGUCCAGUGUUCCUACACAACAUGUUCCCUUUUGAGAGAUUCAUGGGAUUCUUGAAGAAAUAUGUUCUCAACCAUGCUCGGCGAGAAGGAAGCAUCACCAAGGCUAUGGAAUAGAGGAGGUCAUUGAGUUCUGUGUUGAUUUUAUUCCUAACCUCAAACCGAUUGGUGAGGGGACACUAAGUGGAAAGGGAACACUAUGAAAGAAAUCAUAUAUUGGCAUGGAGGAUGAAUAUUUCUAUAAAUUACACUACACAGUUCUAAAAAACUCCUCCUUGGUGGAUCCAUAUAUCAAGGUACAAUAGGACAUUGUAUGAUCCUAAUUCCCGAGGAAGACUAAAGCCUUGGUUAUAUGUCGGCACAUGGAAACAAUGUCAGGAUGAUGGGAGUCUUGUUGAGCAACUGUACUUGUUGUCUAGGGAACCAUCUUCGUAUAUCCUGACAUUCAAAGGGUGCGAGAUAAAUGAGAAUACAAGUGCAUUGAUAUCUCUAAACCUAUUACUAUGGCAGGAGUCUUGUUAACCCUAAGUCCUAGUCAUCACUAGGUACGCAUACUUGUGAAACAACUAGUACUUAGAUGUGUGUAAGAAGCACAAGCAAUGGCUUCUUGCUAGAGUUAAACCCAAUCAUUAUUUCAAUAGCUAUGACAUUAUACAUAUUGAGUUCACUGAAUUACACCAACUAUUACACUAGGAUGCUCUCUACAAAUCUCUCCUCAGCUAUUGGUGUCUGUAAGUGAUUCUUUCUACAAUUAAAGUAACUUGCAUGUAAGUUGCAUAUAUAGUUAUCCACACUAUACAUAUGCAGACAUGAGAUACUAAAACUAAUAAAAGGGUGACUAAUGUUGGUUUCAUGGAUCUAUAUUGCAUAUUCGAGGACCCAGUUACUCCAUAUGCUCAAUGGUGACCUCAAGUGGAGAAGAAUAUGUUGAGGUUCUUAGAUAACCAACAUGACAACAAGACAAUGAUACUCGUCCCUUACAACUUCAAGUGAGUGUUAAUGUCUUGUGCAUAUUUUAUUUUGCUUACUCCAUGUUGACUUUAAUUAAUGAGUUAUGUUUGUGUAUAAACAUGCAGCUUUCACUAGUUACAUGUUCAUCGAUAUGCCCAAGAGUCAUAUAAAUAUCUUUGACUCACUGAGAAAACCCCAAAAAAUUACCAAGAUAUGAUAGAUAUCCUCUAGUGGAAAUUUUGGUCUCGCACACUGUAUACUCUCUUAUGUGAACUGAGAGGGGGGCCUUUAGUCCUGGGUUCACAAUUCCGAUUGAGAAUCUGGGACAAAAGGGGUCUCCUAACAGGGACUGUUACCCAGUCCUGCACUAGUGUGCCGAUCCUCCCACUUUGGUUAGAAGCCCCAGCAAUGAUGUGAUUGUGGUCGUGGCAUGAAUCCACGCUAGCGUAACUUGUUAACCAAGAUAUCAUCAAUGAAUGUAAAAAACACAUCUUUUUGGAAGAAAAUUGAAUUUAUGAGAUACAUGAAGUAUGUUGGGGUCAUUUAUGACCCCAAAUGACAUAAUUGUGUACUCUUAAACACCAUAACAUGUCAAGGAAGUUAUCUUAAUUUGGUAUGUCCUUACCCUACCUUAGGUCCAUCUUGGAAAAGAACCUAGCUCCAACUAAUUGAUCAAUUAGGUUGACUCUCUAGGGAGUGGAUAUUUCUUCUUCACUGUCAUGGCAUUUAAAGGCAUGUAACUCACAACCAUCCAAAGGCAUACUCUUGUCUUUCUUGGUUACAAACAUGGCCAGUCCCAAAGGAGAGGAACUAGGUCGGAUGUACCAUUUUUCUAGUUGGUUGUAUUAGCCAACUAUUUCUUCAUCUCUGCAAAAUCUUGCACUGCCAUCCUAUAAGGUUGCCUAGAGAUUGCAGCUGUUCUAUAGGCAUAAGUCAAUAACAAACUCUAUAUGUCUCAAUCAAGAGGCAUUCGGUUUCGUCAGGAAACACAUUACAAAACUCACGUACUGCAGAAAUAGUUUCAAACCCGGGCAACUUCUUGGUGUUCAAGGUAUGCAACAUUGGUCAACUAAGCAUGGAUGGAAACAUGGUGACUCUGCCCGGAGGAGUGUUGAAGUUCUAUAGCUUUAUAGGUAGGCAUAUCUGAUUAGACCAUCAUUUACACUGGUUGUGCUUGAAGCGACUGUAUAUCUUAGCACCAGAACCAGUGAUCUGAAUCAUGCUUGUAUUCAAGAUCAAUUGUCUCUCAUAUAUUUUUUUUCUUUUGGAAAAAAAUCAACUGAGAAAAUCUUGUGCAAUAAACAUAUAUAUUCUCUGACGUACGCAGAACUGUCUCAAGCCAGUUGAUGAAAUGAUUUGUUGGGUGGUUUACUUUUGGCGCUGUGUGUGUGCCCUACUUCCAGGACACUAUUGACACAAGCUGGCGGCCGUUUUUUUCCCCUUACCGUGCAUGCAGCUGGGUAAAGAUCCCAAUAUUGUCAAGCUGUACUCCAUGACAAGCAUAUGCAUGUCCUGCACCGAAAACAAUUUUCACCGUACUCCUUUAUUUGCCGGGAAUCCUAAACGUUUCUUUCAGCCAGCACAUUGGACAAACGACCGUCCGAGACGGAAAGCCCACUAGAGCAGCGCCAACAGCUAUAGCCAAGAGGAAAGAUCUAGCUAGGAAAGUCUCAAUGAAGUUUCUUUGUCUGCAUGAUUGCAUUGAUCACCACGCUAGCCUUGUUUCAAAGUCUUGUUUAGUUCUCUAUCUAAAAACUUUUCACCCAUUCCAUCGAUGAUGGAGUAUUUAAUAUAGACAAAAAAAAACUAAUUGCAUAGUUUAGUUGUACAUCGCAAGAUGAAUCUUUUAAGCCUAAUUAGUCCAUGUUAUCCAUAAUUAUUGCUACAGUAACCGACAUGUGCUAAUAAUAGAUUAAUUAAGUUUAAUAAAUUCAUCUCGUAGUUUGUAGAUGAGUUACGUAAUUUUUUUUAUUAGUCUAUGUUUAAUACUUCAAAUAUGUGCCGAUAAUAUCUGAUGUGACAAUAAAAAAAAUUCGUGAACUAAACAACGCCUGAGAGGAUAGCGAGCAAUAUAUAGCAAACUAGCAAAGGCCAACGUGCAUUCCAUUUAGGCAUGACCAAAGGUCUGGACACUUUGCAAAAACAGGCUAAUUGAGGUACGGAAGUCGGUUGAAGACCAUCGCCACCACAGUUCAUCUGUAACGGUGAUCCAUCUCCGAGGAGGCAUCAACCUAGCUUAAUGAUAGUCUUCUGCUAAUUGAGGUACGUAUGUGCUAAUUAACCUGUGAAUUAGUCUGUUCAUGUCUUUAGACUAGCGAUCAUAAUGGGCUAAUCACGAUUAAGAAUUCUAAUAAGAUAUAACUAGGAAAGUCUCGACGAACUUUCUUUAUCUGCAUGCCUGCACUGGUCACCACGCUAGCCUUUUUUUCACACCAUUUCUGUCCACGGAUAAGCAACUGAUGAACUGACAGACAACGAGCAACAUAUAUGCAAACUAGCAAAGGCCAACGUGCGUUGCAUUUAGGCGUAACCAAAUUAGGUCUGGAGACUUUGCAAAAAACAGGCUAACUACUGCCGGUCUGUCUGUCAAAUACAGUGGCCAUCUAUGCCGCCGUGGUCGUCGUCGCUGCUGCUGCUGCUGGCCGCGAUAGCGGCCAUGCUGGCGCUGCAGCUCCGCGUGGCAACGGCGGCGCCUCCCGUCCAGAUACCCGGCUGCCGGACCUCGUCAUGCGGCGGCAACGUGAGCUUGCCGUACCCGUUCAGCAUCAACGCCAACUGUUCCAUCCCCGGCUUCAACGACCUCACUUGCGACAGAACAACGGACAGCUCGUCGAGGCUGCUGCUCAUCAACGAAGGCUCUGCCGGCCUCCAGGUCACCAGCAUACAUCUCAGGAAGGCCACCAUAUAUGCUGCCAACUGUGCCAUACAAAGCAUGUGUUUGAUUUCGGGACACCAUCAGAUGGGACGGUCCCAUCUCCCGUUCGAGGGAUGGGAUGAUCCCGGUUCUUAUUUGGAUGAAAUGAUGGGAUCACUCCUGUUUUUCUUUUGGUUGGUGGGAUAAAGAAAAAAACGAAAUGAUCCUGGCCCUAGCAGUCACUUGUGUUCACCAUAUGUUGGUAGGCUUACCUUAUAUGCUGGUACAUAUUGCUGCCUCCAUUAGUCCAUAUGUACUCGCAUAGGAAUUGUAUACCAACCUCACCAUAGUGCUCUAGAGGUUUAUUCAAAUGCUGAAUUAGCGUCACCUUUGUGAUCUUAAAACAGAAUAAAGGUAGUAGCAAAACAUCACCAGGCCAAUUAGCAUGAUGGAGAAGUUGUUUGCAAGUAUACUCGAAUACGGUUAUUAACUUAUUAUAGUGCUCAUCAUGUAGAGUGAUGAUGAAGUUAUCUUUGUCCUAGCCAACGACACUCAAUUUUGUAAGCUUGUUUAUUUAGCUUUGCAUACCUCCUUUGCAUCAAUUAAUUAGAAUUUUCUAACAUAUAAUGAGGAAGUUGUUGGUCAUAUUUCUACAUAUCAACAAUUAGUAUAUAGGGAUCGAUACUGGCGGAUAUCACUGAUAAUACAUUGUUUUCAUAUUUCUGUCCGGAUUUAGAUUCUAUUACAGAUAGUGUCAACAAUGCCGAAUAGGAUAUGGUUAGAUAUCGAUAUUAUAAAUAUGUGAUUUGAGUAUUCAGAUACGGAUAUGGUAUCUCAAACGUUGAAUAUCCGGACUCGAAUAUGGUUGGAAUAUAUCCUUACAUUUUCACCCUGUUAGUAUGGAUCAUAUAUGGGACUAAGUCCUUCUAUUACCUACUGGAAUAUGAAGUUCAUUUUCACAUUCUCUUGCAAAAUUAGGGGAUCAUGUGUUGUCUCCUCCCAACACACAAAACACUUGUGAACCGAAGAUCAAAAUCUACAACUACCAUUACAUUUUGAGUGACAUGAACGGAAUGCUCCGUACCAUUUCAAAGAGAUGCUAUUACAUGUGUAUCAUCAAUAGAUCUAAUACAAGCAUAGAUAUUAGAGAUCACAUGGAUUGCGUGGGUGCUUGGCUGCGAGCAUGCAAAAAUAGAAACGGCAUAAAGAUGUGCCUCCACCUUAAAGUAAGGAUCCCACCAAGGGUUCCAUGCUAUUUUGGUUGGAGUGUCCAAAGAAGUUGGUCUAAUUAGUUCCAUGUAAAUCACCAAUAACAUGAAGUAGUUUUGUUGAAAUAAUGUCUAAUAAUUUCUUCAUAUAUAUCUAUCAAAUUAAACUAGUGCCACAACUAACCUAUUCCUAAGGUUGUGCCAUACCAUAUUUAGAAACACACUGAAAGCCCUAGUUUGGUUUUGGAUAAUUGAUGAAACCCUAGUACUAACCUCUAUGCUAAGUGUGUGUAGACUUAAUGAGGUUGGUACAUGCCAAGUGAUGGAGCAAGUGUGAUCAUGGUGAUGAUGGUGAUGACCACAAGGUGAUCAAGUGCUCAACUUGAAAAGAAGAAAGAGAAAAACAAAGCCCUAUGGAGAUCAAGGCAAAGGUAUUGCUUAGGGUUUUGGUUUCGGUGAUCAAGACACCAUAGAGGGUGUGAUCACAUUUAGGAUAGAUAGCCGUACUGUAAAGAGGGGAAUUCUUUGGCUAAGCGGUUAUCAAGUGCCACUAGGUGUCAUUGUUCAUGUGCAUGCAUUUAGAACCUAGUGAGCUAACUUAACUCCUUCGAAGAAAAUGUUUGUGAAAAUGCUAACACACGUGCACAUGUCGGUUUACACGUUGUGGUGUUAGCACACUUUGAGAAGGAGGUGGAGUUUGAAGGGUAGAGAGAGGAUGGGUUCGGCGCUUUUCGAGAAAAUGAAGUGCAUAUUUUUCUAUUGCGCCGGUGGGAAAUUUGGAGAAGUCGCGGGAGUGUUUCUCGCUGAGAAAACACUCACCAGACGCUAGCUUCUGGAGCACCGGACGCUGAGUCUGAGCGUCCGGUGCAGACAGUGCCUGGCCCAGCUAGGGUAAGGCACCGGACGAUAGGCACCGGACGCUGGCUUGAGCGUCCGGUGAUGCGCGUCCGGUGUGCGGGCGUUUUGCGACCCUCUCUGCGCAUGGGUCCCGUGAGCACCGGACGCUGAGGGUGCGUCCGGUGGCUUGCGUCCGGUGACCCUGCGAGUUUGCGGAGCUCUCUGCGCAUGAGUCCGGUGUGCACCGGAUGCGUCCGGUGCCAACCUGCUCAGCGUCCGGUGCUCUGCAGGUUACCGUUAGACUCUGACACGCGGCUGACGUUGGAGCACCGGACGCUGGUGUUGAGCGUCCGGUGCCCCUUUAAGAGCGUCCGGUGACCCCGAGUUUUGCCCAAUGAAGGAGCCAACGGCUCUAUUUGCUUGAGGGGCUAUAAAUAUGUGUUUGGCCGGCUUGGGGCUCACCCUCUUGGCAUUCUAACAUACUUGACAUCCUUGUGAGCCUAAGCAAACACCUCCCACUCAUCUCCUUCAUAGAUUAAACAUCUUUGUGAGAUUGGGAGUGAUUCCAAGUGCAUUUGCUUGAGUGAUUGCAUCUAGUGGCACUUGGGGAUCGUUUUAGCUGCGGUUUUCUCGUUACUCUUGGUGGUUGCCGCCACCUAGACGGCUUGGAGCAGCGGAGGAGGAUUGGCACGAGUUGGUGAUUGUUCGUGGCCAUCUCCCGGUGAUUGUGAGAGGUUUGUGCCUACCUCGGCGGAGAGCCAAAGGCAACAUUAGUGGAUUGCUCGUGUCAUUGAGCUACCUCACUUGUGGGUAGGUUCUUGUAGUGUCCUAGUGAGGACGAGGUUCGUGCUACACCUCUUAGCCACCGAACCACCAAGUGUUGGUCGACACAACGGGGACGUAGCGUGCCGGCAAGCACGUGAACCUCGGGAGAAAAAUUGUGUGUCUCCAUUGUGAUUGUUCAUUGGAUAUCUCCCGGUGAUUGGACUUCAUAUUAUUGAUUGGUUCAUCCCCUCUACGCGGCGGUAUAAAGUUCAAACCAUCUCUUUUACAUUCCCGCAAACUAGAGUAGCUUACUUACUUGUAUAGAAACUUUAGGUAGCUUUCUAGUGUAAGUAGUGACAUAGCUCUUGUGUGCCUAGUAAUUAUAUCAACUAGAUUUGUUGGAUAGGUGGCUUGCAAACCCCCCUUUAAAGCUAGAGCAAAAAGCUUCGCUUUGUUAUUUACUAACCUCUUGCUCUAGUGAGUUUGUAGAAUUUUUAAAUAGGCUAUUCACCCCCCUCUAGCCAUAUUAGGACCUUUCACACACACACCUUUUGCUCAACAUGAAAAUGGAUGGUAUCUUGGAGAGUCCCUAAAAGAUAACAAAACUGAAAGAAGGAUGCUCUAUAAUAACCCUAGGAAUGUUUAUAUAAGUUGUGUCAUCAUUCCAAUUCCAUAUCCCUUUCGUCCAAUGUUGGGUGGGGACUUUCGAUUGCCCUCCCAGCCUCCCCCCUAGCUCACAAAGAGCCAUCCUGGAAACCUUCCCCAGAUGUUUUUGGUCAUUUCAUAGGAUGGUGCAUUUCGUUAGGCCACGGGAGGCUUCACUAGAGCUCGACAUACGAAGAGCAUCUGGAGUGAAGGCAUCGUGUGUGCAGGCGAUGAGAUGUAUCCCUAAGGAGGAUCCUAGCGAGGACUAUGUGCCCGAGCAAAGGAGCGACAUGGUUUCGUGUAUGAAGUCGAGCGAAGGCUUUAGUGGUCUGACAGUCCCACGAAGGUGAAUGCUUUUGGUUUCAUGUGUGAAUUUGACUAGGAUGCCCCCACCUGAGAGAAUCUAGAUAUCUCAAGUAGGUUUGGGAGGAGGCAUAAGAGUCCUUGCAUUGUGUUGUAAAGGGGAACCUAUAAAUAGUGUCAAUUGUACAAUAGGAAGGGGAUGAUGAAUAGUGAAACCACUAGUUAUUUGAGAGUUUGGCAAUUACCCAUGUUCGAAGACUUCUGACCAGAACAACUAUAUACCCAAUGGUGGAGGGAAGGGGCCUAAGGGGGCCUGGCACCCCCACCCCCACCCCCCCCCCAAAACCUUCACAUACCUACCAUAAUACAUCCCCUAGUUAAUGAUACUAUUUUUACUAUGAUUUUUUAUUCUUACUCCAUAUUAAUCUCUAAUAGUAUCUUAUAUAAAUAAAAACUAGGUCUUCCUAAUAUUUUGACCAUAUCUUUUUGUUCUUAUUAUUGCUUACAAAACAUUAGUUUGUCCCCAUAACACAGACUCUAAUUAGCUAGUUAAUUAAAAAUCAGUGCUUUUCUUGUUUACUCCUUAGAAUAGAUCUCCAAUUAAAUCUAUAUUAUUUAGCAUUAGCGAGUGUGGUCAAUAUUUAAACGCUAUAUAGUGGCACAAUGUUUCUGUCUAAUCGUCUAUUUAGACAAACAUUUUACCCGUCUUUAAGUGACCAUUUUGUCCGAGGCUAAGCAACAAGUGACCAAUUGCUAGCCAUUUAACAUUUAUUAGGAUCUACAGCCAAUUAAUUUUGGCCCUGUUGAACUACUUGUUAUUACCAUAAUUCUUUUUCCAGCCAAAAAAAUUAGAUUGAUCAGGUAACGGUUAGAGGCCUGAGGCUAAUUAAAUUCCCUUCAUUUUUUAGUUUUUUCCUCUUUCAUUUGUAUCGCAAGUCGCAACACAAACGUUUAUUUGAGUGGUAUGUAUCUUUGCCGUGUAGACAUUUUGACACGCGCGCAUAGUUGUCGCCGGUUUGCACGGCCCUCCUAUACUCAAAUCCUAGCUACUCCUGAAAAGAUACCCAUAUUACAGUAUUAUUCACGAUCAUAGAAUCACACUGCUCCUAUACUGCACUCCAUCACGCAUCCUGGAUAGACAGCUUGAUGACGUACUCCGUCUCUGAUUUCUGGACUGAUCUACCCUUGCACUCGUAGUAGAACGCGGUCAACGCGCAGUCUUGGAACAAUUCUAGGGCGGCCAUCAGGACGGUGUACAAGACUCCCAGGAGCAGAGCCCCCAACGUCAUGUCGCUACGGGCGCUCAUCUUGGCCUGCCAGUAAAUCAGCCUGACCACGGCGGCGAGCACGGUCGUCACAAAAACAAAGAGCAUGGCACCCUCCUGCCUGCCCUUCACCAGCUGCCGUGCUCGCCCGACCGCGCCGCCGGCGCCAUGGCAGCGCCGAGCUUCAGAUUCAUCCAAGGCCACGACGACGGCGAGCGAGCAGACGAAGGACAGGAAGAUGUAGAAGGCGAAGGCGACGAGGAGGACCAGGCAGCCGGCGAGAAACAGCCCCCGGCACCGGCAGUACCACGGCCACCUGAACGCGAGGAAGGCCACGACGGCAGUCGAGGCCAACAGCAGCGAGACGGCGGCGGUCUUGAGCGCGCAGACGAAGGCGACCGUCAGCACGGCCGCCUUCAGCUGCUGCUUCUGCUGCUUGGCUCUGCCGACGACGACGAGCGCGCCGAAGGUGUGCACUUCACCACCGUCGUCACCGGAGUAUGUCGUGACGGCGGCGAAGAGGGAGACGAGCUGGAUGACGGAGCCGGUGAUGUCGGCUGACACGAGAUAGGCGGCGCAUGUGAUGAAGAGGACCUGGUAGUCAUCCAGCGUCUGUUGGAGGAGGUCAGCGUAGUCUGGGCCUCCAGGGUCGGUGCUUUUGAGCGUGUCCAUGUCGCGGCCGACCUCAAGCUUGAGGGGCUCGAUGCCAAGCUCGUCGGCGACGAGAAGGAGAGUGAUCCAGGCGACGAGGAUGGUGAAGAUCGCCGCGAAGAGUCGCCGGCUCCUGCCGGCGGGGAGGAGCAGGCCUUCCUUGAGGAAGUUGAAGGACGAUGGGGUGGUAGAGCUAGCACUAGCAGGCUUGGUGGCAGCCAUGGAUAGAGGUUAGACAGAUAGACGAGAGGAAUGUCAAUGUGUUGAGAUUAAUUAUGAGAGGAGAAUAACGGUGAUGGUUUAAACCUUUAUUAUAACGGCCUGUUCGUUAAUUUUGUAGUGUCAAUGUGUAGCUGUGUGUGGCUGGAUGCUUUCUUGCCUACCUCAACCGUGUUUGCUAGUCAUUUUUUACAGCAACGUAACAGCCAGCCAUACCGCAACAAAUGCUUUUAAUUUGGCGGAACAAAUGCUUCUUUCUCUGGUAGAGUAGUGAAAGUCUAGAACCUUGACGACCAGGCCUAAAUGGCACAAAACUGAAUUGAUAAAACAAUUCUAGCAAAAAACCGAAGACAUAUUUUAAUUAAUGUUGUGUACUACCUCUAUCAAACAAAAUGCAACUCUCACAUUUUGAGGAGCCAAACAGUUCAAACUUAUAGUUAUAUCAUGAAAAAUAAUAAGUACAAUUGGUUUAGCUAUAGAAUAUGGUUUUGUAAUAAAUUUAUUUUGGCGACAUAAAUGUUGAUAUUAUUUAUUAUAAUUUUGUUUAAACUUGAGCUACUUUGAUCAGCACGGUUCCUAUAAUUGAGUUGUUUUAUGGACAGUACACUAGGCUUGACGACAAUGAGUAAAUGCAACGGUUUUUGGCCGGCACAAAUGUUUCUUUCUUUGGUAAAGUAGUGAAACUCUAGAAGCUUUAUGACCAUGCAUACCUAAAUGCACGGCCUUUUUAUUAGCUCCUGUGAGCUCAGGCUCAUCGUUAACAGAAAUGCUAACGUGGUGAUGACCAAUGCAAGCAGCAUGCACACAAAGAAAUUUCAUCGAAUCUUUCGUAGAUCUUGGCUAUGUAUAUACAGCUGUUGGUGCUCCUGUCCAAUAAUGUACUCUGGCAAAACGAACGUUAGGAUUUCCCGACAGAUCAACAAGAGCCAAGGUAAAAAAUUUGUUUUUGAGUAGUGUGGGUCAUGCAAGACGUCGAGCCCAGAGCUUGCAGUAGGGUAAGGGCAUACAUUGGCAAAGCAAACCUAAAUAAAAAUAAAUUGAGCCGUUUGUUCUCACGUAAUUAAAUUACAAUCCGAUUCACAAAUAAAGGAAUCUUUAUUUAUAUGAGGUGAAUUAUUUUAUGAGCACCAUUAAUUGGACAUAAUAAAAUUUACCUUUCAUGUCUCAAAAACUGAAUCAUUUCUGUAUGUGUAUAUUCUCGGGCCUAAUCAUUGGCUUAGGACUUUGUGAGUGGUAGUGCAGUGGUUCUCGUUCUAGCCAUAAGCACCACAUUACUGAUACAUAAACUCAAGGCAGAAAGAAAUAAAGAAGAGGCUAAGGCAAAGAUUUUUCAAGAAAAAUCAUGGGCAGUUGUUACAGCAAUUGGUAUGUGUCAAAGAGCAUAUAUAUAGGAGAAAGAAUGACCACUACACUAGAAGAGCUCGAGAAAGCCACUAACAACUUUGAUAAAUCUCAUGAGCUUCUUGGUGGUGGAGGACAUGGCAUAGUCUACAAGGUAAUUUAAUCAAGUCACAUGUUGCAAUUAAGAAGGCAAAGAUCAUGAUACAAAAAGAAAUCAGUGAGUUUAUAAAUGAGGUUGCAAUUCUUUCUCAUGUAAAGCAUCGAAAUAUUGUGAAACUACUUGGAUGUUGCCUUUGAGACAUAAGCCCCAUUACUUAUUUAUGAGUUCAUAUCCAACGACACUCUUUACAAGCAUCUUCAUGUCAGACCACCAACAUUAGUUUCUUGGGAAAAUAGGCUUAGGAUUGUUGUUGAAAUUGCUAGAGCUCUCACAUAUCUUCACUCCUUAGUCUCUACGCCAAUAGUCCACAGGGAUAUCAAGCCCCUUAACAUACUUCUUGAUGAUAAUCUAACUAUGAAAUUGUCAGACUUUGGAGCGUAAAGAUAUAUUCCUAUUGAUCAAGAAGGGAUACAUAUAUAUAACUGUGUAAGGGGCAUUAUGAUAUUUGGAUCCUACAUACCACGGCAUGGGACUUCUUUUCGAAAAGAUGAUGUCUAUAGUUUUGGUGUGCUCCUUAUAGAGUUGCUUACCAGAGAGAACCCAAAUUGUUAUAGAUCCCCACCAAGGUUUUUCUCUUGUCAACAUUUUUAUAGUUUGCACUCUCAAGGAAACUUAGUCGAAAUAAUGGAAUAAUGGAUCCACAAGUUGCCAAGGAAAGAGAUGGAGAAGUUGUUGAUGUUGCCCUAUUGGUAGCAGUAUGUUUCAAGUUUAGAGCUAAGGAACAACCAAUGAUGAGGCAUGUUGAGAUGACGCUAGAAAUCAUCCAAGCUUCAAAGGAGUUUCCUAGCAACGUGAUAUAUCUAGUGUAGACAAUAUCCUCGAGGAAAGGAGUUAGGAUUCAUUUAGGUUUGUAUCUAAGGAAAAGUUAUUAGAUGUUCUUGCGUGGUAGCCUUGAUCUUGCUUUGGUUUGCUAAGAGUCAUAAUAAUCAAGUUUUGUUCAAUAUGGAGCAUAUAAUUAAUGUGAUCAUGUUCUUCUUCCCAUCAUUGUCGUGUAAUAUGUUACAAACAAAUAAAAAACUAUAAAUCAUAAAGUAUACGUAUCCUAAUGCUCUCAUUUUUUCUGGAUUUAUUUCAUCAAUUUUAAUGGCGCUAUUCUUUCAAAGAUAGGAGAUGUACCCAUUGACAGUCGAGUACAUGCAGUUGUUAGAAAAUUACACAAAUGUUUGAUUUAAUCUAUAAAAUUACGCAUAAUACAGUGGUGGCAUAUAUGUGCACAUGUACAAUUUUAUCACUCCUAGAUUAGAGAUAAACAUUACAAGAACUACUGCAACUACAGCAGACAUGAAAAUGAAAAACAAUCGUUUAAGAUUGUAUUCUGAGGAGGGACCAGUGCCGAAGGCACCGACGGCUCCAUUCACACUAGUCAACAUAGUGUGUUGCUCGAACUAGUGGACCUCAGUCGAUGCAGGAAGAUGUUCGCAGUGCAGUCCCGUGAACGUCCACCAGGAAGAAGACGAAGACGAAGUAGUCGCAGUCCCGAACGUCCACUAGGAAGAAGACGAUCCCGAUCCGUCGGAGUGGAAGAAGACGAUCUCGCCGGCGAGCGGUCGUGGAAGACGCUCCCAAAAACCUGAUUACCCGCACACCCGAGCAGGUGUCUCGAUGCAGGGCGUUGGGUUCCGGAGGCCUGCUCUCCCUGUGCGCGCAGAGGUUCGGGACGGGGAUGAACAGAGAGCAACACGACUGGAAUGCAAAGGAAUGACUGAUUGUGUCUCACACAGGGAAAGAGUCUCGCAGGUAUGGAAUAUAUAGGCUCAGAAGGAAACGUCUGAGUUAAUGACAAUCAAUCGCAAUUAAUUACCAUUAACGAGACAAUCAAUCACAAUUAAUUACCAUUAAUGAGACAACGGUCAGAUCCGGUCAGACCCCGAUUUCCUCCCUUUCCUUAUUCACCACGCGUGUGCCACGUCACGUCUCGAGAAGACAAGACAAGACAACGCCACGCCACGCCACGCCACGCAUCGCCUCGCCUCGCCCCGCCACGGCAUGGCUCGGUGCGUGCGCGUGUGGCACCUUUUUUCUCUUCCUCAACUUCUCCAUAGGAGCUAUAAAAGGCCACCUAUUUAAGUUGAGUUAACACAUGGUCAAUAGUUAAUACGGUAUUAAACUGUUUUCAAUAUAGCAUUUAUUAUGGGCCCUUGAAUUAAUCAUCAAAUAUAAUAUGGGCUAAAAGCCCAUUUAUAUUCAACAAACCUCACCUAUUUCUAGGGCACAUAAGAAAAUGUCUCAAAUUUCCAUGUCGUUUCAUAUACCAGUUGUUUCGGUGGAGACUGUCAAAUUGAACUUCCACCUAGAGUACAGACUACACUCAGUCACAACUUGAACAAUGGACUAUACCUUGAAUUGCAAGUUUUGUGUGAUGUAAGUUUUAUCUAAACUCAUAACUGAUACCGGGUUGCAUGAACAUCCUCUCUUGAAGCAUAUAAGUGAUACUUCUGGCCCAUUCAUGAGUAUGUAGAGACCACCCAAAUCUCAUAGACUGUGACUAGCAGUCAAACUCAUAUAGGUGUAUUCCUUAAAGAUGUUUUGUAGGACAACAUCUAUCGCUUCACAAGCCGCUUUGGAAUACAUUAAGGUAUAUAACCAGCCUUCCUUACAGACUUAGGAAAAGAAGUACACUUGAGAUGAGUUAAGUUUGGUUCUUUCCUCACAAUCUACUUCUGGCUUGUUUCACCAUUCUACUUCACGGGAUCUCCGAUCAUAUAGAACAUGUUGCCACCACGGUAGACCUUACGUGGGUCUCAAACACAUCUCACUCGAUGCACUAUCUAUCACAUUACGUGAUAGUCUCUUUUUAAAUUGAUCUGCUAGAUUCUUAGACGUAUAGACAUAGUCCAACGCUAUAACUCUGGAGUUUCUCAAUUUUCUGAUAGUCUUCAAACACCGUUUGACAUGCCUUGUGGACUUCAUGUUGUCCUAGAACUGUUGACUUUUGUGAUCACCGUUUGAUUGUCACAGUUCAUGGAAAUAGCCGGCAUAGGUUUUUCAACCACCGGUAGAUCCAUCAGGAGUUCACGAAGCCACUCGACCUCAGCACCGGUGGUGUCUAAUGCUGUGAGUUCUGCUUCCAUGGUUGACUUGGUUAAGAUAGUCUGCUUGCAAGACUUUCAUGAAACAGCGCCACCUCCAAGCAGAAACACAUAUCCACUCGUGGCCUUUAAAACAUCAGCAUCAGAUAUCCAAUUUGCAUCACAAUAACCCUCUAAUACCUUGGGGUAUCCGGUAUAGUGAAUGCCAUAGCUCACAGUACCUUUUAAAUAGCGCAUCACUCUCUCAAGAGCUUGCCAGUGAAUAUCUCCCGGAUUUGAUACAAACCGGCUAAGUUUGCUAACUGCAAACGAGAUAUCAUGCCUCGUGGCACUUGCAAGGUACAUCAGUGAACCUAUAAUUUGAGAGAAUCUUAGUUGAUCCCUUGCUAUUCUUUGAUUUUUCCUCAAUAGCACACUAGGAUCACUAGGCGUAGGAGCAAAUUGACAGUCACUGUACCCAAAGCAACUUAAAAUCUUCUCCACAUAGUGGGAUUGCACAAGUGUAAUCCCACCAUUGCCUUCUCUCAAAAGCUUAAUGUUUAGAAUAACAUCAGCUUCUCCCAAAUCUUUCAUCUCAAAGUUAUUAGACAAAAAGUCUUUAACUUCCUUGAUCACAUCAAGGCUUGUCCCAAGGAUCAGUUUCAUCUCAAAGUUAUUAGACAAAAAGUCUUUAACUUCCUUGAUCACAUCAAGGCUUGUCCCAUGGAUCAGUAUGUCAUCCACGUACAAACAAAGGAUCACACCUUCACCCCCACCAAACUGAUAGUACACACAUUUGUCAGCUUCAUUAACAGCAAAGCCGACAGAAGUUAAAGUUCUGUCAAACUUUUCAUGCCAUUGUUUUGGAGCUUGUUUUAGGCCAUAUAGGGAUUUUAAUAGCUUACACGCCUUGCCUUUUUGACCACUUGUUACAAAUCCAUCAAGCUGAUCCAUAUAGAUCUCUUCCUCUAACUCUCCAUUUAGGAAAGCUGUCUUUACAUCCAUCUGAUGAAUGAGAAGACCAUGAGAGACAGCCAAGGAUAGUAACACUCGAAUUGUUGUCAAACGGGCAACCGGUGAAUAAGUAUCAAAGAAAUCUUUCUCUUCUCUUUAGGUAUAACCCUUAGCCACAAGCCUAGCCUUGUACCUGUCAAUUGUACCAUCAGGCCUAAGCUUUUUCUUGAACACCCAUUUACAACCUAUAGGUUUACACCCAUAAGGCCGUUCAACAACUUCCCAAGUUCCAUUAGACAUUAUUGAAUCCAUCUCAUUCUUUAUUGUUUCCUUCCACAAGUCAGCAUCAGGAGAGGAAAAUGCCUCUUUAAUGGUUGUUGGGGUAUCAUCCACGAGGUACACAAUAUAGUCAUCUCCAAAAUACUUCACUUUCCUUUGUCUUUUGCUCGUUCGAGUGACUAUAUUAUCAUCCUCCUUAGGAUAGUGAACAUGGUUCCUCAGUUUGUUCUAUCGGAAUGAAUUGCACAUGGGAAUCUAUAGAUUCGUGACUAGAAAUAUUAUGUGUACUUUUCAUAGGGAAUUCACUUUCAAAGAAUGUUGCAUCUCUUGAUUCCAUUAUAGUACCAACAUGCAUAUCUGAUAAUCCAGAAUUUAUAAUUAAAAACCUAUACCCUACCCUGUGAGUAGCAUAACCAAGGAAAAUACAAUCAACUGUCUUAGGUCCAAGUUUACGUUUCUUGUUUAUUGGCACAUUCACUUUUACCAAACAACCCCAAGUACGCAAAUAGGAGACAUUUAUUCUCUUCUUUUCUCAUUCCUCAAAUGGCGUGAUUUCUUUAUUCUUUGUAGGAACUCUAUUCAGGACAUGAUAUGCUGUCAGUAUCGCCUCACCCCACCAUUCCUUAGAUAGUCCUGAAGUCUUUAACAUGGCGUUAACCAUCUCUGUUAGAGUACGGUUCUUUCUUUCGGCAAUCUCAUUGGACUGUGGUGAGUGUGGUGGUGUCCUCUCAUGAAUAAUUCCAUGUUCUACGCAAAAAUCAGAAAAAUCACUUGAAAAAUAUUCUCCACCACGAUCGGACCUUAAGCGUUUAAUUUUCCUCUCAAGUUGAUUAUCUACUUUAGCUUUAUAGGCUUUAAAAUAUUGUAAUGCUUCAUCCUUUGAUUUAAGCAAGUACACAUGACAAAAUCUAGUACAAUCGUCUAUAAAUAUAAUUAAGUAUCGUCUACCACCUUUAGUCAAUUCAUCAUUCAUCUCACAUAGAUCAGAAUGGAUUAGUUCUAAUUGUGCCAAGUUCCUCGCCUCUGCAGCCUUGUGAGGCUUGCGAGGUUGCUUGGAUUGCACACAGACAUGGCACUUAGAACCUUUGACUAAAUUAAAUUUCGGGAUUAAAUUCAUAUUUGCUAGCCGCGUUAAACAACCGUAAUUAACAUGACAAAAUCGCGAAUACCAAAUAUUCGACUCAUUCGAAAUGUUCACGACUUUAUUACACACAUCAUGCAUAGAUAAGCGGAACAAGCCUCCACAAUCAUAACCUUUACCAAUAAAAGCUCCAAACUUAGAAAGUAUAACUUUAUUGGCCUCAAAGACAAUUUUAUAGCCAUCUCUGCAAAGUUGUGAACCGCUAACUAGAUUCUUUUUGAUGGAGGGGACAUGUUGUACGUUCUUCAUCAGCACCGUCUUUCCCGAAGUGAACUUCAGAAUGACCAUGCCAACACUAAGAACACGUGCAUGAGAGCCAUUCCCCAUCACUAAGACUCCAGUGUCGCGGGCCUGAUAAGAAGAAAACAAAGAGAUGUCAGCACAUACAUGAACAUUAGCCUCAGUGUCCAUCCACCACUCAGGUGAAUGACAGACUGAAAGAACAAUGAGUAAAUAAUUAUCAUACCCAGAUGUUCCUCCUUCAGCCUCGCUAACGACCAUGUUCACUGACUUUUCUCUUCUCGUUUGAAUUUGCGGUCUGGACAAGCACUUGCCUAAUGGUCAUUGCUACCACAAACAAAGCAGCCUCCAUCUGCCUUUUUCUUCUUAAAAGUUGUAGUUUGCUUUGGCUUCAGAUUUUUCCCUUGCUUGUUCUUUUUCUUAUUACGGAAUGCGUAUUGCUUUUUCUUCUGCACCACAUUGGCACUAGAAGACUCAACGCCUUUCCCAUUUGUGUCUUUUGCUCUCGUCUUCUCCUCAACAUCAAGAGUUUCCAUGAGUUUGGCAAGACCAAACUCUUUUCUCUGAUGUUUUAGAGAAGUAGCAAAAUCCUUUCAAGAAGGUGGCAGCUUAGCGAUUAUACCACUGGUGUAACAUCCCAAAAAUUCACAUUCAAAAAUCACUCGCAUUAAAAAUUAUUUUAAAAAUAUAUUUCAAAAACUAUAAAAUAAUUUGAGCUCUAUAGUAUCUCCAUCUAAUCCAUCCAUAUUUUUUUCGCGCACAAAUAACAGCAAGUACCAGCAAGCUUACAUGCAAGAAAACAUAGCAGUGCACCUACACGAAUAUAUAUCUCAUGCAUGCAUGCAUGCAUGCGGGACGAGCAUGCACCGUCCAUUAGCAUGCACCUACAUGCAAGGACAUGGUGAUUAGGCACCGUCCAUUUGCACGCACCGUGCAUGCAAAUGAGACAUUGCCAUUUGCAUGAAAAUUAGGCACCGCCCACCGUCCUGUCGUCCUAUGUAGCCAUGCACUACAGUAGCAAUUCUAAUGGUACGAAGCUGAGCACCAGAGGCAUAACCUCACUCCUCUGGCCUAUAAAAAACCAGCCUCGGGUGCUCACUCUCACCACCCGAGAAACACAUUCACUCACUCGCUCACUCGCUUUCACUUCGCGUAUACCGUAUACGGCCAUACGCACAAGCCGAGCUCGACUGUCGUCGCAAGACGAGGUGAGCAGCUCAUGAGCAUCCCCUUACUCUUCUCUGUCUUUCUGUAGUAUUUUUCUGUAUUUUUCCUUAUAUUUGUCUGUACCGAUUCACUGUUAAGAACUCCACGAAUAGAGCCAUGACAUACAGAAGAGCUCUAAUGACCCCUGCUAAUUUCUCUCUAACCAUGCAUGCGUGGGCCAUAAGCAUUAACUCCAAAUAGUACAUGCAUGCAUGCAACAUGCACUACCAGCCAAGCAAAUGUCCACGUGAAGCAUCCAUUCCUUAAUCAUCGUUAGCCUUUUUCGCAUGAUUAAAUUCCGGCCAUUUCACAAAUACCACAUGCUAACUCUGAUUUCAAUAAUUCUUUUUCCUAAAUUAAUCUAAAAUCAUGAUCUACCUCUCAUAUUAAUUUCUUGAUUUUUGGAGCUCAUUUGAAUUUAUAUAAUUAUUUAUCUGUGCCUGUUGUCUGUGUCGUUCGUCGCGUAUUUUAGUUGACGGAGUGAACGAGCCGGAAAACGAGAACGUUGGAAACGAGUACCGCGAGUUUGACGCCGAGGACCCGGACUGUCAGCAGGAGUUUGCUGAGGACGCCGACGGAGGCAAGUCCAACCGAUCCCCUUUGAUGCAUAUUGAUCCUAUUUUUAAACACAACCCGUAGAAGCCGUUUUAAAUAUUGCAUGUACGAUAUAUGUACGAAGUAUUUUCGCUGCUUAGUUAAAAUCUGUUGAAUAGCCAUCCUUGAAUUGAUAUUACCCGGUAAUUGUCUUGUUCGAACCUAGGAACAAAUAAUAUGCUACGACAGAAAUAUCAUUAUUUAGUAUGCUUAGGACUUGUUACUCAUCCUGGAUACUCAUCGCUAUAUUUUUCAAAUAUAAUGAUUUUAAAAGUAAAAGAUGUGAGUGGUGAAAAUAAAUUGUGGGUAUUAUGAAAGAGUUAAUGAACAAGUUAUAGAUGUGAUUACUAUGGAGAUGGGGCGGAUGGGAUCUCUUUUGGGGAUGCCCUGGUGUUGUGGCUUAUACCUUGCGGGGUUAAGCGAAAAGAUAUCCGCCUUGUCUCGAUUAAGGACUGAGUUGAUGAUUCAUCUUGCCUAACUCAUUUAUCGUACAACCACUCGCCUUGCAUGAGAAAGGCUUAGUCUAAAUCCCUCUAGUUAGUAUGGCAAUCACCUGGAGGCAGGUGUGCAACGGGACACUAAGUGAUGUAUGUAAAAUUGUGGAAAUAUAUGAAAAGAGCUUUGUGAAUUAUUGUGGUAUCAUGAGGUGUGGCCUUAGUGUUCCCGUGGUGAGCGCCAUUACUUAGCUAUGGAGGGUAAUGACUUUGAUGGAUCUGUGCUUGCACGACGGUGUAAGUUAUGGUAUCCUACUUGUGGGAAAAGCGUACAACCUCUACAGAGUGUAAAUCUAUCUGGAUAGUCGUGUCCGCGGUCUCGGACGGGUUAUGGUUUGGUUUCAACAACUAGAUGGGUUGGUAUGAGUGAAAACAUGAGAGUGAGUGUGAUUUUGGAAAUAAAUGGUUGACUGCCAUUUUGUUGUGGGAACAAGGGUUCAACAACACUUAAAAUUGUGAUCAAACCCCCAUUUUCAGAAAUACUAUCAUAUGUGGAAAAAGAGUUCUUUUACAACAGUAUUUGUGAAAUGAAACCUUGCAUGUGUAAAAAGAUAGCUUUAUGCAAAUAAAACUAAGCCUCAUCCUUGAUUUAUCCAUAUGCAUAUAUAUUGUUAUCCCCUUCCGUAGGGUAAGGUUGGAUUUGCUGAGUACUUUGUACUCACCCUUGCUUUAUUAAACAGAGGAAGAUCCGGACUUCGAUCCCGAAGUGGCGUUCGAGUAAGGUCGUGUCUGCACCCAACUAAGCCUGUGGCAUUGGGACUCGUCAGAUGUUCGAUGGCGAUAUCGUUUGUUUCUGGGUCCUUUGGACCUAUGUUGUAUUUUGGUGUCUUAUUAUUAUAGCGUGCCUUCCUUGUCCACGCUUUCCGAAGACUACUGCGCUGAAACUUAUCUGAUGUAAUAAAUGUGUUACUAGCCUCCUGGGACUAGUAUUGUAUCACAUUUGAGUUCCUGGUUUACCAGGGGCGCUUCAGGUGGUAUCAGAGCCGUAGUUGGCUGUAGGACGCGACCUUAGGCUUUUCUGGACCAGUAUUUUACUAAAUAAACAUAUUUUACCAAAGUUCUUACCCUCUUCCCUCUAUUUGAAAAAAUAUUUACUCUCAUCUAUGUCUCUCAGAUGGCAGAAGGAGUUUGGACCAGCAGUUACUGUCUAAGUGUAGACGGCUUUCCCAAGCUCUUGUAUGCUACCAUGCAGAAACUUGGAAUCAAGGAUCGCCCAGAAUAUGAAGGCAGAGAAUAUGAAGAGCAUGAGACCGAGCGGUGUGAAGUUACCGUCUAUAUUGGGAAAAGUGAGGACUUCCCUAACAUAGCCGAAGCUUGGAGUAUGACUGCGACCGGAUUUCGGUUUGCAGAUACAUAUCAAGCCGUCGCCCGCAAAGCCUUGAGGUACCUAUGCCAGAUCUACGAGAAGUCCAUCACCCGUACCCCCAUGAGGUUCUUUCCACCCGACGAAAAAGAUCGACCAGUUUGGAGGACCCGUAUGGAGCUCUUGCAAGGAUGCUACUCACUUGAAGAUAACCCAACUGUGGUAUUCAUGACCACAUACCUUCUUGCUCUAGAUAAGCAAUAUGAUGAGCAGGCCUCAGAGUUAAGGAAGUGCAUCCAUCGUGCGGAGGAAGCUGAGAUCAUAGUUAGAAAGCUCCAUGUACAGCUCGCGGAAGCUCAGGCCCAAGCAGCUGCAGCCGAGAGUCGUGAAACUGCCAUUGCUGAAGUCUUGAAGGCAGCUGAAGACCGCCAUGCUCAGGAGUUGAAGGAUGCCUACCUUAUCACCAGGAUCAAAAGAAGGAUGUUAGCAGAGGAAGACCAAGAGCCCAUAGUCCUAAAAGGUAUCCUAAUCAUGUCCCUAAAAACCAAAAGAAAGAUGGACAUAGAAGGGCCAUCAGCUCCCCCACCCACAGAAGCCUCUCAUAAAGCUUUAGAGUUGGAGCCCAGUAAGGAAGAAGGAUUUCCCCUCCUCACCCAGCCAGCACCAAAAGAAGACAGUGACCCACCUCUUAGUCCAAAAGAAGAACCACAAAUGCCGGAAGCGUGAUCCUCCUCAACACCAAGGGAAUGAAGCUGUUCUGUCCGAAGAAGUUGAAGAAUAGUAGCACCUAGUUCCUCCUUAUGUCUUGGGGAAGUGAAGUUUACUUCACUUUUGUUCAACCCCCCAAAGUAGAUGAACCAUAUUGUAGUACGCUUAUUUCCUCCAUUACUAUGUUGUAAACCGCCCUCUUAUUCAAAAUAUAUUUGUGCUUGUUGGUUGUGAUAAAUAAUUGAGUGCUCUAUGUUGUUCCCUUACGGGAUAGCAAGUCUUAAAACUUGCACCUUUUUAAAAUAUAACGCUUUAAUAAAAAAAAAGAACAUCACUCAAUAGAUCUAACCCUUAUCUAAUGCUUUCUCAUCUUAACCAACAGAUGCCUCCCAAACCAGCUACCCGCUCUCAACCAAGUGGUCGUGCAGCUAGUAGACAAAGCCAAAAUCCAAAUGGAAGUCAAGCCAAUGCAAAUGUGGAUGGUAUUCAUGAAGAUGAAGUGAGUCAGACUAGGAACCAUAAUGAAGGAGAUGACUUGCCCCCUCCUCCAGUAAUUGACUUAGCACAAGUCAUGGCAACUCAGACUCGCCUUCUAGAGACCUUGGCUCAAGGCAUGAACCGCCCUAGGAACAACCGUGGAGCCGGAGUCCAAGACAAGAUGACUGAGUUCAUGAGGCUUAAGCCACCCACCUUUACUGGAUCUGACAACCCCAUGGAAGCAGAUGAUUGGCUUAAGGUGAUUGAAAGGAAGUUGGACACAAUCCACUGUGAUGGAAGGGAUAGAGUUCUGCUAGCAUCUCAUCAGCUGACAGGAAUUGCCCUUUCUUGGUGGGAAGCCUAUAGUGGAGCUGUGGACAAUGCAAACACUAUCACAUGGGAAGAAUUUGUGGAUGAAUUCCGUCGGUACCACAUUCCAGAUGGAAUCAUAAAGCUGAAAGCUGAUGAAUUUCGCAACUUGAAGCAAGGAAAUAAAACUCUAAGUGAGUACAUCUUCCAAUUCACUGAAUUGUCUCGCUAUGCCCCAGAAUUGGUCAACACUGAUGCCAAGAAACAGACAAAGUUCAUAGAAGGAUUGACCUGUGAGCUCAGAACCCUCAUGACCCCACAGAUCUAUCCAGAUUUCAACACAUUGAUGAAUAGGACCAUUCUGACUGAUGUGGCCAAGACUGAAGAAAGGAAAGAAAACAAGCGCAAAUUUCUGGAGCGCAAGGUUCAAGAUGGUGCUAGAUCCCAGAGGCUGAAAACCUUUAGCCAACCAAGCCAGCGGACUCAAGCCCCAAUGCAGUUUCGCUCUCCUCCUAGUGUCUCCAAUAACCAAAUGCAGUCAUCAUAUCAGCCCAAGACAACCUAUCAGAAUCAAACUUAUGGCAAGACUCAACAGAACAGCACUGGUCAAGUCACAAACAAUGUUAGGACUUGCUUUAAUUGCCAUGAGACUGGACACUACAUCGCCAACUGUCCCAACAAGAACAACCCACCAGCAGUAUCCACUCAGUCCCAUACUGUUAAUGGACCAAGACCUGCAGUGUCUGGAGUCAACCGUGGUUUCCCUCGCAACAAUAGCAACACCAACAAUAAUAGCCAGAUGAUGAAGCAACCUCAACAAUCCUAUGGUAGAGCCCGUGUCAACCAUAUUCAUGCUCAGGAUGCUCAGACUGCUUCAGGAGUGGUACUUGGUGAGUUCUUAGUCAAUUCAGUACUUGCAACAGUAUUAUUUGAUUCUGGAGCAUCACAUUCCUUCAUAUCAUCAAGUUUUGUUGAGAAGCAUCAAAUACCCACAGUACUACUAAAGUUACCCCUAAUAACCCGAACACCUGGGUCUGACAUCAAAUGUCAUCUAGGAUGUUCAAAUGUAAGGAUCAUUCUAAGUGGGGUAGUUUUCUUAGCAGACUUAGUAGUGCUCAAGUCCAAAGGAAUAGAUGUUAUCCUUGGAAUGGAUUGGUUAACCAGACACAAUAGAAUUAUUAGUUGUGCAAUCAAAGAAGUAUCAUUAGUUAACCAUGAAGGGAUUAAAGUGAAAUGCCAAACCCGAGGGUCUAAAGUUAAUCCAAUGGUCUUCAAUUUGGAUGCAAGGACCAUAGAGGAAGUACCAAUAGUGCAAGAAUACCCUGAUGUAUUUCCUGAGGAACUACCUGGAAUGCCACCAGACAGGGAUAUAGAGUUCAUCAUUGAUCUUAUCUCUGGGACUGCCCCAUAGCCAAGAGACCUUACAGAAUGUCUCCAGCAGAGUUAGCUGAACUAAAAGAGCAGCUAAGAGAAUUGCAGCAGAAAGGUUAUAUCAGACCUAGUUCUUCACCAUGGGGAGCCCCAGUCUUGUUUGUGAAGAAGAAAGAUGGAAGUAUGAGGAUGUGUGUGGAUUAUAGGUCUCUAAAUGAAGUCACCAUCAAGAAUAAGUAUCCCCUACCAAGGAUAGAUGACCUUUUUUAUUAGCUUAAAGGAGCCAAGUAUUUCUCUAAGAUUGAUUUGAGAUCAGGUUAUCACCAGCUCAAGAUCAAGAAUAGUGAUGUUCCCAAGACAGCCUUUGUAACCAGAUAUGGACAAUACGAGUUUACAGUGAUGUCUUUUGGAUUAACCAAUGCCCCUGCCUAUUUCAUGAACCUCAUGAAUAAGGUAUUCAUGGAAGAGUUAGAUAAGUUUGUUGUAGUCUUCAUUGAUGACAUACUUAUCUACUCUAAGAGUGCUGAAGAACAUGGGCAACACUUGAGAGUAGUGUUGGAAAAGCUAAGAAGACACAAGUUGUAUGCUAAAUUCAGCAAAUGUGAAUUUUGGCUUGAGAAGGUUGCAUUUCUAGGCCACAUCUUGACAGCUGAAGGAGUUGCAGUUGACCCUGAGAAAGUAGAAGCUGUCUCCCAUUGGCAGCAACCCACCAAUGUGAGUGAGGUUAGAAGUUUUCUUGGAUUAGCUGGAUAUUAUCGAAGGUUUAUAGAAGGAUUUUCCAAGAUAGCCAGACCCAUGACAGAGCUUCUUAGGAAGGAUAAGAAAUUCACUUGGACAGAAUCAUGUGAGAAGAGUUUCCAAGAGUUGAAGAAGAGACUGACAGCAGCACCAGUGUUAACUUUACCAGACAUUCACCAAGAUUUCAUCAUAUACUGUGAUGCCUCAAGACAAGGUUUAGGAUGUGUUCUCAUGCAAGGAGGAAAAGUGGUUGCUUAUGCAUCCCGUCAGCUUAGACCUCAUGAGCAAAAUUACCCUACCCAUGAUUUGGAGUUAGCAGCGAUAGUACAUGCUCUCAAGAUUUGGAGGCACUACCUCAUUGGAAACAAGUGUGAAAUCUACACUGAUCACAAGAGUUUGAAGUACAUCUUCACACAGUCAGACUUGAACCUAAGGCAAAGAAGAUGGUUAGAAUUAAUCAAGGACUAUAACCUUGAGAUUCAUUACCACCCAGAAAAGGCCAACGUGGUAGCAGAUGCCCUAAGCAGAAGGUCAUAUGGUCAGCAGCUGGUGCCUAAGAACACUCACCUACAAGAAGAGGUAGCACAGUUGAACAUGCAUAUAGUACGCCAACCUCAAAAUGGCAGUCUGAUGGUGCAGCCAACUCUUGUGGAAGAAAUCAAGCAGACACAACAUAAGGAUAAGGAUCUGAUGAAGAUUCGUGAGCAAACUGGAGAAAAUAAAGCUCCAUACUUUAGAGUGGAUAACAAAGGAGUAUUGUGGUAUAAAAACAGGAUUUGUGUGCCCAAGGAGGGAAGUUUCAAGAAUUAAUCCUUGAUGAAGCCCAUAACUCAGCUUAUUCUAUCCACCCUGGUGCCACCAAGAUGUACAUGGACCUAAAAGAAAGAUAUUGGUGGAAUGGCAUGAAAGCUGAUGUGGCACGAUUUGUUGCACAAUGUGAUGUAUGCCAAAGGGUUAAAGAAGAGCAUCAGAAACCAGCAGGCUUGCUCCAGCCAUUGCCUAUUCCUGUUUGGAAAUGGGAUGAGAUAGGCAUGGAUUUUGUGAAUGGAUUACCCAAAACUCUGAAAGAAAAUGAUUCAAUAUGGGUAAUAGUGGACCGCCUUACCAAGGUUGCUCACUUCAUACCUGUGCGCACCAAAUAUAGUGGAGACAAGUUAGCCCAGUUAUAUGUGGAUAACAUAGUCAAAUUGCAUGGUGUGCCAAGUAGGAUUGUAUCUGACCGAGGUACCCAAUUUACCUCUAAGUUCUGGAAAAGUUUGCAUGAAGCUAUGGGAACCAAGCUAGAUUUUAGCUCAGCUUAUCAUCCUCAAACAGAUGGUCAGACUGAAAGAAUAAAUCAGAUUAUGGAAGAUAUGCUAAGAGCAUGUGUGCUCACAUAUGGUAAAGAUUGGGAGAAAAGCCUAACUUAUGCAGAGUUCUCCUAUAAUAACAGUUACCAAGCUAGUUUGGGCAUGUCACCUUUUGAGGCCCUGUAUGGAAGAAAAUGUAGAACCCCAUUGAUGUGGUCAGAAGUUGGAGAACGAACCUUGCUUGGACCAGCCCUUAUAAAGGAAGCAGAAUAUCGUGUAGCUGAAAUCAGAGAAAAAUUGAAAGAGGCACAAUCACGUCAAAAGAGCUAUUCUGAUAAAAGAAGGCGAGAGUUAUGUUUUGCAGUUGGAGAUUUUGUGUAUAUCAAAGUUUCUCCUAUUCGAGGAACUCGAAGGUUCCAAGUUAGAGGCAAGCUAGCACCUCGGUAUAUUGGACCAUAUCAAGUAUUACAGAGGAUUGGAGCUGUAGCCUAUCGUGUUCGGCUACCUGAAGAAAUGUCAGAUAUACACAAUGUGUUUCAUGUCUCCCAAUUGAAGAAAUGUCUCAGAGUACCAGAGGAACACAUAUCGCCAGACACAGUUGAUUUACAAGACGACCUAAGAUAUCAAGAAGUGCCAAUAAAAAUACUAGAUACAGUCACCAAGCAAACUCAAACAACAACAGUCCGAAUUUGUCGUGUUCAGUGGAGUAGACACACAGAAGCAGAAGCAACAUGGGAAAGAGAAGAUGCCCUGAGAGAAGAGUUUCCCCAUCUAUUUAGGACCCAGCCGAAUCUCGAGGACGAGAUUCCUUUUAAGUGGGGUAGGUUUGUAACAUCCCAAAAAUUCACAUUCAAAAAUCACUCGCAUUAAAAAUUAUUUUCAAAAUAUAUUUCAAAAACUAUAAAAUAAUUUGAGCUCUAUAGUAUCUCCAUCUAAUCCAUCCAUAUUUUUUUCGCGCACAAAUAACAGCAAGUACCAGCAAGCUUACAUGCAAGAAAACAUAGCAGUGCACCUACACGAAUAUAUAUCUCAUGCAUGCAUCCAUGCAUGCAGGACGAGCAUGCACCGUCCAUUUGCAUGCACCUACAUGCAAGGACAUGGUGAUUAGGCACCGUCCAUUUGCACGCACCGUGCAUGCAAAUGAGACAUUGCCAUUUGCAUGAAAAUUAGGCACCGCCCACCGUCCUGUCGUCCUGUGUAGCCAUGCACUACAGUAGCAAUUCUAAUGGCACGAAGCUGAGCACCAGAGGCAUAACCUCACUCCUCUGGCCUAUAAAAAACCAGCCUCGGGUGCUCACUCUCACCACCCGAGAAACACAUUCACUCACUCGCUCACUCGCUUUCACUUCGCGUAUACCGUAUACGGCCAUACGCACAAGCCGAGCUCGACUGUCGUCGCAAGACGAGGUGAGCAGCUCAUGAGCAUCCCCUUACUCUUCUCUGUCUUUCUGUAGUAUUUUUCUGUAUUUUUUCUUGUAUUUGUCUGUACCGAUUCACUGUUAAGAACUCCACGAAUAGAGCCAUGACAUACAGAAGAGCUCUAAUGACCCCUGCUAAUUUCUCUCUAACCAUGCAUGCGUGGGCCAUAAGCAUUAACUCCAAAUAGUACAUGCAUGCAUGCAACAUGCACUACCAGCCAAGCAAAUGUCUACGUGAAGUAUCCAUUCCUUAAUCAUCGUUAGCCUUUUUCGCAUGAUUAAAUUCCGGCCAUUUCACAAAUACCACAUGCUAACUCUGAUUUCAAUAAUUCUUUUUCCUAAAUUAAUCUAAAAUCAUGAUCUACCUCCCAUAUUAAUUUCAUGAUUUUUGGAGCUCAUUUGAAUUUAUAUAAUUAUUUAUCUGUGCCUGUUGUCUGUGUCGUUCGUCGCGUAUUUUAGUUGACGGAGUGAACGAGCCGGAAAACGAGAACGUUGGAAACGAGUACCGCGAGUUUGACGCCGAGGACCCGGACUGUCAGCAGGAGUUUGCUGAGGACGCCGACGGAGGCAAGGCCAACCGAUCCCCUUUGAUGCAUAUUGAUCCUAUUUUUAAACACAACCCGUAGAAGCCGUUUUAAAUAUUGCAUGUACGAUAUAUGUAAGAAGUAUUUUCGCUGCUUAGUUAAAACCUGUUGAAUAGCCAUCCUUGAAUUGAUAUUACCCGGUAAUUGUCUUGUUCGAACCUAGGAACAAAUAAUAUGCUACGACAGAAAUAUCAUUAUUUAGUAUGCUUAGGACUUGUUACUCAUCCUGAAUACUCAUCGCUAUAUUUUUCAAAUAUAAUGAUUUUAAAAGUAAAAGGUGUGAGUGGUGAAAAUAAAUUGUGGGUAUUAUGAAAGGGUUACUGAACAAGUUAUAGAUGUGAUUACUAUGGAGAUGGGGCGGAUGGGAUCUCUUUUGGGGAUGCUCUGGUGUUGUGGCUUAUACCUUGCGGGGUUAAGCGAAAAGAUAUCCGCCUUGUCUCGAUUAAGGACUGAGUUGAUGAUUCAUCUUGCCUAACUCAUUUAUCGUACAACCACUCGCCUUGCAUGGAAAAGGCUUAGUCUAAAUCCCUCUAGUUAGUAUGGCAAUCACCUGGAGGCAGGUGUGCAACGGGACACUAAGUGAUGUAUGUAAAAUUAUGGAAAUAUAUGAAAAGAGCUUUGUGAAUUAUUGUGGUAUCACGAGAUGUGGCCUUAGUGUUCCCGUGGUGAGCGCCAUUACUUAGCUAUGGAGGGUAAUGACUUUGAUGGAUCUGUGCUUGCACGACAGUGUAAGUUAUGGUAUCCUACUUGUGGGAAAAGCGUACAACCUCUACAGAGUGUAAAUCUAUCUGGAUAGUCGUGUCUGCGGUCUCGGACGGGUUAUGGUUUGGUUUCAACAACUAGAUGGGUUGGUAUGAGUGAAAACAUGAGAGUGAGUGUGAUUUUGGAAAUAAAUGGUUGACUGCCAUUUUGUUGUGGGAACAAGGGUUCAACAACACUUAAAAUUGUGAUCAAACCCCCAUUUUCAGAAAUACUAUCAUAUGUGGAAAAAGAGUUCUUUUACAACAGUAUUUGUGAAAUGAAACCUUGCAUGUGUAAAAAGAUAGCUUUAUGCAAAUAAAAUUAAGCCUCAUCCUUGAUUUAUCCAUAUGCAUAUAUAUUGUUAUCCCCUUCCGUAGGGUAAGGUUAGAUUUGCUGAGUACUUUGUACUCACCUUUGCUUUAUUAAACAGAGGAAGAUCCGGACUUCGAUCCCGAAGUGGCGUUCGAGUAAGGUCGUGUCUGCACCCAACUAAGCCUGUGGCAUUGGGACUCGUCAGAUGUUCGAUGGCGAUAUCGUUUGUUUCUGGGUCCUUUGGACCUAUGUUGUAUUUUGGUGUCUUAUUAUUAUAGCGUGCCUUCUUUGUCCACGCUUUCCGAAGACUACUGCGCUGAAACUUAUCUGAUGUAAUAAAUGUGUUACUAGCCUUCUGGGACUAGUAUUGUAUCACAUUUGAGUUCCUGGUUUACCAGGGGCGCUUCAGCUGGCCACAAACUUUUCAGGCAACACACAAGGGAAUUAUUCUAGUUCCUUUGUUAGUGCCUAUAUCUCAUGUGCUUGUUCAAUCACAGAACGGUUAUCCACCAUUUUGUAAUCAAACAGCUGCUCCAGGAGAUACAGCUUGCUACCAGCACCAGAAACCCCAAACUUAGCCUCAAGCGCAUCCCAUAAUUCCUUCACAGUGGUGCAAAUGAUAUAGUUGUCAACAUACUUUUUACCGAGUGCACUAAUCACGGCGCCUCUGAAGAGGUUAUCGGAUGCCAGGAACUUUUGCUCCUCCUCAGGAGUAAACUGUUCCGGCUUCGCCUCUGCGGCGUGAAAGCAACUCGUAGGAGUUAACCACAAAAUCAUUCUCGCGCGCCACCGUUUAUAGUUUAAACCAUCAAAAUGAUCCGGUUUUAACGCAGCAGCAAAAGCACUAACAGAAAAAUGUCUAAUAUCAGGUUUUUGAAUUGUUAGAAAAUUAGAUAUUUUAAUGUUUGAUUUAAUCUAGAAAAUUACGCAUAAUAUAGUGGUGGCAUAUAUAUGCACGUGUGCAAUUGUAUCACUACUCAGAUUAGAGAUAAACAUCGCAAGAACUACUGCAACUACAGCAGACAUACUGAAAAUGAAAAACAAUCGUUUAAGAUUGUAUCCCGAGGAGGGACCAGUGACGAAGACACCGACGGCUCCAUUCACACUAGUCGACAUAGUGUGUUGCUCGAAGUAGUGGACCUCAGUCGAUGCAGGAAGAUGUUCGCAGUGCAGUCCCGCGAACGUCCACCAGGAAGAAGACGAAGACGAAGUAGUCGCAGUCCCGAACGUCCACCAGGAAGAAGACGAUCCCGGUCCGCUGGAGUGGAAGAAGACGAUCUCGCCGGCGAGCAGUCACGGAAGACGCUCCCUAAAAACCUGAUUGCCCGCACACCCGAGAAGGUGUCUCGAUGCAGGGCGUUAUGUUCCAGAGGCCUGCUCUCCCGAUCUCUGUGCGCGCAGAGGUUCGGGACGGGAUGAACAGAGAGCAACGCGACUGGAAUGGAAAUGAAUGACUGAUUGUGUCUCACACAGGAAACGAUUUCCUCUCUUUCCUUAUUCACCAAGCGUGUGCCACGUCACGUCACGUGACAAGACACGACACGGCUCGGCGGCAGCGAUGCGCGCGCGUGGUACCUUUUUUCUCUUCCUCAACUUCUCUAUAGGAGCUAUCAAAGGCCACCUAUUUAAGUUGAGUUAAUACAUGGUCAAUAAUCAAUACGGUAUUAAACCGUUUUUAAUAUAGCAUUUAUAUUUAUUUAAGUUGAGUUAACACAUAGUCAAUAGUUAAUACGGUAUUAAACUGUACGUUUUUAAUAUAGCAUUUAUUAUGAGCCUUUGAAUUAAUCAUUAAAUAUAAUAUAGGUUAAAAGCCCAUUUAUAUUCAACAGCAGUGACAUUGUCGACUUUAAGAUGUGUUGGCUUUUUACUCUCGAAGGUGCAUAUAGAGGAAGGAUUUGUGUAUAGGGAUGGAUAACGUACAUGCAUGUUUGUGGAUAUCUGUGUCUCUACUAUGUUGUUGGCAAAAGAAAGGAGUGGUGGUGAAUCAUAUAUAUGUUUGCAUUCACAGGAUCAAUUAUCUCACAUUUUCGCGAAGAGAAACUAAUCAUUCAGCGGUGUGUGACAAAUUCAAUAUGCCAACGUGUGUUGGUGAGCACAUCAUCGCUCAAUCCGGAAUGUAACAACGACUUUUCUAAGGUCGUUUCCUCCAAAAUUACAAAUAAAGUCACACCUUUUUCCUCUCUUUUUUUCUGUUUGCCCGAGAGGAACGCACUUGGGAAGAAUGAUGACGGAAAUUAUUCUAAUUUUGACCAAAUUUAUAUAAUAAAAUAAUUAUUAUUAUAAUACCAAUUAAGUAUUAUUAGAUUUUUUCUUUAAUUAUAUUUUCAUAGGAUACUCACUUUAUGUUAAAAAUCUUAAUAUUUUUUCUAUAAUUUUAAUCAAACUUAAAAAUGUUUUGACUCUCUAAGAUUUUUAGAAUGACUUAUAAUUUGGAAUGGAGGGAGAAGUAUAUUUUCCGAUGUGUACUGUACACAUUGAGCAACGCAAUUUUUUUGUAAAACAAAGACGUCGACUUCGGCUGCGAUAGGCCAUGCAUCCACACCGCACCAAAUUUGGUCAGCCGCUCCACCCACCGGUACGACGAGCCUGAUGCAUGCAUGGUCCCUGCUGGUAGAUCCCCCUCUAGCUCGUAUAUGCAUGCAUGGUAUCCGUUGUCUAGCUGCUACGGCCUACGGAGUACGGAUACAUACACACGUACGUACACGCUACGUGCAUGCUAGGGCUUGUGCAGGAUGCCCCUGGCGUACACGGCGGCCUCCACGACGGUGGUGAUCUCGUCGGCGACGUCCGUGACGUUGCACCGGUUCCCCUGGAACGUGGCCGCCGCCGCCGCCGGCCUCGCCGCCGCCACGCAGUCCAGCAGGCUCUGGUUGCACAGCAAGUUGAGGUAGUCGUCUGCAAGAGCGUACGACGUACGUUCCAUGCGCAUGCAUAUGCACACACAGGCAAAGAUCGAGUUAAUUAACGCAUCAAUUAUUAAAAACUAGCAGCAGGCAGGAUGAAAUUAAAACGAGAAAUAAAGAGAUCGAAGAGAUCUUGUACUCGUUCGAUAUGAUCUUGGAAUAAAUAAAUAAAAUGAAUGAAGAGAAUAUAAUGCUACAGUGAUGGAACCUAUAUAUAUAUAUAUAUAUAUAUAUAUAUAUAUAUAUAUAUAUAUAUAUAUAUAACUGUUGCAUGUAUAUGUAUUACUAUAUAUUACGUACUGUCGGUGGCCUGGACGCAGGCGUCGUGGAGCAUGCAGCAGGCGUCGAUGGCGUCGCAGGGGACCUCGCCGGGGCACCCCGUGUAGGACACGCCGCAGUACUUGCCGUAGCGCAUCAGCGGCGCUGCUCAUCAUCGUCGUCAUCGAUGGCAAAAAAACAUAUCAGUCAGCUGCAUAUAUAUUAAUUGGUUCCACGCACACAACAUUCAGUUCAGGCACAGCGCACACGCAAGGCCUUUGCUUAGUUUAUUAAAAAAUCUAAAAACUUUUUAAAAUUUCCCGUCACAUAUAUAGAGCAAUAAAUAUAGAUAAAAAAUAACUAAUUAUAUAGUUUGUUCUUAAUUUGUGAGAUGAAUCGUCUUUUGAGUCUAGUUAUUAAUCUAUGAUUAGAUAAUAAUUAUCAAAUAAAAACAAAAGUGUUACGACAGGAAACUAGACAAGGCCUAAUACGUACCCGUGCAGUGCUGGGACUCGCACUCUCGGCUGCAAUCCUGCGGAUGCAUAGAUAUGGAUCAUCGCACUGCAAAUGACUAUACCGAGUACAUAGUGGAAUUAGAGGUGUAUAUAUGGGUCAGACCGAUACCGAGUCGUCGUCGCCGCCACCGAAGAUGCUGCCGGCGGCGGUGGGUGACUGGCUGCUGGCGACGGCGAGCAGCAGGAUGAGAAGAGGAGCAAGAAGACGACGACGACUACACCGCCGUUGCAGGGGAUGACGGCCGACGGCGAGCUCCCUUCUUCUUCCGUCCAUUCUUGGUUGAUGAUUCGGAGAAGUGAUCAAAGGCUGGGUACUGGUGGCUGCGUUUCGGCGGAUUAUUAUUUGAGCUGCUGAAUGAGAGCUAAAUAUAUAUAUGAAUGAAUUAUUAAUAGGGGAUUAUAAGUGCGAAGUUAAGUUUGGUGUAGAUUGGUUGGGAAAAACGCAGUGCUUCGCACAAACUGAUGGAUGGACGAGAUGGCGAUGAGUCGACGGAGAACCUGACCGAAACUAACAAUAUUUUGUUGCUUUCGUUUCCCUCUACUAUCCAUCAUGAGUUUAUUUAACCAUAUAUAGCUAUCUAGAUGAUGAUAGAUUACGUUAAGUAACAGUGUACUUGAUCAACUGGCUAGUGCUUGACGCUUAAUCUGGAGAUGAACUUGGCAGGCGGGUCUAUACGCUGUGCUGAAUUGUUUUGAACGCUUUAGCAAUAGGGAAACCUUUUGUCUACAAAAAAUUUGGAGAUGAACUGGCGGCGCACAACCAGAUUUUUCAAUUUCUCAUAGUAGUGUGGGGUUCUCCUAGUGUUUUAGCAUUCAAAAUUUAGUAUAAACUUUCCCUAGUAAAUACCUCCUAGUGAGAAUUCUCUAGUGUUUUGACUACUAACUAAAAACACUAGAAGAACUCAACCAUUUUGGUAGUGGCCUGUCAGCAUAACGCUAGCUCCAGAACUUUAGUACGCUAAUUUGAACCUUAUCUUCUAAAGAAACAAACAAAAAAAAAAUCGAUUCCGAUCUAUGUUAGUUGUUAGCUCAACUGCAAGAGCUAGCUAGCUAGCGGACCAACGCUAGGGCGCUCAGGGUGGUUGUCCGCCCGGUGAUCUAUCAGAGUCUGUGUCUGAUCUCCACGUGACCACCAGCUGCUUUGUUGCUCUUUGUUUGCCGGGACAAUGCCUCGUCGCAUGUCCUUGUCCAGUUGCCGUUUUCUUGGGGACUGAUGAUUAUGGCCAAAAGCCCAAAAGUUUGGGUCAGUAAUUUGACCAUUCCUCUUUGGAAGCCAACCAAAAAUGCUUUUCCAAACAACUCUUUAUUUAGGCCGCUCUACUACCCAAGUUUUAGCACGCACAGAUUUAGACCCUAACCCAAAGUGGGCUACAAAGUUUUCUGGGCUAGGCCAUUGAUUUUUCACCUUUUUGAACAGAAAUCCAAUGGGCCUUUAAUCCACAUGGCCACCAAGGCUUGGCUUUUCCAAUGGUACAACUGAGGAGAUGUUUGGGAGAGAUUCUUGAGCAACUCCUAAAGCUGUUUUGGGACUUUCUCUAUUAUAAACACUGCUCCAUAGCACAGCGGUGUCUGACGAAGCCAGAAAAAAGGAGCUUCCACUAGGUAGAAGCUCCCUACCUGUCCUCUAAGUCUAGAUCCCCUUUUUGCUCUCCUACACCAAGCUCGUAGGCAGGCCGUGGCGGUGGCGGUGGUGUGUGCAUGGAGUAGUGGAUCGAGGUGGGGCAAAGUCGUCGGCAUGGACCUAAUUCACGGCGCAAACAGACUAGAGCAAAGUGGCCAAGCCAUGUAGGUGACGCACAGUUCUCGGAGUCGUCGGGGCCGGCGGAGACCAAAGCAUGUCGAGACCAUAAGACGCGAGACGACACCAAGGCGUGGUGCAUGAAGGACAGGAAUGUCGAGGAGCGAUUGAGCAGAGUGAGCAGACUCCAAGGAGGACAGGGUGCGGAGCUACCAGAGUGGGCGGACGCAGGACACCAGGGCAUGGUCGCGCAGAGCUGCGGGAGCAAGGGAUGCUGGGGACGCCGAAGCACGAGCACACCUAGGACAGGGACAUUGAGGUGUGGCCACACGGAGGUACUAAGGCCAAUCUCAAUGGGCAUUUCAUGAGAGUAUCAUGCACAUUAAGUAGGACACCAACUCAGCAAAAAGAGAAUGUUUGCAUGAAAUGUUUAGGAGAGAGAAAGAAAUCGUUUAACCACGGUGAAUGAGAUAGCGUUGUUUCCAAGCUCUGGGAAAUCAUGUGAAAUUCGCAUUGAGGGUCAUCGUUUCAUCCUCCCAGAUCCGGUGCACGGGCGGAGCCGCUUCGCCAUCUUCCUGCGCGGUGCAGCAAUCUUCCUGCGCGUCACCACCAUAUCCUCCCGCCCGCACUCCACUUUGGCAUCUUCCCUCCGACGGCGCGAGCGCAGACGCGUUCAUCCACACUAGAGGCCAAAUACAGGUGAUUGCGGGCCAGAGCAUUGAGGCGAAGCCCGUCCGCCGUGUGCCUGCUCGUCCGUUCGCCGUCCGCUAUCACGCCAUCUUGCCUCGUUCGCUGUCCCCCAUCGCGUCGUGCCCGCGAAUCGCCAAUGAUCCGCUGCCGGCAGCCUCUUUCGGGCGACGCGCACACGGCAGAGAAGGGAAGACGCGCCAGACCGCCUUGGACUGAAGAAGCCCUCCAAUCCGGUGCCAUCACCCCCACCAGGUUCGUCGAUAGCAUCGCCACUCGUCCCUCGGCCGCCGUCGCUGCCGAUUUCUUCCUCAGAUCCGCUUGCCAUGCCUGCUCCGCCAACUUCCUCCUCAGCUCCACUGACUGCCGCCCCUGGUGUGGCUAGUUGGUCCCCUUCUGCGCCGACAUCAACCAUGCUACCAGCCACAGCCACCACAAGGAGCAGGAUGGGGGGCCAUGCUCCCAAAUUUUUCAUCUCAACAUGGAAACCAGCAAGCCCCAAAUCCAUGGUAUGUGUUCAUAUAUAUCUAUGCAAGUAAUUAAUAGAUUUCGAUCUGUGCAAAAAUAGUUCAAAUGAUAUUUAUAGAUGCCUUGAAUUAGUUGAUUUAAAAGUUGUUAGGCUGGUUUGUGCUAAACAUGCUGCAUCUGUGUCGAUCCUAUUUGGUUGGAUAAGAUGAUAGUUUCACUUUGUGAUUCUAUUUGGUUGGAUAGACAUGUACUCCAUCCAUGGACAAAAAUGAAAGAAUCACGAAGAUGCAGCAUAUACAUAGCUUUUGUGUUUCAAGAAGCAGAUGUCCAAUAUAUAUACAAUAUAUACAUGUUCAAGAAGCUUAUGUUUGGUACUCACACUUGCAUGCCGAUCGGCAUCAGCACCUAGCUUUAUUGUUACUGACAGCAUAAUUUAUCUAUUCACAGAACUGAAUACAAGUGAUGCUUGCACUAGUGUUUUUUUCUUUUCAGAAAGCACUUGUGUUAUUGUGAAUACGUGUUUGCAUUUGACUUCCUGUAUGUGGGUGAUAGUAUAUGUUUUUUAAUUGUAUGAAAAUGCCAGGGCUCGUCCACCAGGUGGUUAUCUGAAUUUACUUCAACAACCACAGUAUCCGCCACAGCCACACAUGCACGGAGAAAAUUUUCAUUUAGUUGGUCACGCUAUGAGCUUCAACCCAAUAUCCCCACCAGCACCACCACCACCACCAGGUGGCUAUAGAACAGGAUCAUCUCAUGUUGUCAACCAAAGCACUUCAAUGAAGGAGACUAUGAACAUUGACAUUGAGGAAGGGGAGAACAUUGAGGCAAAUAUGGCAGUAAAGAAAAGAUACUGGACUCAUGAAGAGGAAGAAAGACUGGUAAUCAUUUAUCAGUUUUGUAAUUUGCUUUUUCUAGGUCAUUGUUUGGUAUAAUACUUGAUUUGUUCUUAUUGACUUUUUAUAGGCCAGUGCUUGGUUGAAUGCUUCUAAAGACCCAAUUCAUGGGAAUGACAAGAGAGGUGAAACAUUUUGGAAGGAAGUCACUGAUGUAUUCAAUAAGAAAAGGAAUGGGAAGUGUAGAAGGGAAACAAACCAAUUGAAGAUUCACUGGUCACGCCUCAAGUUAUCGAUCGUUGAUUUCAAUGACUAUUGGGUUAAGGUAACUCAAAUGCAUACAAGCGGAUACUCUGAUGACAUGCUAGAGAAAGAGGCACAAUAGAUGUAUGCAAACAGGUUUGGAAAGCCUUUUCUGUUGGUGCACUGGUGGAAGAUACUAAAAGAAGAGCCCAAAUGGUGUGCACAGUUUGAGACGGAGAAAGACAAGACUGAAGUUGUUGAUAUUCUAGAGGAGCACUCACAUCCCAUUGGUAGAGAAACAGCAAAGGCUGAGCGCAAUGGAAAACGUAAGAAGAAAAAUGUUAUGGAAGGAAUUGUCAUCCUUGGGGAUAACAUUGAGAAAAUUAUCAAGAUACAUGAAGAUCAGAAGGUAGAGCGUGAAAAGGUCACAUAAGCACAGAUUAAUAUAUCUAAUGCAAAUAAGGCAACAAAAGAGCAAAAGGAAGCAAAGAUGUUUGAGGUCUAUAAUUCCCUACUUAGUCAAGAUGCAAGUCACAUGUCUGAAGAUCAAAAGGCUAGUCGAGACAAGGCAUUAUGUAAGCUUGAGGAAAAGUUAUUUGUUGACUAAGGUUAGUUCUCCAAUCUGUCUACUGAAUGCUCAGUUCAUUAUUGUGUGAAUGCAGCACUUAAGAUCUUCUAGUAUGAAUGCAGCUCUAUAUAUGUGCACGCAGGGCAGUUUCACAUCUAGUGUGAACGUACUCCGUGAUGUCGUGCUAGCUUGCAUCAUACUUCAUAAUAUGAUAGUUGAAGAUGAGAAGGAACGUGACAUUCUUGAAGAAAAUCUAGAUCUAAAUGUGCCUCCUAGUUCAUCAACCGUUCAAAAACUCGAAUUCUCUUUGAAUCAGAAUGUUCCGUUAGAGAGAGCUUUACAAAAAGAUACUUCUAUUCGAGAUCGAUCGGCUCAUCGCCGACUUAAGAAUGAUUUUGGUGUAACAUAUUUGAAAUAAGUUUGGUGGUCGUGCACAUAUAUCUGGUACUUGUGACUAUAUUUUACAUUAUUGAUUAUCUAUUAUAGUUAGUUAUCUACCUUAAGAAUUUAGCUCCUUCAUCUGUGAUGUGAUGUUGAAUUGUUUUUUUUUUGUUUCUGCACGAUAAAGGCAUGGCUGAAGGCAAUCUGAAAGCAAGACUGAAGGCUAUCUGAUAGUACUCAACCUAUGGGGUGCAGAGAAGAACCAGUGAGAGGCCGUGCGCAAGGCUGAAGACUAUCUAAAUUUUUUUUUAUCUAUCUUAGUUUAUUAUUAGUACAAAACUAAUUACACAAUUUGUCUGUAAUUUGUGAGACGAAUAUUUUAAAUCUAAUUAGUCUAUAAUUGAAUAAUAAUUAUCAAAUACAAACAAAAAUGCUAAAUAGGCAAAGUCAAAAUUUUCCACGAACUAACAAGACCUUAAAAUCUUCAAUUCAACCUUGGCCCUAUGUGUGCAGAGGAUGGCUGCAUGCAAUGUAGUUGCGUAUUGCAAGGGACCCACACAUCAUAGAUAAAAUGCUUGUUCUAAUACACAUACAACUGUCUCAGCAUCCUGUAUUUGCUCAAGCAGCCUCUCAAACAUAGACUCAACUCACCUUACAUCCAAAGCUGUGCACAACUUGCAUCCAGUCAUCCUGACAUCGUGUGGAGGAAUCCGAGGCAUGUCCACCGAAGCCAUCACAGAUCAUAAUGAUAAGAAAUAAAAAAGAAAAGAAAGGGAAAAAAAAGGAAAAAGAGCUUUAUGGAUAUUUGUAUAAAAAGAAAAAACAGCCUGUCAUAGUAGAUAAAAGGAUAAAAUGCUGUUUCUUAAAACAAUGAGAAUCUAUUUUUUUACAAAACAUUUCAGUAAAACAGCUUAAUCCUAAGCUGCUCUUGGAGCUGAAGUAAAAAUAAUAUGUUUCACAAAUAAAGCAUAGUGGUACCAAAUAUUCCCUUGGUAUAAUAUUUAGUCCCUCGUACCACUUGCAAUGCUAUUUUUACAUAUGUAAAUAUCAGUACAACAAACGAGUAGGAUGUACCAUCACUGCUACUAGAACAGGCCUUUCGUCGAUGUGCCAAAAUGCCUUUAGUCUUGGCAUUUUUGACGCCCGAGACAAAAAGCUUCUUUAGUCCCGGUUGGUAACACCAACCGGUCCAACAGCUCUGUUGUCAGACGCUGUCGGGAGGGACCUUUUGUCCUGGUUGGUGUCACCGAUCGGGACUAAAGCCCGACCUUUAGUCCCGAUUUGUGCCACUGACCGGGACUAAAACUUUUGUCUCGGUCUGUGACACCGACCGGAUCUAAAGGAUGGGCUUUAGACCCGGUUUGUGUUAUCAACCGGGAUUAAACCCUCCCCUAUAAAUUCAAACUCCCUCUCCCUCUUCUUCCUCCCUUCGCGAGCCUGAGCUCUUGUUCUUCCACUGUUCUUGCUUGUUCUUGCUCUCAUCUACAGCGAUCAAUCCACUUCAACGCUUCUACGCCAUUGUCGAUUUGUUUGAAAGGUUGCUAGCUUCAUCCUCCUAUAUUUUAGCAGCACCAUAUGUAAUUUCAUGUUGUAUAUGGCUAUUUUAUUUCAUGUUGCUAGCUUAAUCACUUUUCAUGUUUGAAUUUUUAUGAAAGAUGCAUUGAAUAGUGCAAACAAGGACGAACACUUGUAUGAGCUUUGAAUGGAGGGCAAACAUUUGUACAAACUUUAACCGGCGGUCGAACACUUGAUUACUUGUAUAUUAUUGUAAAUGUAAUGUGUAUGUACGUAUAUGUAUAGCUCUAUAAUAUAUAAAUAUAUAUAGUUUCAUACUUUAUUUGUGUGCAAUAAUAACGCUCUCGUAUAGAGGCUGCUACCAACCAGGACUAAAGUUCCCCUUUUAGUCCCGGGCCUGCGAACCGGGACUAAAGGUGGGACAUUUAGUCUCGAAACCUUUAUCUUGGCUCGCAGCCCGGGACUAAAGGUCUUUUUCAAUCGGGACAACAAGCCCUUCGUGCAGCUGUGCAUACCCCUUUCUAGAUUUAGGAAAGUUUUCUAAGGUUAUAUAUACUCGCGGACAUUCACUUCUCUUACAUUAUUCUAUUUCCUUUAUCUAGUAAUAAAAAUGUGUUUAGAAACAAGAUUUGGUUACAUGUUAAAAACAUUAACAGUGGAUCACUUUUGAAAACAUUCAGUUUGGAAACAUAUGGUUAUAUUCGUAUAUACUUUUCAAAAAAUAAAUAAAUCUCAAGGGUUUUAGGAUUUUUUUAUGCUUGUUUAGUGUUAUUUCAAUUAAUAUAAAACAAACAACAAAUAUCUUGCUAGAGCGACAUGUGAAUUGGGACGCAAUUGAUACAUUUUUAAGUUAAAGUAUUAAUCAUAUAUGUAUUUUGAGUAAUUUUAUAGUUAAAGUUUACAUGUUCGACUUUAUCGAAUCCUAAUGCGCCCUACAUAAACUGGAAGGAGUAAAUAUUUUACUCGACUUUGUCUUUAUUUUAAAAAGUCCAAACUUUGGAAAACUUGCUACCUCACAAUAACUCAAAUAUACUUAAUUAAACACACAUAUAAAACGACAAAUACAUCAAUUCAAACAUUUGAACUACCAAAACUUGUUUCCAAAAAAAGGAAGUCAAAUUUCUUCACGGGUCCCGAAUGACAUUGAAAAAUCCUUGACUCAUUACUUUUAGUUCAGAGAAUGCUUAUACAUAGAGACAAAUCAAAAUAAUAGGCAGAAAAAAUAUAGGGGUGCAAACCAUUUGAGGUGGUGGGGGGUGGGGUGGGGGGGGGGUGUUGUAUAUAGACACAGCCUCAAAUGAGAAAGUGCUGUUGUAACAAUGGGCUUGGCCCUCGAGUAAAAACAUCUUUUAUAUAUAUAUAAUUCUCGAGGAGAAACAUUCCCCUUUUUUCAUAUAAUUUUUGAGGAGAAAUAUUUAGCUGGUUUAGAGUAUCUCCAAGAGCUUUUCUAAAUUUCACGCUUUAAACCACUAUUUGAAGAGUCAUUUACAUAAAAAUUAUUUUCUAUAUAUUCUCUCAUUCUCCAAUAAUUUUUCUAUUUCUCAUGUAUAGUCUACAGGGCUAUUUUCAUUUUCUAUAUUUAGAAAACAAAAAAUCCGGAAUAAAAAGAUGACUAUAUUUGAAUGAUCAUUUAAAGAAGCUGUUGAAAAGUAGUUUUUUACUAUUCCUAACAUUGAAUAUAUCUGACAAUGAUUCUUUUGGUACGAUAGAUAUUAAUAUAUUCUUUUAUAUAAAUUUAAUCAAAUUAGAUAAGGCCUUGUUUAGUUCCAAAAUUUUUUGGAAACGGCCACUGUAGCACUUUCGUUUGUAUAUGACAAAUAUUAUCCAAAUUAUAAACUAACUAGGCUUAAAAGAUUUAUCUCGCAAAUUACAGAUAAACUUUAUGAUUAAUUUUUAUUUUCAUCUAUAUUUAAUAUUUUAUAAUGUGUCAAAAGAUUCGAUGUGACAGUAAAUCUUGAAAAAUUUUACGUUUUAAGAAAAAACUAAACAAGGCCUAAGUUAUAUUAGAUUUAGAACAAAGCCAAAACGACUCCUGAUUUGAAACGCAGAGCGUAUAUUUUUAGAUCUUUGCAAUACAUCUACCACAUCAAUCGAAGUACAAACACCGGAAAAUAAAAAUAUACGUACAUCUUUGUAAACUACGGACAUAAAUAAAUGAAAUUUUAUAUUUAAAAAACCACUGUACCAAUUUGAAUGGCAGAAGCAUGGGCGAAGCUUCACCGCCCAUCCCAUCCCCCAGAUUGACCGCCCAAGCCUCUGCACCUCACGUUGCUCGCCCACUCCUCCCUCACGCAGCAAACACCAUCGCCACCCAACCAGAAAUCCCCACGUGUUCCACCGACCAUCCCUCGUCCACCCACCUCCCCGCCACACCGACGACCACACACCUUCCCCCCGCACCGAUCCCCGCGGCGCGCGCCGCGCUCCUUUGACUGCCACGUCAUCUCACUGCCAUGCGGGCCCCGCACUCCGCGCCCGGCCCUCCUCAAAUGCCCCCACCCCUCGCCUCCCCACCUCCGCACAAACGCGUCGUUUCCGCACGCUCCACAGGGGAUCCUCUGCGCCACCGCAACCGUGUAACCCCGGCCGUGCCGCCGCCGGCGAUCCCGAUCCGCCGACCCGACCCGUCCCGUCCCCCCGCUCGCAGCCAUGUCGCCGUCGGAGCCGACGCGGGAGGAGAGCGUGUACAUGGCCAAGCUGGCGGAGCAGGCGGAGCGGUACGAGGAGAUGGUCGAGUUCAUGGAGCGCGUGGCGCGCUCCGCGGGCGGCGCGGGGGGCGGGGAGGAGCUCUCCGUGGAGGAGCGCAACCUGCUGUCCGUCGCCUACAAGAACGUCAUCGGCGCCCGCAGGGCCUCGUGGCGGAUCAUCUCCUCCAUCGAGCAGAAGGAGGAGGGCCGCGGGAACGAGGCGCACGCCGCCUCCAUCCGCGCCUACCGCUCCAAGAUCGAGGCCGAGCUCGCCCGCAUCUGCGACGGCAUCCUCGCGCUGCUCGACUCCCACCUCGUCCCGUCCGCCGGCGCCGCCGAGUCCAAGGUCUUCUACCUCAAGAUGAAGGGCGACUACCACAGGUAUACCCAUUACCGCCAGCAGAUCUUGCCUUUUAUUCUGCGUACAUAUCUGCCUCUAGAGUCUAGACGAUGCGAUCUGUUUAUGGAGUGGCCGAGGAGUGAGGUUGGUGGAUGUACGCGCGAUCUAUAUGCGAUGUCUGACGGAGUUGAUGGAUUUUCGCUUAUUAUAUCAGGAAUCGUUGUGUUUGGGAUUUAGAUUAGCGGGGGUUUUGGGUCCUUAUUUAUUGCUGGUUAUUAUGAUCUGUGGGGGCUGCACGAUCUGAUUUGGGCCCUUUGUAUAUGGACUAUGGGAAUUGUGGUUUGGAGAAGUCAAAACAUAAGAUCUGCAGUUGUUGGUUUGGAGAAGUCAAAACUUAAGCUCUGUAUGCAGAUGUUUCUUGUGGGGAUGACAGGGGUCUGAGUGAUGAUUACGUCUAAAUUUAAUGAGUGAUCCUUUUUUUUUUUGUUUGGUGGGUUACAUACACUCUUGUUAUUUGUGGUGGCUAGUCACCAAAAGAUAGAAAGGGGAAAGGGAAAGCGAUUGUGGUGCCUGUGACGUUAUUGAGUGAGGUUGUUUUCCUUUUAUUUCUGGUGCAUGCUGAGGUUGCCUAUCAUGAAUUUCUAUGAAUUUGUCUGUAUGAUACAUGAUGAUGUGCUGUCUCUUAUAGUAGAAGAUUGAAGGAUACGAAUUCAUGAUCUAUGGAUUUUUUUUGCCCCCUACUGCACAUAUAUUUUGGUAUCUGAUUUCUCCUAACAAUGAUUUUGCAGGUACCUUGCUGAGUUCAAGUCAGGUGCGGAGAGGAAGGAUGCUGCGGAGAGCACCAUGAAUGCUUACAAAGCUGCUCAGGUUUGAUCUUUGUGUACAUGUUGAUAGGAUGACGGUGCAUAUCUUGUUAAUUGUGAUUCAUUGUUGUUGGUUGGUUUGUAGGAUAUUGCUCUUGCUGAUUUGGCACCAACCCACCCCAUCAGGCUUGGGCUGGCACUCAACUUCUCAGUGUUCUACUAUGAGAUUCUGAACUCCCCUGAUCGCGCUUGCAACCUUGCAAAGCAGGUUUGCUUCUUCUCCCUUCACCUGUAGCUGAUGAUAUAUGAUGCCUGGGGAUUUGGAGAUUGUAAUAACUUGUUUUAAAUUGGGAUAGCAAGCAAAAACUUGAUUGAUGGCCAUCACUGCUAGUCUGCAACUUACAUGUCGGCCCUCUAUAGGAAAUUACUGGUUUGUGUUUAACUGUAGAUACCUAGACAUGAACUACUUUUCAUCCCUGAACAAAUUUUCUAGUACUCUCUCGGGUGAUUACUGUUUGUGUCCAUGCAAUGCCGAUUUGUGUUCUGCAUGUGUAUUCACUGAAACAUUAUCUCUUACUAUUAGGUGUGUUAUAUUCAAGUGGGUCUAAUUAAUCUGGGAUGCUACUAUUUGCUUUUACUGCCUGGGGUGUUGUUUCUUCACUCAAUUUGCCAUGCCUUGUUGCAUACAUUUUCUAUUUCAUAUUGAACACUUACUCCUACAAGCUAAUGCCUAAUGAUUAU
rnacentral:lncRNA from 1 species